rnacentral:lncRNA from 1 species
GAUGGGUGGUAUUGGGAAAACCACUCUUGCCAGACAAGUUUUUCAUCAUGACAUUGUUCGAAGUCAUUUUGAUGGAUUCUCAUGGAUCUGCGUUUCGCAAGAUUGUAAGCGGAUGGAAAUUUGGCAAAAGUUAUUGCAAGACCUUAGACCACAUGAUAAGAGCAUCGAACAUAUGAAUGAAGAAACACUCCAGGCUGAGCUCUUUCACUUGUUGGAAACAUCUAAAUAUUUAAUUGUCAUGGAUGAUGUGUAGAAUUGUGUCAUCAAUCUUCUAAGCCUCUGAGUCCAACAGAAGGUUUGAAUAUGCUGAGUGAAGGAAAGACUCUUGGUCCAGUAGAAGGUUUGCCAAAGCUAAUAACAUACAUGUGAGAAGCACGUGAGUUGGGGCAAUAGGAAUCAUCAUCUUCUGGGUAUAUCAUCGUCAUCUUCUCCGACGGAGAGUUAGUUACAGAAACAGAGCGAGAGCUCAAGAUGAGAGAGUGAGAGCGAUUGGGUUGGUGAGAGUGAGCUAGAGAGAGAUGUGAUUCUUGGUAUAUCUAGACUCAUAGACUUGUUCUUCUUCCUCAGUCUUGUAACUCAGAUUAGGUGUAAUCGAGAGAGGAAGAAGACGAGUGAACCUCCGGUGACGUACUCUGUAAUCACAUUGAUUAUAGUGGAUUGGCUGAGAGACCGUUUCUCUCCCCGGUGAUGUAUAGCGGCUUCUCCACAUCGGAGAAGUGCGGUGAACACCGGGUAAACAAAGUCUCGUGUGUUAUUUCUUUAUGCUUGAUUCAUGAUUGAUUAGAUUCGUUUAGGCUUGUGAUGAGUAUUGAUUAAAGCCAAGAUCACAUGAUGAAUCCUCAACAAAUGGUAUCAGAGCCUCGGUUUAGGCGAUUCAAGGAUUCAUCGGAAACAGAUCAAGAUCGGUUCUGAAGUAGAAUCGAAUAAGGAUCGGAGGAAGUUUCGAUCGCAUCGUUGUUGCGAGAGUGAAGAAUCAGUAGAUGUUGCAAGAGAUGAAAUGUCAAGAGCAAAGAAAGAAGAUGAAGACGUUGGCUCGUGGUAGACGACAACGUCGGAGACGGAGGAAAGGAAUCUCACGGAGGAAGACGCAACCGGUUCAGCUAGUUUAUGGUUUGUGGAAUCAGAUGGUUUUGUAAGUUAAUCUCUCUCAUCUCUAGAGUUAUAAGCUGGUGUGAGUUGCUCUGGAUCAAAGAGACUUGCAAGAUAUGGUGUGGCGUUCACAAGAGAACGAAGAACCAUAGACUGAAGUGUAAAGAAUCAGAUAUGUGAUGUUGUUUUGCAGUUCUGGAAUUGGUUUGAUGCUGGCUGUUUGAGGUGGAGGAUCUCAGGUUAAAAUGUUAAGUCAAGAUCAGACUUAUGGCUACAUAAUCAAAGUCAGUUCAUAGUUUCCUCAGGUUCAAUUCUUGGAGACAAAUGGUCUCAGUCUGCAACAGUCACAAAGUUUUGUUGUGGUGGCUGGAUACUCAUCUACUGCAGUGUAUAAAGAAUGGAAGCUCUCUAAAUCACAAGGGCGGUAUGUUAUCUUUGCAAAGAGUGAUCAAGGCUCAGGUUUGGUGUCAAACUGUUUGUUGGUCAGCUUGUUUGUGGAAGGAAGAUGCAGCUGUGGUUUCAGGAUGUUUGGAAGAAUGGCAGUUGGUGGCAUCUAUGAAUCUCAGGUUUAAGGGACGCUUUAGAAGUGAGUUUGUAUGUGUGUCAAAGGCUGUUCAGAUACUGUUAAAGCUUUCAAGAUUCAAGUUUGAAGUUAAGUUGCAGAGAAGAAUGGUUUCUACAGGUUUUGGAACAAGACAGAUAUGUUAUUUUGAGGAGCUGGUUCAGAUUUCAGAAAGUUUGAGUUGCAGGUUCAGUCACAGAGAUUAAGGGUCAGGUUCUGGUGAAUGUAAGAAGCUCAGGUGGUAAUGAUCAAGGUCAGGAAAAUGAUCAUAAUGGAGCUUGUAGCAGCAAGGAUUGUUUCUACACAAAAGUAUCAAGGCUGUUACAUUUAAUGAAUUUCUUCAGUGCCAGUAAAGUGAUAAAACAGAUGGGAUUCUGUGGUAUAUCACCUGACGUUUUUUCACAUAAACAAACGUCACGGCUUAUUAGAAGAAUGCCUGGAGUCAUCAAGAAAGAAGCAGAAGAAGCAGGAACAUGUUAUGUUUCCAGAAGAAUGCGCCAAGAGAAAAGACAAGAAGUCUAAGAGCAAUGUGAGUAUAUGUUGGAAUAGAGUUUCUUGUGGGAUCAAAGUUGAUAACUUUGGAGGAGUAUGAGUGGAAGAGGCAGCUCGUGGUAGAGGUUUAACUGUCUCACUCAAGGCGUUUCUGCAGAGGGUUAAAAGCGAUGAUUUCUUAAAGAGAAAGAAGGCUGAUAGAAUAUCAGUGAUAAGGAGCCAAGGAGAAGAAACAAGUUUCUGGUUUUAUGGCUCAAGGAAAGGAAAGCAAGGAGUUUGUUUUGCUGGUUGUAGUUCUUUUGAACAUGGAGUUUACAAGUUCAAGUCUUUGCAGGAUGUCUCGGGUCAUUGGUGCUUGUGUUCUGUAUUUUAAAGACACACAAGAAGUUUCAGGAGAUGGAGAAAUCUGAGAGAAACUUCAAAGAAUGAUUGUGAGGACAUGUUAGGAUGAAGGGACAGCAGGAUGAAAGCACAGCAGGCGGCAGUCACUCAAGGUUGUAGCUUUCAGAGGCUAUGAAAAGAAGCUCUAUGCCAAGAUAUAAAGGCAAGAAGCAUGGUGUUACUGAUAGUAAAAUCAGUGGAGUAAAAUCAGUUUGAGAGAAUCUGGUUUCGGGUUUAUCUGUCACAGGUUCUGAUGGGUUAAAUUCAGAAGGGUCUCACAGGGUUUAAAGUGUUAUGUGAAGAUGUUUUGUUGGCAGAGACUAUAACAGGUUGGAGCACAGUCAGUUUGGUGGGAUUAAAAUCAGAUUGGAAAGCUCGGAAGAAGCUGCGACACUUGGUGGUUAUGGUAUUAGCGACUAUAGUUGAAUGGCUGCAAAAUUAAUAUAAUUUUGAUAAGAUCUGAAAUAAAAUUCAGAAGCAAGAAGCCAUGUUUACAGUCAGCUACACAAAGGGGUUAAGUGAAUCAAAGAAGAAAGUGCAGGAUGGUUAUAAGUCUGAGAAGUGAAGCUUCAUGUGAAGAGGAACACGUUGGGGUUUUGAAAGGUUAUUGUUUCAGGUGGAGUCUUGCCUCUACAAGUUUUGUAGUGCACAUCUCUAGAUGUUUUUUGACUCCAGGUGGAGCAGUGUUAUGUUUCAGACAGUGUUCUCAGGUCAACUUCAGUAUGAAAAGGUUUCAGAGGUUCUGCGGAUGAGCUUACAAGAGCUACAGAGAUUCAGGUUGGUUUUGUGAAGCAAGAAGAGUAAAAGAGAGCCAAGCCAGUGUCAGCAGGUUCAAGCUCAACAUGUUAUGGUCAGAUGGAGUAAAAGGGGUUCAGCUUGUGGUCAGAGUUGUGAAGAGGAUAUCGGCAGUGUUAGUAUGGUUUCUCCACAGGAAGCAUGGAGUAAAACGACAUCGAGGCAGAGUCACUGCAGGUAUGAUAAAUCAAUAUAUAUAAAAUACUUGUGAGGUGGUUUUUUGCAGGUAUUCACAGGGACCAGGGAGAACAGUUCAAGGUGGAGCUGUUUGAGUCAAUUACCAAGCUGAACAAAUUCAAAGAGUUCUCUAAGAGUAGCUACAAGGAGAUAAACAGCAAGGUUUGUUGGUACUGUCACAAAAGAGUACAAGAAGGAUUGAGCUACUGGAAAAUGGAGUUCUUGGUAACGUCUGGAACAGGCAGGGGCGUUUAUAUACCAAGGUCUGGUAAGGUUCGCAGGUUAGCGAAGCACAGGUUCUUUUCUACAGCAAAGGUGUCUCAGGAGUUGUCACAGGUUUUGUGAGUAUGAGGCAGGGAUAAAGAAGUCAGCAGUGGUCAGAUUGUUGUCUGAAGUUCUGUUGAGGCAGAUUUGUUUGAACUGGGUUUGAGCAGAGAUCUCUACAUCGAAAGUCUUCUUAACCAGGUUGAGUUAGGCGGCGUGUUCUGCUGGUCACAGCAGCGGUGAAGAGUGAUGUUCAGGUUGAAAGUUCAUACAGAUUGGUGUAGAGGAAAACUUCAGGAUUAGCAGAGAGUUUUUCUACUAGCUGUUGAGGUUGUCUACAAGGGUUUUUUGAGUCAAAGCGCUUCUGGUGUGAGGCAGAAAUGAUUCAAGUUCCGCAGGAGUUUUCAAGCAAGCAUCGUUUCAGGUUUUGGCAGACUAUUGGGAGACCUUAAUUGCAGUAACAAGUCAAGCAUUAUAGGCUGAUCUAUACUAGUCAAAGGAGAAGCUUAUGGAGUGUAUGUUGAGUUACUGGUGAGUGGUUUUCUCAAGUUUCCAGGUUAUGGAAAGUCCAAAGGAAGAUCAAUGGAGAAGUUUGGCGUGACACAAGUUUGUGGAGUGCUGGGAAAAGAAACUUAAGAAGGCAUGUGUGUGUUGUUGGCACAGGAAUGGGAUUGUGAUUCACAUCACAACAAGUUACAUGUCUGUUCAUUGAUGAUGAUUAAGUGGUUGAAGACUGGGAGUUGUCAAGGUUAGAGCUGGGUUUACAAGGUUCUAAGGAACAGUGGCAAGGAAGUUUUCAGGUUAUAUCAAGACAAGAUGCUGGGAGGAAACAAGUUUCAGGAAACGUUGAAGCUGAGCGGUGAAGCUCAAAGAGACUGCAAGGAGAUGCAGGAAGAUAAAGCAGAUGCGCAUGUUUGCUCAGUCACCGGAGGAAAGCUCAUGAGAAGAUUGGGCUGUAGAAGAUCAAUGCCAAGGUGGAGAUUGUAGAAUUGUGUCAUCAAUCUUCUAAGCCUCUGAGUCCAACAGAAGGUUUGAAUAUGCUGAGUGAAGGAAAGACUCUUGGUCCAGUAGAAGGUUUGCCAAAGCUAAUAACAUACAUGUGAGAAGCACGUGAGUUGGGGCAAUAGGAAUCAUCAUCUUCUGGGUAUAUCAUCGUCAUCUUCUCCGACGGAGAGUUAGUUACAGAAACAGAACGAGAGCUCAAGAUGAGAGAGUGAGAGCGAUUGGGUUGGUGAGAGUGAGCUAGAGAGAGAUGUGAUUCUUGGUAUAUCUAGACUCAUAGACUUGUUCUUCUUCCUCAGUCUUGUAACUCAGAUUAGGUGUAAUCGAGAGAGGAAGAAGACGAGUGAACCUCCGGUGACGUACUCUGUAAUCACAUUGAUUAUAGUGGAUUGGCUGAGAGACCGUUUCUCUCCCCGGUGAUGUAUAGCGGCUUCUCCACAUCGGAGAAGUGCGGUGAACACCGGGUAAACAAAGUCUCGUGUGUUAUUUCUUUAUGCUUGAUUCAUGAUUGAUUAGAUUCGUUUAGGCUUGUGAUGAGUAUUGAUUAAAGCCAAGAUCACAUGAUGAAUCCUCAACAUGAUGUAUGGAAAAAAGAAGACUGGGAUGUAAUAAAAGACGUUUCCCCCAAGAAAGAGGUGAGCUCUCUAAUUGUACAAACAUUACUCCCCAUAGUCACAUUUCAUAAAUGCCUUUUGAGUACCUGAGAUGAAACGAAGUACAAUUGCAGGUUGGAAGAUGAUUCUUACUUCACGCGAUGAACGUGUUGGUUACCAUGCAGACCCAACAUGUUUUCCCUUUAGAGCAAAAACUCUUACUCAUGAAGAAAGUUGGAAGCUAUGUGAGAGCAUAGCAUUCCCUAGAAGAGAGAUAACAGGUACGUUUUUAAUACAAGAAUCAUAUGAAUCAUUAAGGCCAAAAAGCAUGAUAUCUCUUACAUGCCUUCUUAUAAAAAAACUUGUGUAGUAAUUCCCAAAUUAUCCUCUCUGGAAUGACAUACACUAAAAACUCUAUAAAUUAAUAAUACUAAAACUAUGAAAUUUUAUUAAUUUAUAGAGUUACUAAUUUUUUCAAAGUUUCAGUUUUAGAUUUUUUUUACACUAUUUUUAUUAUAAAAACUAGGUAAGGAACCCGUGCGAUAUCGCACAUGAACUCAUUUUAUAAAAAACGUGUGUCGUAUUUUUAUAAUUGGUUUUGAAAAAAUGCAAAUAUUCAAAAUUAUCUUAUAUGCAGCUAUAUAUUGUUUAUAGAUUGAUUGUAAUAAAAUUACAAAAUAUGUCAAUACCUGUUAGUAAGGAUAUACACAUAAAAAAAUUUAUGCAUAAUUUAAAUUAUUAUCUUGAACUUAUUUUAAUAAAAUUACAAAUAUGUCACAUUGUGGAAUUUAUACUUUUGUAUAAAACAUCUUAUUGUGCUAUCAAAAAAAGUUCAUGUGACAUUAAUGUAAAACUAAAAUAAGGAGAAAAUACAUAUCUUUUGAUUUUCCAUAAAAUUAAAAAAAUAUAUAAUAUAAGUAAAUUGAGAAAUAGCCACAAACCAUAUCAAUAAAAGUAUUCAAAAUGAAAAGACACAUAGUUUCAUAUAUCAUAUAUUGUUUUACUGAAAAUAUUUGUCAAAUAACUAAUUAGUGACAAUAUUUUAUUUGUUUCAAUUAUUGUUACACCAACCAAAAUAGAACUAAUUAUAUAUUAAUUUACUUUUUAUAGUAAAUAUAAACUCUUGACUAACAAAACUUUCACUAAAAAUGACAGUAGGACAUUGUCUUCAGCCUCAUUGUCAAUUUUAUUUUCAUGUAUACUAUAUUUAAUAUCAAUUUUCUUUAAAAUAAAAUUAUCAUUUUAUGUAUUCAGAAUAACUAACAAGUUACAAUAGAUUUAACUAAUUCAGUUGGUUAUUUAAUAGAAUCUUUGAAAUAUAUUUGUUAACAUUAUAAAAGAUGAUGUAUAUGAACCAUCAUAGGGAAUCAACUUUACUCUAUAUAUAUAUAUAAUAACUUUAAUGUUCUGUUUAUAUUUUAUUAGAAUAAAUAUUGCUUACAACUGCACUUCCAUCUUCUUAAGUUUAUUCUUAUAGUUUUACAUGAUAUUUAGCUCCAACAACUUCUUGAACUACUUUCAAUUAUUUUCCGUGAUAUUUAAAUAAUUUUUUCUAUUUAAGAGACAAUAUUAGAAUUAUUAGUUUGUAGUAUAUUAAGAAAAUUUAUAUUUCUAUGUUGGUAAAAAUAGUUAUCAUUUUUAUAAAUUUAUUUACCUGCUCUAUUUUUGGCAAAAAUAUUAAGGAGAUUGAAUAUCAUAAUAAAUAUAUGUUGACUUAUGUUGAUAUGACAUUUCUCACUUAUAUUAUUUCCUUUAAUUUCCGGAAGAGUUCUUAUAAAACACCAUCACUUAUUAUAUUAAACUAACAUAAUAAUUAGAUAAAAUCAACUAAAUUGAUAAAUUAUGGAUUUAAAUCAUGAUGACUUUUGUUGUAUCAAUAAAUAAUAUUUUUGAAGUCAAGGUUGUAUUGAGAUAUAAAUACUGUAGAACUCUAUGGGUUUCUCAAUCAAAUUUCCAAGCUUAGACUAAGAUAUAAGAAUAACAAAUAGAGCUAUGCAUGUUCAUAUGUAUUUGUUCAAAAAUCUUUGAAAAUAAUUUAACAGUGAAUCUCUAUCUUUUCUAAUCUAUAGAUUGUUGUCAUUUUUUUGUGAUUUUUCAAUUCCCACAACAACUUAUAUAGAUGACUAAAGGUUACAAUGGUUGAUACCAAACAUUGCAAUGGUUAGAUAAUAGUUGCAAUAAUUAACAUCAGAAGUUACAAUGGAUUAUCACCAAAUACUACAAUCACUAACAGUUGCAAUGAUUUAUUACCAAAGAUUGCAUUGGUUCUUCACUAAAAUUAUUGCCACCAACAGUUGCAGCGAUAUCUUUAGACAUUUUGAUAACUUUUUUUAACAAAUAAAAAAAAUUAGGAUGAAAAACACAUCCUUAUACAUUUUAAGAACAUCUUUUAAACCAAUUUAAUUCCUAAAAUGAAAGUAACAUUUUUAAGAUGAAAGGAUCCAUACUUAUAUUUUUUUACAAUAUUUUUUGAAGAACGCAAUUUUUAAUAUGAAAAGACACAUUGUUAAGAUCAAAAAUUAUAACCAUUGAUAUUUAUUUGGAGAAAAUAUACAUUUUUACACAUUUUGAUAAUUUUUUUAACAAAUGAAAAUUUAGGAUGAAAAGACAUAUUUUAUACGUUUUAGGAACUUACUUUAAACCAAUGCAAUUCUUAAAGUGAAAUGACAUAUUAUUAAGAUGAAAAGUUACAUACUUAUAUAUGUGACAACAUUUUUUAAAGUAGUGUCAUUUUUAAGAUGAAAAGACACUUCGUUAGGAUGAAAAGUUACAACCUUUGACAUUUAUUUGGAGAAAAUAUACAUUUUUAGACGUUUUGACAACUUUUAUUAAGAAAUACAGUUUUUUUAGGAUUAAAAGAUACAUCUUUAUACAUUUUAACAAUUUCUUCAAAACCAAUUCGACAAUGAAAAGACACAUUGUUAAGAUGAUAAUAUUUUUACUUAUAUAUUUGACAACAUUUUUUAAAGCAAUGCCAUUUAAAUGAAAAAUAAUACUUUGUUAGGAUGAAAAAUUACAACAUUGAACAUUUAUUUUUUAACAAAUGCAAUUUGUAGGAUAAAAAGACACAUCCUUAUGCAUUUUAACAACUUCUUUUAAACCAAUGCAAUUCUUAAAAAUGAAAAGACAUACUUUUAAGAAGAAAAGAUACAUACUUGUAUUUUUUUUAGGACAUUUUUUAAUAAGAUAAAAAGACACUUUGAUAUAAUGAAAAGUUACAAUUUUUGACAUUUAUUUGGAUAAAAUACAUCUUUAGACAUUUUGACAACUUUUUUUAAUAAAUGCAAUUUGUAUGAAACUUAUACUUAUACACUUUGACAAUUUCUCUUAACCCAAUGCAAUUUUAAAAAUAAAAUAAAAUGUACUAAUAUAUUUUAACGACACUUUUAAAACAAUGCUCUUUUUAAGAUGAAAUGACACAUAAUUACAAAGAGACACUUUUUGAGAUAUUUUAAUAAUUUUUAAAAACAUUAUCUUAUAUAAUGAGAAGACACAAUUUUAAAACUAAUAUUUAUAGAAAAAACACUUAUUAGGAUAUUUUAACAAAUUUUAAACUAAUAAUUUUACUUAUAAUCUAAGAAAUUCAACCUAUAAUAGUUUUGAUCUUGAGACUUCUAGUUUACAGAUGCGUAAACCAGUAAAUAGCCAUUUAAAUUUAAUUGAAUGCAAGACAAGAUUGAUAAAAGUCAACUACUUAUGUUCGCUAAAUAUCUUGGAAAAAAGUUCUAAAUUUAAAUUGUUAUUUUCCUAUAUAUACGAAAGGAGAAUUGGGACGCAUAUAAUUAUAACAACUUUUUGGCUAUGAUAUUCUUUGUAUAAUAUGUAUAAAGACAAAAAAUGCCUUUCAUUCCACUGUUACAUUUCCACUCCCACUUACAUCGUUGAUCUUCAUUCUUUUUUUUUUUUCUAAAAUUUCUAUUGAUCCUUCUUCUCUUUCUUUUAUCCUAUGAUCAUUUACAAGUUUUAUCAAAUUCUUGAAAAGUGAUGCUUCGCACGCUGUGUAAUCAUUUGAUCCGAUAAUUGUGGCUGAUCACUUUUUUCAUAUCUUUAUUUGGAUUUACAAUUUUACUACUUUUCAAUAUAUGUGGAUUGAGAAACAGAGGAUGCGUAGACCUAUUAGAGAAGAUGAACAGUAUACGUUGCGUUGUACUAUUCCAUUUGAUAAACAUAAAAUAGUAAAAUGCAACAAGCAUUGUUAAAUCAUCUCCACGUUUUGUCCUUUCUUCCUCCUCCUCAUCCUCUUUCUUUUUCUUCUCAUCCUCCUCUUCUUCCAUCACCAUCAGUUACUACAAAAGAUUCCACAUGUAGCAUCACCACGUUCAGCUGUUUCAUCACCACCACUACAAUUGCCAUACUAUUCUAAAUGAAAUAUAGUAUAUUUUAGACCUUCAAGAUUAGGGUUUAGGUAGCUCCUUUAUGGGCGAUGGUUUGGUUUUACAAUUUGGGUUUAGGGUUUGGGUUAAGGGUUUACGGUUUGGGUUUAGGGUUUAGAGUUUGGGUUUAGGGGGGUUUUGGGUAUACGGUUUGGGUUUAGGGUUUAGACCUUCAAGGUUAGAGUUUAGGUAGCUCCGUUAUGGGCGAUGAUUUGGUUUUACAAUUUGAGUUUAGGGUUUGGGUUAAGGGUUUACGGUUUGGGUUUAGGGUUUAAAGUUUGGGUUUAGGGGGGGUUUUGGGUUUAGGGUAUACGGUUUGGGUUUAGGGUUUAGACCUUCAAGGUUAGAGUUUAGGUAGCUCCGUUAUGGGCGAUGAUUUGGUUUUACAAUUUGAGUUUAGGGUUUGGGUUAAGGGUUUACGGUUUGGGUUUACAGUUUGGGUUUAGGGGGAUUUAGGAUUUUGGUAGCUCCGUUUGGAUCUAUGGUUUGGGAUAAGAAUUUGUGUUUAGGGUUUGUAUUUAUGGUUUAGAGUUUUGGUUUAGAGUUUGGGUCAACAAUUGGUAACCAACAUCAAUUGCCAUACUAUUCUAAAUAAAAUAUAGUAUAGUUAGAGUGAAAUUAUUCGUGUGACUAUAAUAAAUAGUGUGUAGUAUAGUAUGAUAAUUUUAUUUUCUAUUGCCAUUUCAACAUCAAGCGCACGCGUCUAGAGGGAGAUUUUGGUCAUGUUUUGCGCAAAUUGUCCUAUCCAUCUUGAAUUACUGUAGAAUGACUAUAUUCUUCAUUCUUUUGCCUCUUAUGAAUAUUCAGCAAAUUUUUCCAUUACAAAACGACACAAGUGAUAAAAGAUGCUACUUUUGAUAAAUAAAUGGUCAUUAACAAAACAUAGAUGCAAAUAACUUAAAAUAAAUAAAAAAAUUGUCAGAUUUGUUUGUUGUCAAAGAAAUCGUAAGAUGUGUUUUGCCUUUAGUUUUCGUUAAGAAUUGAAUAUAUUUAAAACUCUAGACUUCUACAUCAUAUUUGUUUGUCUCUAACCAGCAAUUGAUAUGUUUCCGAGAAAUAAUAUAUAAAUAAAAAGAUCUUUUAAUGAGUUUUAUAAUCUCAGUAGUUCGCACAUCUCCAAACCAGGCAGUAGAAAACAAUGUAAAUUUACAAUUCUUGAGUGAACAAUUAUAUUAUUUUGUGAACAAUUAUAUUGACAUGGGGAUUCCUAAGUUUAAAAUGUGACACCUAUGCAGAUUUAAAUAUUCCAGUGGAAUUAAACCAUUCCCAUUAAAAAGAAAUUGAUGAUAAUUCCCAUGAGAAUAACACUCUCCAAUUAAGAGACACAUUGUUUGAUUAACUCAUGACGGUCAUCACCAACCGGUUUUCCUCUAAUGGAUUUAAUGAAUGACAGACAACCCCCUUUUUUGUACAUUGUAAUUUGGAAAGCAUUAAUUUUAGACUCUGACAAAACGCAAGAACAACAACACAUAUAAAUUAGAUAUGUUGUAACAACUAUUUAAAAAAUUGAAUGAUGGAAAUCCCAAAUUUGUUUAAAGAAAAUGACGUUGAUAGUGGUUUUUGAAAAAAAAAAAAAGGGAUUAUGAUGAACAAUAACAAUGAAAACUCAUUGUAAACACGCUUUAGAGAGCCAAACAAAUAAAUCAAUUCUGAGAUUUUGGGUGGAAAGGUAAUUUAAGAGGAGAUGGAAAACGAUAACAGGAAUGAGUCUUUAAAAACACACAUAUAUAUAUAGAUUGAUAAGGGAUGCUUCAUCUAAGAGUUGUAUUGUUUUGAGAUGGAGACUAUUCAGUGAAAAGAUGCAACGCACCGCAGUUUUAUUUUUUAUAUCAUUAAAUUCAAUCAAAUAUGACUGUUGGACUUAAAACAUUUUUCUUUUAAAAAGUUAUGAUAUCACCAGUUUUGGUAUGCUAUUAUAUAUAUAAUUUUUUUUAUAAUAAAAAGAUACAAUUUUAAAAAUUAAUAAUAUUCAGUUUGUUAUGAAAAUAUAUAAUUUUUAUAAUGAACAGACACAAUUUUCAAACUAAUACAUUUCAGUUUUUUAUGAAACAACACAACCAAAGUAGUUAUUUUGAAAAGACACAACUAUUUAGACUUUUAGAAAAUACACAACUUUUCAACAUAAUUGAGAUUCAUAACCUUUGGAAUUAUACAGGAUUGCUAUUAUUAGUAGAUAAAAUAUUUGAUUUUAUCAUAUAUAUAUAUAUUAAUUAACUUUUAGAAAUCCGACAUUUAUAUUGUUUUUGUUACACUAUUUGGUGUAUACAAAAUAUGUUUUAUAGAAUUUAAAAUGUAUUUUUAUAUAUAAUUUUACGAAAUAUUAACAAAAUAUAUUGAAAUGUUAAGAAAAAAUAGAAAUGAACUUCAUUGUGAAUAUAAAACAAAUAAUACAAUGUUUAAUGUUUGUACUUUAGUGUGUUUAUUAAUUAUAGAAUUUUUACUGCAUAUUGUUAUAAAUAUAUAUAUAUAUAUAUAUAUAUAUAUUUUAAAAACAUUUGAAAAGACUAAACACACUAUUAUUUCAAGACUCUGAUCUUAUAACGUGUGUUACUAUUUUCAGAAUUUGAUGUUGAUGAGGAACUAGAAGCCAUGGGUAAGGAAAUGGUCGCAUAUUGUGGAGGACUACCAUUAGCCAUUAAAGUGUUGGGAGGCUUGUUAGCUAAUAAAACCAUGGUUGAAGAGUGGAAAAGAGUAGAUGACAAUAUUCAAAGUCAGAUAGUUCGCAUAGAUGACAAAAGUCAAGAUUCUGUGUACCGAGUAUUGUCUAUGAGCUAUGAAGAUUUGCCAAUGCAGUUAAAGCAUUGCUUCCUCUACCUAGCUCAUUUUCCCGAAGAUUACGAGAUACAAGUGGAGAGAUUGUAUUAUUACUGGGAAGCAGAAGGAAUAAUAACGUCAAGUGGCGAUGGAGAAACCACUAGGAAAAUUGGAGAAGACUACAUAGAGGAGCUAGUAAGGAGAAAUAUGGUUAUUGGAGUAAAAGAGGAUUUGAGUUGCAGAUGGGAGUAUUGUCAAAUGCAUGACAUGAUGAGAGAAGUAUGUUUAAAUAAAGCCAAAGAAGAGAACUUUCUUCAGUUUAUCAAAGUCCCUACUUCUUCCACCUUUACCAUCAAUGCUCAUACUCCUACCAGAUCUCGCAGACUCGUAGUACACGGUGGUGGUAAUGCAUUUGAUAUGCUGGAACGUAAAAACAAUCAAAAAGCUAGAUCUGUUUUGGGGUUUGGACUCGACAGCAACUUUUGGAAGCAGUCAGGUCAAGGAUUCCAAAAUUUACUGUUACUUAGGGUCUUAGAUUUGAGUUUAGAUUAUAAAAGCGACUAUAGAAGAGGGAGAAUACCAUCAAGCAUUGGAAAGCUCAUUCAUUUGAGAUAUUUGAGCUUACACAUGGGUAGUGCAACUCAUGUACCUUCUUCUUUACGAAAUCUAAAGCUUCUAAUCUAUUUGAGUAUUUCCUCCUGGGGACUGGAAAGAGUUCAUCUGCCAAGUAUCUUUAAAGAGAUGGUAGAGUUGAGGUUCCUGCUGCUUCCCCCUUUUAUUGACGAUAAAACAAAGUUGGAAUUGGGUAAUCUAGUGAACCUGGAGUACUUGAUCUGCUUCCGAUCAGAAAACGGUAGCAUCACAGACUUCCUCCGAAUGAAAAAGCUCAGGACUCUCGAGAUAUUUCUCAAAGGCAGGUAUACUUCUGAAACUCUAGCGUCAUCUCUCUGUGAAUUAAGAAACCUGGAGGUGCUUAGGUUGAUCGAUGAGAACCGAUCCGGUGGGGCUUAUGAUGUGGAUUUCGUUUGGAAUUUCAUUCAUCUAAGGCAUUUAGAUCUGGACAUACAUAUGACAAGGCUUCCUGAUCACUCUCGAUUUCCUCCCCACCUUGCAUACAUAUCUCUACGUCACUGUGAAUUGGAGGAGGAUCCAUUGCAGAUUCUGGAAAAGUUGCUUCAUUUAAAGUCGGUUGUAUUAUGUCGAAGGGCUUUCGUGGGGAGGAAGAUGGUGUGUUCAAAUGGUGGAUUCCCUCAAUUAUGUAAUCUAGAAAUACGGUACCUAGACGACUUGGAAGAGUGGAUAGUGGAAGAAGGGUCGAUGCCAUGUCUUCGUACCUUGUCUAUAUACUAUUGUAAAAAGUUGAAGGAGCUACCGGAAGGGCUCAAGUAUAUCACUUCUUUAAAGGAACUGAUAAUCACCGAUAAGAACAAGGAGUGGAAGACGAAACUCGUACCAGGUGGGGAAAGUUACCACAAAGUCCAACACAUUCCCAGUGUUCAAUUAGACUAUCGUGGCGACGAAUAAGGAGAAUACAACCGUCUCAGGUAUAUAUACUUUUGUUUGGUAUAAUGUCAAUAUUGUUCUCCUUGAAGUUUAGUGUGGAAGUCUCAACUAUCUAACCUUUUUAUUAUUCGGUUUUCAGGUGAACCUACUCAGAAUCAGUACCCACUUAUUGAUUCUGUGAUGUGAUAUAUGUCGUUUUUGUUGUAUUGGUGUUUUAAAGUUUAUAUAUCUUGUUUGUGAUAUAUUUCGUUUUUCUGUUUGCAUGCUCAUUCACUGUAAUGCUACGUUUGAAAGACAUUUGUAUGUUGAACCGUAUCUUCUCUUCAAUGUCUCCGUUUUGUGUGCUUAGUUGACUUGUAUGGUCGGACUUGGAGAUAGAGGUCCUUUGAUAGUGAUCGCUGAACAUCAUUCUUAACAUCACUUUAUCAUUUGGUUCAACGAAGGUCGAGAUUGAGGAGUCGAGAGCUUUUACACGAAACGUCUAGUUAAUCCCUUUUUAGAGCAUCUCAAACCCACCCCUAUAUUUGCUUCUAUAUGCUAUAAUAGAGGAAAAUCUACUCCACCCCAUCUCUAUUUCUUCUUCUAAAAUAGAGAUUGCUAUUUUCUCCUAUAUUUAGAGGAAAAACUAGCAUUUCUCUAUAAUAGAGACAUACUUUUUUAUUUACACAAGAAUCCUUUAACUUUUUGUGAUUAUAAUUAAAAUACAUAUUUAUGUAGAAAUACAUGAUUUUUACAUAUAAAGCCUAAUUAUCUUUUGUUUACAUAAUAUUUUUUACAGUUAUAAGUAAAUAAAAUAAAUAAAUAAUAAUAUUAUUUUAUGUGAAAGUCUAAUUUUUAACAAAUAAUACUUAAUUUUAUAUUUAAUACUAAAAUUAUUAAUUAUAGUUUAAUUUCUAAAAAAUCUACAUAAACUUUACAUAUUGAUAACAUAUUUAUUUAAAUAUUAAUUAAUACAACAUAUUAAAACGCCUUAAUAUUAUGGUAAAUUACUUCCAGAUCUCCAUAAUGAUGGUUAGAUAAUGUAUACUUUGUUUUACUAUUUUUUUGUUUAAUGUUUUUUGUAACAAACUGUUUAAAUUAAAUAAUAUUGCAUUUUUAUGAAAAAAAAUCUAAAUGAUAUAAUGAAUGGGUUAAUUUUCAAUAUUUAUAAGUUAAAAGGUGUUAAUUGUAAAAUUUUAAAAGAAUCUCUUAAGAAUAUUUCUUUUUAAAAGAUAAAAUAGAAGAAUACAUUGGAAAGAAAUCCACAUCUAUUAUAGAGUUACUCUAUUAUAAAGGAAAAAAAUAGAAAAAUACAUUGGAGAUGGUCUUACAGAUAUACAACCUUAGGAGUUUAUUGAAACCAAAGCAAACUCAGCACAAUGGGACUCCUUACAGUUGAUACUACAAAGAGAUUAUUGAAUCAAAUGAAAUGAAUGAAUGAAUUUAGGAAAGUUUGUUACAAGAAGUAUAUAUAUACACGGUUAAGUUAUAGGAAACUUAAACCAUGUUGGUUAUCUAGUAAACCGAUAUAGUAUAUUGAUGGUUUAUGAUGAACUCGGUCUGGAUCAUAAUAUCAGAUCACGAGUCUCUACCAAACAAAGAGUCCUUUCGAUCUCUGCAUGUUUGUAUUGACUUUAAGGGGGUGUUAAUGGGACUCGAAGCGAAUCCAAAACGGGUGAUCCGUGCGUUUCAGACAUCAAUCGCCAAACCUCACUUUUCCAGACCGAACCGAACCGAAUCGACCCUGAGUUUUCCAAAUUUUAAGUAACUGCAUAAACCGGUUAAUUCUCAUCGACUCCUGUAAUUCGUCUUUCACUACCAAACCGGACAUAUUGAUGGUUUAAUGAGCUCGGUCAUGAGUCUUUCUGCCAAACAAAGAGUCCUUUCGAUCUCUGCAAAAUUUGUUUUUGACUUAGGGGAAGUCUACUAGUUGAAGCGAAGAAUCCAAAACGCGGUGAUCCGUGCGUUUUCAGACAUCAAUCGCCAAACGUAUGCAUAACUGGGUUAGAGCUUCCUCUUCCGAUUUCACCGGAACUCCUUUUUUUUUUUUUUUUUUUUAAAUAUAUAUAUUAGAUUAAAAUAUCAACCCGAAAAACGGGAACCGGAACAAGACCUCCGGCUAGUCGUCGAAUAAACAGUAAAUCUCACAAAUAGAUUAGGCUUAUCACUAUUACACAAGGAGAGAACAGCAUAAAAACAGCGGGAGGGAAAAAACCUAAGGUUCGGGGAUCCGUUACCGGUUCCCGUCAUCACCAGAAGUCCGCGGCCAACGACGCCGACCAAAUCGAAAUUUAGACGACCACUGCAAAGAUACUUUCUCUCAAACCAGCGCCGACACACAGCUGCUCGAUCCACACGACACUCUCUUUCUCUUACCGACUAUCAAAAAAUGGAAAUCGAAACAGACCAACUAGUUAAGGGGAACCGCCAUCCUCAACAAGUCCGUCUCUCUUGGCAGACCCUGACCAGUACGGAGAUACGGAGAGGUCGUAUUCGACACACUAACCCGAGACUUGAACUUGAUUUAUAGAUAGGGGGAGUGAAGAGAUAACCUGAAGGCUUUCUAGAACCGAAACAGAGACGCUUCGGCCAAAAGAAGCCGUAAAACGGGCUGAGAUGUGGCUGGCUAAAAACACGCUGAGACGAGCACCUGCAAGCCAUUGAUGGACUCCAACUUGCCGAGAAGAUCAAAGACCCACAAGGCACUGGGAUAGCCGGAGACCAAACGUGCCGUCACGGAGAGGAAAAUGAACCUGCAGAGACCACCUGAAGGUCCAACCAUCUCACACGCAUCACCUCUAAAAACUAGAGGAUGAAUCAAAAGGCUAGGCUGAAGCAACAACCGGUGACAGGACGGAGUUGCAGAUACAAAGAAGAACCGGCUCGAGAAACCCAAAACAGAAGGUGCACAGUUCCGAGAAGGGCUCUCUGCUGUUUAAACCGAAGGCUGGAGGAGACAAAGACCGAGGAACACCACCGGAUCUCCGACGCCUGAGCAUAGACAACUCCACGCGUCAAGAGAGCCAAAGGUCUUCACGCGCCAUCGAGGAAACUUGCAUCUGACACCGCCAGAGAAGAGACCACCGCUGCACGUCUAGAAGUCGAGGACCUCCGAGGCACAUCUUGAAAGGGGUUGAGACCGAGUCCAAAGCCGAGACACCAAGGCGACAAACUAACGGAGACAACCGCCUCUCCACACCGACGAAAGGACAGAUCCGAGUCGAGUGAGACUCUUCCAAAGCCCACGCGCCACCAACUCGCGGAAGUAACCGAUGAAGCAAGACAGAUCUGGGAAAAACGCUCAUCGGUACUCACCACCCAAAAUCCGACUCUCCCCUUACCAAAACGCCUUGCUGCCUCAUCUUGACACCGGGGAAGGCCACCAUAGACUAGAUCUGUCACCGAGCUCCAGAUCCAGAGAGCCAGCUUCCGGCAGAGCUCCCUAGGGCUUCGACAUAUCAGCUGCAGGACGUAGAGCGAGGGGAAAGCAAAGAAGAAAAGAGGAAGGGUUAAGAGAGAGCCACCGGCGACGGCGCCGAGGCCACCGUGCCGGAGGGGAGGAGAUGAUUUUUUUUUUGUUUUGUGUCGAGAGAGAAAAAGUAGAGAGAGAGAGUUUUUUUGGAGGGUGAAGUUAGAAUAAGAGUUUUUUUCAUUCAAUUUCCGAGAGAGAAAAAGUAGAGAGAGGAUUUCACCGGAACUCCUCCACAGCCUAGGAGGUAAAUUAGUUACUUCUUCUCCAUUCAAUUUCCGAUUUUAAUUUCAGCUGAUGAUUUUUAUUCUUCAUCAGUGGACAUACAGCUGUCAAUGUCGGAAAAUCCAUGGUCGUGGUGUUCGGCGGCCUCGUCGACAAGAAGUUCCUCAACGACAUCAUUGUCUAUGACAUUGGUAAUAUCAUACUUUAGCCUUAGGAUUAUUGUUUCCUUGCUUCAAGAAAGAUGCUUUCUUUCUUUCUCUAUGAGUUACUGUCUUGGCCUUGCUUUAAGUAUCAUUUGUUCAGCUUUUUUAAUCAUGUGAUAAUUGGUGGUCUUAUUAUGAUUGCUUUUCUUUAUCCUGUCGACUAGAGAACAAACUCUGGUUUGAGCCAGAAUGUACCGGCAGCGUUUCUGAAGGAAAAGUUGGUCCUACACCUCGCGCCUUUCAUGUUGCCAUCACUAUUGAUUGUCAUAUGUUCAUCUUUGGUGGACGCUCUGGUGGCAAGAGGUGCACACUACUAUAUAUUUUCUACCUAUAAGCGUUUAUACAUUCUGUUUUCACCGGAAUAGCUUAUUCCUAUAAAUAAAUCCUAUUUCAGGUUGGGUGACUUCUGGAUUCUAGAUACAGGUAAUUAAUUUAUAUCAGUGUCGCUGAGACCUGCCUGAGAACUUUUAAUACUCUGCUGCUAACAUUUUCUGCAGAUAUAUGGCAGUGGUCUGAGUUAACCAGCUUCGGCGACUUACCUACGCCUCGUGAUUUUUCUGCUGCCGCUGCUAUUGGGAACCAGAAAAUUGUGUUGUGAGUAUUCAGAAAUUUAGACGUUCCAUCAGCUUGUUUCAUGCAUUGGCUUAACCUAUGAUUAUUGGCAGGUGUGGCGGCUGGGAUGGUAAAAAAUGGCUGUCAGAUGUGUAUGUUAUGGACACAAGUAUAUCUCUCGUCUACUUCAGUUUUGUGAUAAAACUUGUUUUAAGUUUAUGAUAAUGUCAGCUUUUCUUGGUAUUUGCUAGUGUCUCUUGAAUGGAUGGAGCUGUCAGUUUCGGGGUCGUUGCCGCCUCCUAGAUGUGGUCAUACAGCCACCAUGGUUGAGAAGCGUUUACUUGUUUUUGGUGGCCGAGGUAAUACCAGAACUAAAAAAAACUGUAGAUUCUUGAUGUUGACUUAUCGCCAUUCCUUUAAUAAGUUAAGGUGUUUGCAUACUAAACCAAUCACCACAACUGAGGAGUGUUCUUGGCGGACUCGCAUUAUGGAUAAAAUUCAAAAUUGAAUGAUUUAUUUGCUAUUUUACUUUUUUUCAUUCAUCAAACAUGUUAAGGAUGCUGAUGUGUUUGGUUUACCCAUUGCUGUUAAUUAAUAACUUUCAUUUAUUAACGAAGUUUCCUGACCGGGUGUACUGAUGGUAUAUGUUCACAAGAAGUUUUGCUUGAGCUGAUAACAAGUAAACUGAGACUAUGGUGUGUGAUAUGGUUAUCUUUGACAGGAGGUGGUGGACCUAUCAUGGGUGAUCUGUGGGCUUUGAAGGGUCUAAUAGAUGAAGGUGCAUCCUUGAUUAAAUUACUUCAAAACUGCAUUGGAUCUUAUUCUGGGUUUACCUUUGUUGUGCAAGAAAGAGCGUGAAACACCUGGAUGGACACAACUCAAGCUUCCUGGCCAAGCACCAUCGUCUCGAUGUGGUCACACUGUCACAUCCGGAGGACAUUAUGUAUGUCUUUUUCAGCUCCUGUUUGUUCUUUUGUGUAAGGAUAGCUUCGCAUGACAUACAUCACUCACAUCAUUAAUUUUAAUGUAUGAAGCUUCUGUUAUUUGGGGGACAUGGAACUGGUGGAUGGCUGAGUCGUUAUGAUGUCUAUUAUAAUGACACUAUAAUUUUGGAUAGAGGUAGGUUCUUGCUCACUCUUCUCAUAAGAUUCUUCUCCUCUGCUAAAGUAUCACUUAAAAAUCCAAAAAUCCACUUCAUUAAUUUACAAUAGUACAUUACUAGUGAGAUGAUAAAAUUGUGAUGUAAAUUAUCCUUUUUCUUGCUGAGCAUUGUCUUCUAUGCGUUGUUGCUAAAUUUCUAUUUUCACAUACUAGUAACUGCUCAGUGGAAGCGCUUACCGAUAAGCAAUGAUGAGCCUCCUCCACCUCGAGCUUACCAUACCAUGACUAGUAUUGGAGCUCGUCAUCUUUUAAUUGGUGGUUUUGAUGGAAAAUCAACCUUCGGUGAUCUUUGGUGGCUGGUUCCUGAAGGUAUCUUACUCUUAUUUGUAUUGAUGUUUUAGUCCAACUUAGCUAUCACUCUGUGUGCACUGUGCACACAUCAUCCGUUAUUAUCGCUAGACUUUCUAAAAAUGGUGUUGGCACAGAUCAUAGGAAAUUAGCGACACUUCAAGCUCUAGAUAGGGACCUGUUUAGCCAUCUUAAAAUGUUAUUAUUCGUUUUUAAAGGAAGAAAUGGAUUUGGAAUUCGAGAUAGGGAUCUAACUCAAAACUUCUACGCUUUCAUCUCAACCUCACGCUCACUAUAUCUGUUCUUUUUCUUUUCUCAGAUGAUCCGAUAGCCAAGAGGUCUUCUGUACCUCAACUUAGAAACCCUCCUGAGACUAAAGAGUCAGAGAGAGAUUUGGAUACGGUAACUGUGGUUCCUGCUCAUCAUCUUAUGUGUUUCUCGCCAAUGCAGUUAAAUUAGCUUUUCAACGUGUUUUAACACCAAGAGUUUGGUCACAGCAGGAAAGAGGACAAGAGGGAUUCACUAUCGUCGACUUGCAAAAGAAAAUGGGAAUCUCUGUUGCAUCAGGGUUACUACGCCGUCAUAUCCCCGAGGAGUCAGAAGAUCAAGAGUUCGUUGAGUUAGGAACCAGAUUGAUUGAGGGAGAUGUAAUUGAUAAUCGAACCUCCAUGAUUCAGGUUAAUUUUUCCUCUUGUCUUUUUCAGGAUGUGUGAUUGUGUUAUUCUUGUACUGAAAAUGCUUCUCAACGAAUAGAUGGCAGCUGAAGCACUUCGUCAACAUUGGAAAGAGUCCACUGCAGAGACUUUGCAAUUAAAAGAGCUUAGUGCCUUGCUUCGAGAUUAUCAGCGACUUGUUACCUGAAAAUACACGUGAGUUCUUACUCAUUCCAACUAUUUCAGACUCAGUUCUUGUUUUAGUUGUUUAUGUAGAUUAUCUUUUAUUUCACUAAAAAUGGUUGUUCUUUGAUUGCGCUUGGAAUGGCAUUAGAAUAACUUAGAUAAAUCUCCUGAGAGUUUAGGAGUGUUAUAUAGAGUUAAUAUGAAUAUCAUUUUUUGUGUCUUGAAUAGCCCUUGAGACUUUUUAAUCCAAGAAUUGCCAAAACUGAUUCAUUUCUUAAUGUUGUGAAGUCCUCACAUAAAAGUUGAUUGUAAAUGCAUCGCUUUGUACCCCUCUGAAAAGUAUUAAAUGUCAUGAAAUCUCACAUCUGCUUCUUCCUUUCCUUCACACAUGUUUGUUUUCAUUUGUUGUGGCGGGUUUCUAUCAGAGCUCAGGGCAGCUUAACAUCUGCUGAUUUUGGAAAGAAGACCUUUACGUUUUAUCAUAUCAAAACUUCUUCCGAGGUACUUCUGCAUACUUUCCUCAUGUUAUUAGCUUUAUUGAACAUUUGACACCAAUCAAUCAAACAUCAGGCUUUCCUCUGACAUGUCAAGUUUUCAUUUUGCUAUUCUCAGUUACGGAUGGAUGACAUCCCCAAGUUGCUGGAAGAAUACAAAACCCUUCUAAUCUGAUUGAGGAGCUCUACCAUAAAACUCACAAGGAGAUAUACUAAAACCCUUCUAAACUCAUCAAGUAGCUGCCAAGAAGAUCACCAAGAUUGCUAUCAGCAUUACCAUUCGCAAACAACAAAGCUAAAAAUUCUCAAAAGAAUCAUAUCUCUGAUAGACAACAAGAUAUGUACAACUUCUUCUUAGUCAAGGACAAAAACAUAUACCCAUAUGUAAGAUUUUCAUUAUUUCUACUUAAAUCCAUAUCUCAGCGUCUGCUCUUUGCUUUAAAGCCAAUGGGAAAGUAAGGAAAAAAGUAGGCAAACUUCACCUCUUAUACUUAGAAAUGGAUUACUACAACAACAACGGUACUCUUGAUAACUUAAACCAUAGAGUUUCUGUCUGCUUAGACCCGUAUUGUCUUUUUUCUCUAUCCCCUAAAACAACUCAAACUCAAGAUGAUCUCCCAUGGCUUUACAUUCAAGAUACCCAUUACUAUUCCCUUUAGGAGAGGUUGCUUCAGUUGCACCAUUGUCAUAUACAUCAGGCAGCUCAGGGGGAAUGGCGCAGCGGAUGAGAGCCCAGUUCAAUCCUUCAAAGAAAGGAUGCCUCUUGAUCUCAGCAGUUCCUUUCUCCCACCCGAGACGGCUCUCCGGAUCCUUCAUCACCAACCUCCUGAUCAAAUCCUUUGCCUGGAAGCUCACAAGAGGGCUAUCAGGAAACUUAAGGUUCUGAAACACAACGUUGGACAAUGUCUCCUCAUUGUCAUAACCUUUAAACGGUGUCUUCCCGUAUAAAAGCUCAUAGAGAAGGACCCCAAAAGUCCACCAGUCUACCGCAGCACCAUGCCCUUCUCCUUUUAUUAUCUCCGGCGCCAAGUACUCGUGCGUUCCUACAAAAGAGUUUGAUCCUGCUUCGGUUGGUUUAGCCACAAGCUGAGGCAAUGAUCUGAACUGUUGGGUCAGAAGAUCAGGCCUUCUCUGUUUUCUUGGUUUCGAGUUUCUAGCUUGCAUUGAUGGGAGCCUAGGGCUGAAACAUGGGAAGCAGGUUCUUCACAGGUUCUUCACCUUCUUUGGAAGUUGAGGAGCUUGAUACAAUAAGCGAAGACGAAGACAAACAGCAGUAUCCACGCGCAGCUACAGCUGGUAAGAAGUCAUGUUCGAACCCGGAUCCAUCUUUGAGCAACUUUUUUAGACCCGUGUCUAGGAGACCAGUGUUCUGCACUAUCGAAUCUUGGUCUCCUACUUGAGAUUUGAUGCUUCCAAACAAUGUCCAGCCCACUGGUCGUUGCCUAGUAAUAUCAUCUCCACCAUAUCACCAACAAUAAACAUUUUCGAAACUACCCUCCCUCUCCCCUCUCCCAAUAAAAAAAACACAAAACUUAAAAAUUAGGUAGCUCUAAAACCCUUCUGAUCAUAACAAAAAGUAAGAUCUAAACACACUUGAUGAUUACGUAAGUUGGUUCGUAAUUUUUUACCAAUCUUUGGUAUAAGGAACUGGAGAAAAGAUUCCAAAUAGACUGAGGAAGAAAGACAUGCAGAUUCCGGAGAUUUGAUAGUUUGGUGUCAAGGCCACAAAGCAUCAAGCUUUGUUAACAUGUAGUAGUAGUAGUACCAGAAGAACUUGACCACAGUACGGCCGUAUCCUAUCAUUGAGUAAAGGAUUAUAGUAUGUAAACUCUAGUUUGUAUGGUGUCAUACUAAUAACUUUGUCUAUAUUACCAAUUUUCCCAAUUUCUUAUUUCUAACAAACUAUAAUGUAUAAAUAUCAAUGAAUAUAUUUUGCAAGUUGAAAAUAAGGGAGAAAUUUUUUUUACCAAAAAGAAUAAUAAGGGAGAACUACAGUGAAUGUUUCGAGUGGGCCUAAAGCAAAUGCAUUAUUGCCUUGCGAAAAAAUCAUUAUCGCCACAGACUAGAAAAAACUCCUAUUUUCUUUUUAUUCAAAAUUAGAACCACAAGAUGGCAGUCGUAGACUGAUAAGAUUGACUUGGAGUCUACUCUUUCAUUGCCACUCAUAUCUUUUCUUCCAAAGAACGUCUCUAAGCAAGUUGAAGAGCUGUUACAUGAAAGGUAAAUCAUGUUCUUGUAUCAUUAUUUGUAUGUUUAACUUGCUUUGAUCUGUCUUUUGGACUCUGUUGUGGUUGAAUCUGAAUUUAAAAACGAAAAUUCGUUAGAUUAUUACAAAUCUUGUUUUACGAAUUUAAAGCAUUUAAUCAUCAAAUCUUGUUAUAAAUUGUUUGAAUAAAAGUAAAGUUCCUCUAACAGGUAUCAUGUUUUAUUAGAUCAACCAAGGAUUAUCAUAACGGUUUUAAAUCUUACUACAAGUUUGUACUUAUGUGUUGAUGAUGGUGGAACAGGAGAAUAGUGAUGGCUGAGGGCGUUGUGUCGUUUGGAGUGGAGAAACUCUGGGAUCUCCUGAGUCGAGAAUCUGAGCGAUUGCAGGGAGUUCAUGAGAAAGUUGAUGAUCUAAAAUGUCAGAUGAGAAUGUUACAGUCGUUGUUGAAAGAUGCAGAUGCGAGGAAACAUGAGAAUGAAGUAGUGAGAAACUUCUUGGAAGAUGUCAAAGACAUUGUUUUUGAUGCUGAAGACAUAAUCGAAUCCUUUCUUUUGAAAGAAUUGAGUGGAAACCAAAAAGGGAUCAAGAGGCGUGUGAAAAGACUUGCUUGUUUCUUAGUGGAUCGCCGAGGUCUUUCUAUGGACAUUGAAGGCAUAAUUAAGAGAAUGUCUAAGGUGGUUGCACAAAUGCAGAGCUUUGGUAUACAGCAUAGCGUCAACAGAUCACCGUCUGUACAAGAGAGGCAAAGGGAGAUCCGACAAACAUAUCCUAAGAGGUCUCAAAAGGAUCUCGUGGGGGUGGAACAGAGUGUUAAGGAACUAGUUGGUCAUUUGGUGGAGAAUGAUAGCAUCCAAGUAGUUUCCAUAUCUGGGAUGGGUGGUAUUGGAAAAACCACUCUUGCAAGACAAGUCUUUCAUCAUGACAUUGUUCGAAGUCAUUUUGAUGGAUACGCGUGGAUCUGCGUUUCGCAAGAUUUUAAGCGGAAGGAUAUUUGGCAAAAGUUAUUGCAAGACCUUAGACCACAUGAUAAGGGCAUCGAACAUAUGAAUGAGAAUACACUCCAGGCUGAGCUCUUUCACUUGUUGGAGACGUCUAAAUAUUUAAUUGUCAUGGAUGAUGUAUGGAAAAAAGAAGAUUGGGAUGCAAUAAAAGACGUUUUCCCCCAAGAAAGAAGAGGUGAGCUCUCUUAUUGUACAUACAUUACUUAAGAACUCCCCAUAACCACAUUUCAUAAAUGCCUUUUGAGUCCCUGAGAUGAAAGGAAAUACAAUUGCAGGUUGGAAGAUGAUUCUUACUUCACGCGAUGAAGGUGUUGGUUUGCAUGCAGACCCAACAUGUUUUCCUUUUAGACCAAAACCACUUACUCCCGAAGAAAGUUGGAAGCUAUGUGAGAGCAUAGCAUUCCCUAGAAAAGAGAUAACGGGUAAUGUUUUUAUAUAAGAAUCAUAUGAAUCCAGAAUCCUUAAGGCCAGUAAUUUCUUACGGCCGGGACAUCUUAUCAAAAAUCUUGUGUAUUAAUUCCUAAAUCCGCAUGACAUAUAUUAUUACAUAUACCUUUGAGAAACAAUAUACCAUCAAUACUAUUAAAACAGAAGACCUUUUUUUGAGGUGCUCUUCUGUUUCAACAAUAUUUUCAGAUCUUUGCCACUGAAAUAUUUAAAACUUAUGAUUUUAAUUAAAUUCUGAAUUUUCUUUUAUUUAUACAACAGAAAAUCUAAUAAUGAAUCAACACGUUAUUAAAGUAAACCGACUUAUUUAAUAUUUUACCAAAAAAAAAAAGUAAACCGACUUACCCAACGAACGUAAACCAACCAACAUACUUAACAAUAAAAUAAAGUGUUAUGCUGGUUCAAUCCAUCGAAGUAUAAAUUAUAAACUACAUGAUUCUAUAUACUUAACACGUCUUUAACUUGAUAUCAAGUAUAUAAACAAACAAUUUACAGCAUUUCAAUUCCUAUAGGAUACCGGUUCAAAUGUUCUAUAGAAAACUAAAUCGACGUUGGUAUGAAUUAAAUCAUCCAAUAUAUCACACUUAAAGAAACGAAUAUAUAAACAAUAAAUAUUAAAUAUAUGAACAAAAUAGGUGUGGGAAUAUUCAUUAAGAACAGUUAAUAUUUUCCUAAUUGAAUGGUCGAUAAGAUAUUUAUAAUAAUCAUAUUUUUCAUAGCAAUCAAUUAAAUGCAUCAGUUUCGGAAUGCUAAAUAACAAUACCUUUCUUUUUAAAAAUAAAAUUAGAAAGAUCUUCCUAACUAAAUAAUUAAGUCGACAGCAAAAAAAAAUUAUACAUGAACAAAAUGACUAAUCCUAUUAGAAAAAAUAAAUGAAUUUAUAAGGGUUUGAGAUUUAAAAAGUGUCGGUUAAAAAAGAGACGGGUUCAAAUACAUGACAGAUUUAUUUAUUGUAAAAUAUUAUUUUUAAAAACAAUUAAUUAUAAACUUUCUGAAUAUUUUUUUUUUAAAUUCACCUUUCGUAUUGAAAUAUAAAUAUUCUAAAAAAAAUUGUUUUAUCAUGUAAUCUAAGAAAUAUGUCAUUACAAAUAUGUUCUUUACAAUUUCAUUUAUGAUAAUAAUGUGAAAUCUUUUUUUUCAAUAAUGUAUUUUUUCCUAUUAUAAAAAAUAUUAAUAAAAUAUUUUAAUAUUUUUAAUAAUAUAGUUAUUUGAAUUCAGAAUUAUUAUUAACAAUAUUAAAAUUAUUAUGAUCUAUAUACAUAUUUUUAUUUUAUAAUAUUAUGUCCGGAAAUUUAACAAAAAAUGAUUAAUCCUUGCGGACUAACAUUUUUAUGUGUAAGCAUUCAGUAAAAAAAAAUUAUUUAGAACUAAAUUACAAACAAUUAAAAAAAUGAUCUAAACGGAUUUGAAAUUUAAAAGGUCAAGAAAAGGUUUAAACAUGAUAAAUUUAUCUAUUUUAAAUUUUAUGACAAAGUGGUAUAGACAUUUUUAGAAGUGGGUGUUCGGACUACCAUUCGGGUUUGGUUCGGGUCUAUUCGGAUUUUGGGUUUUCAGGGUACGAUAUUUAAGCCCCAUUUGGAUUUUUAUAAAUUUUGUUUCGGGUUCGGUUUAGAUCUUUGCGGGUUCGGAUAACCCGUUUAAAUUAUUUUAAAUUUUUUAAAAUUGUAUAUACUUUAAAUUUCUUAAAAUCUAAAAAAUAAAAUAAUAUAUAACAUAAAAUUUUGAGUAAUGUAUGCCAAGAUACCUAAACCUAACAUAAAAAUUGGUUUGCAUUGCUUAUUUGGUUAGGUAAUCAAUAUAUAUUAAGUUGGUGUUUUAAGUAUAGUUUAGCUACAUUAGAUAUUUACUGACUAUUUCUUUAAAUUUUCAAACAUUUUGGACAACUUCAAAAUAUUCUAUACAUUUUGGAAGUUAAAUAUAAAAUAGCUAAUAUAUUCAAGUAUAUAAAUCUAAUUCGGAUAUAUUCGGAUACUCGAAAUAUUUUUGUUCCGGUUCUUUAGAUACCAAAAUUUUAAACAUGUUCACAUAUCUAACAAGUUUCGACUCAGGUUCAGUACUACUUUCUCGUAUCAUAUUCAUUUCAGUUCUUCGGAUUCGAAUUUUUUGCCCAACCCUAAAAUUUUUAAGAAUUUUGACAACAUAAAAUGUUCCAGGCUUCAAAACGUGUCGGUAAAAAAGGAGACGGGUUUAAACAUGACAGAUUUAUCUACAUGAAAUAAUAUUUAUUAAAAUUUUAAUUAUAAACUUUCUGUAUUUUUUAAUUAAAAUCCAUCUUUCUUGUUGAAACGUAAAUAUUAUAUUAAACCUUUUUAUCAUGUAAUAUAUGUCAUUUCGAAUAUUUCUCUUUAGAAUUUCAUUUAUGCGAAUAAUGUGAAAUCUAUUUCUAACCAAUUUAGUUAUACCAUUUUUAUAUUUUUAAUAAUAUAUGUUUUUCCUAUUAUAAAAUUAAAUCUUAAUACUUUUAAUAAUAUAUUUAUUUGCAUUUGAAAUUAUUAUUAAUAAUAUUUCAAUUAUUAUAAUCUAUAUGCGUCUUUCAUUUUAUAAUAUUAUUUUUGAUAAAUAAACAAAAAUGAUCAAUCUUUGUUUACUAACAUUUUUAUACAUAUUUUUUCAGUAAAACAUAUUUUUAUACAGAACUAAAUAGUUAAUUCUAUUAAAAAAAAGGAUCAAAACGGGUCUGAAAUUUAAAACGAAUCGGUCAAAAAUGAGACGAAUCUAAAUAUGAGAAAUUAACCUAUUUGAACUCCCGAAAAAAAGAUUUAUCUAUUUUAACAUUUGUGACUAAGUGACAUAGAUAUUUUCUUGGUUUUUCACGACGUAAAAAUCCUGCGCUUUAAAAGCGCGGGUCAAAAUCUAGUCUAAACUAUUAAAACAGAAGUACAAAAUUAAACUAACCCUUAAACUUACACAAUAUUUACAAUAGAAUGCCACUGCAGUAUUUAAUAAACCUAACAAUAGAUAUUCUUUGUCUUUCAUGUUUUAUUAAUGCAUUUUCCUAAAUUAAUUUUUAACUAAAAACAUGGCAACAAUAAUUUAAGCAAAUCUAAACAAUAAGGAAUAUCAAAACAUGAAUCAGUUGAGACAAUUUUUUUCACGAAAAAGAUGAUUAAUUAGUUUGUACUUUUAUUAUCAUAUCAUGAAUCAGUUGUAAUUUAAAAUCCAAUUUUUAUAUAUAUAUUUAUACUAUAAUGUAAAAAAAAUGACGUAAUAAGUGAAAAAAUCAUUUUAACCACACGAGAUCAACAUAUGAACAAUAAGAAAACAUAUACAAACAUCGUCCAUUUGUUCAAUGAAUAUUAUAUCUUUUUAAUGCUCUUCAUAUACUCAAUAUAAUCAAAAUAUCUAUUUUAAUAUAUCUAUAUUAUUAAAACUGAGGUAAGUAUUAGAAUUUUUUUUUUCAUUCUAAUAACUACAUGCGCUACCUAAUUAAUAAUUAUUAAUUAAUUGACAACAAAUCAUUUAUUUUGUUAGAUUUUUUGCUAUCCAAACUUCAAACUUAAUUCAUUAACUACAAAUCAUUUAUUUUUUUAAAUUCUUUUCUAACCAAACGUACGAAACUUACGAUUAUUUUCUAACUGGAUUAUUCUGUAACCAAAUUUUACAAUAAAACUAAAAAAAUUUAUUUAAAAUGUAUCUACAAACUUUAAAUGUUAUAGAUAUAUUCAUAUAUAUCAUUAUUUUAUUUCACAUGCAAAAUAUAAACUAUAGAUAUUUUUAUAAAGUUAUUUUCAAAAUAUAUAUUAAAUAAUUUGAUGAUUAAUACAAUUCACAAAUAUAAAUUUAAUUAUAAGAAUACAAUAAAUAAAUUUCAAUUUAAUAUUUUCUCAAAAAUGAAAAUAAAAGUGAAAUUUAUUUGGCAUAUAAAAAAAAUUUAGAGACAUAUAUAUCUAUGUUAUUAAAACAUGAUACAUUUAAUUUUUAAAAUAUAAAUUUAUUAAUAUAUAUAUAAACAUAAUAAUUGGUACUCUAAUUUAGAAAUAAAUACAUCAAAAUGGUUACUGUAGUCAAAAAUAUAAAUCGACAAAUAUAUUAUAUAAUAUAUUUUUAAUUUGUUUUGUAUUCUACCAUAAUAUGAGAAAUCAACAAAUUACACACAGUAAAAAUAGUCCAUUUAUCACAAUUACAAAUCGAAUAAAUACCAUAUGAAUGUAUAUAUCUACAACUAUUAUAUUUUGUAUUGUAAAAAAAAUUAUAUUUCUAUUUUGUUAAUUAAACACCCGUGCGGAUGCACGGGUCAAACUCUAGUUUGAUUUAUUUCAUAUGUCAUCACCAAUGUUUUAAAAACCAGAUCGGACAUUGACUCGGCAUUGUACCUGGGUAAACGGUCGGCUCGGUCCAACCCGGUUCAAGCGGCUUUUAAAUUUUAAUCAAAUUUUAAAUUAAAUAACUAUAUAUAUAUAUAUAUAUAUAUGUAUAAUCAAUUUAAUUUUAUAAACCUUUCUAUCAUUGUUAAUAUAAAAAAUCAUAUGAAAAUAAAAUGCAACUUCAAAAAUAAUAUAAAACUAUAGUUAAAGUAAUUUAUUUAGAUAAAUAUUAAAAAAAAUAUGAAUUUUUAUGAAAUCUUUUUUAAAAUUGCAAAUUUUAUUUUUAAACUUGAAUUUGAGAAAAUCUCAUAAUUUCAUAAUUGAAAAAUAUUGUUUAAAAUCAGUUUAAAAUUGCAUUAUUUAAACAUAACUUAACAUUUAAAAGUUUUACGUAAACACAAGUUCAAUUAAAGCUACUUAAUUUUUUAUAAAACUUUAUUGUAAAUAACAUGUUUGGUUUUCUGUUGUGAAAGCAACACUAAGUAUAAAUUGCAUGCACCAUUAAAUAUUGAUUCUGGCAGAGUAACAAACGUUACAGAUACUAAAGUUUUAGCUAGCUCUAUUCAAAUAUGAAAGAAUUUCUAUACCAAAAACGAUGUGUGUUUUUUACUGAGAAAAACAUAAUUUUUUUUACUGAGAAAAACAUAAUUUUCUUGAAUAAAGUAGAAUCUUAAAUAUUGAAAUAUUUAUGUUGAUAGUUCAAAUUUCUUCUUAUAUUAAAUUACAUAUAAAUCUGAUAUUGAUAUAUUUAUAUUAAAGAUAUUGUCUUUUUAUAUUAAAUUUAUUUUUUAGUUAUAUAAAAAGAAAAUCGUUUUUAUUAAAUUACAUGUUUUAUAUUUAUUAAAGAUAUUUCCUUUUUGAUGAUAAAGUGAUUUUGAAACAAAUAUUUAAAUGUUUAUUAAAAUAUUGAUAGUGGUAUUUUAACAAUAAAAUUUAUUUAUUAAGGUUAUCACUGUAAUUAACCAUUCUAAGAAUCAACGUGAGUGCGACACGUAGAAAACUGACUUAUCAUAUACUAUUAUAGAGAUAAAGUACUAUUAUGGAGAUAAAGUACUAUUAUGUUCUACACAACUUUAUAUAAUUUUGCUUAUUUGUCAUAUUUUUAAUGAUUUUGACUGAUGAAUCAUCAAUUUAGAUUUAUACUAUUAUUUAAAAUUUUAUCUUAUUUAGUCAUCAAUUAUUUAUUUAAUCUUAAUUUUAAAAUAGAAUUAAACUAAUAUUUAAAAUUAAUUAAUGUAAUCAAAUAAUAAAAUCUAAAAACUGACAAAAAUUUAUUUUAAAUAAAAUUUAAAUUUAAAAAAAUAUUACUCUAAACAUAGUGCAGAAAAAUACCUAAUACAAACUUCAUAUUGUAAGUGAACAUAAAUGUUCAAGACAAAAAAAAAGUGGUAGUAAUAGCAAAAAGUAUAAAUACAAAGUAAACUAUAAAAGGGGCCAUCAUAAAAACUAACAAUUCUUCAAUAGUUAUAAGUUAGAAAAUAUAUAUAGAUUCUUUUAACUUAUAAAAUUAAUUAUUUAUUAAUGGUAUCAACGUUUUUAACCGAUCUGACUUUUAAGGUGAGAGCUAAUAAAAAAAAUUAAAUCAUUUUGCAAAUAAUAAUAUAGAUAUAUUAUAUUUUAACAUUUAAAAGACACACAUAUUAUUUCGAGGCUCUAAUCUUAUAGUACGGUUUUCAGAAUUAAAUGUUGAUGAAGAACUAGAAGCCAUGGGUAAGAAAAUGGUCACAUAUUGUGGAGGACUACCAUUAGCCGUUAAAGUGCUGGGAGGCUUGUUAGCUAAUAAAAACAUGGUUGAAGAGUGGAAAAGAGUAGAUGACAAUAUUCAAACUCAGAUAGUUCGCAUAGAUGACAACAGUCAAGAUUCGGUUUACCGAGUAUUGUCUAUGAGCUAUGAAGAUUUGCCCAUGCAGUUAAAGCAUUGCUUCCUAUACCUAGCUCAUUUUCCCGAAGAUGACAAGAUACAAGUACGGAUAUUGUAUAAUCUUUGGGAAGCAGAAGGAAUAAUAACGUCAAGUUGCGAUGGAGAAACCACUAGGAAAAUUGGAGAAGAAUACAUAGACGAGCUAGUAAGGAGAAAUAUGGUUAUUGCAGUAAAAGAUGAUUUGAGUUGCAAAUGGAAGUAUUGUCAAAUGCAUGACAUGAUGAGAGAAGUAUGUUUAUAUAAAGCCAAAGAAGAGAACUUUCUUCAGUUUAUCGAAGUACCUACUUCUUCCACCUCUACCAUCAAUGCGCAUACUCCUACCAGAGCUCGCAGACUCGUAGUACACGGUGAUGGUAAUGCAUUUGAUAUGCUGGGACGUAAAAACAAUCAAAAAGCUAGAUCUGUUUUGGGUUUUGGACUCGACAGCAACUUGUGGAAGCAGUCAGGUCAAGGAUUACGAAAUUUACAACUACUUAGGGUCUUAGAUCUGAAUUUACAAACACAUGAUAGCGACUCUAGAGGAGGGAGAAUACCAUCCAGCAUUGGAAAGCUCAUUCAUUUGAGAUAUUUGAGCUUACACAUGGGUCGUGCAACUCAUGUACCUUCUUCUUUACGGAAUCUAAAGCUUCUAAUCUGUUUGAGCAUUUACUCCGAGGGAAGAGUUCAUCUGCCAAGUAUCUUUAAAGAGAUGGUAGAGUUAAGGUCCCUGAUGCUUCCCCGUUAUAUUGACGCUAAAACAAAGUUGGAAUUGGGUAAUCUACUGAACCUAGAGUACUUGGUCGGCUUCCGACUUGAAUACGGUAGCAUCACAGACUUCCUCCGAAUGAAAAAGCUCAGGACUCUCGAGAUAUUUCUCAAAGGCAGGUAUACUUCUGAAAUUCUUGCGUCAUCUCUCUGUGAAUUAACAAACCUGGAGACGCUUAAAUUGAUCAAUGUGAACGGAUACGAUGAGGCUUAUGAUUUGGAUUUCGUUUGGAAUUUCAUUCAUCUAAGGCAUUUAGAGCUGGACAUACAUAUAACAAGGCUUCCUGAUCACUCUCGAUUUCCUCCCCACCUUGCACACAUAUCUCUAUGUGACUGUAAAAUGGAGGAGGAUCCACUGCAGAUUCUGCAAAAGUUGCUUCAUUUAAAGUCGGUUGAAUUAUCAUAUAGUACUUUCGUGGGGAGGAAGAUGGUGUGUUCAAAAGGUGGAUUCCCUCAGUUAUGUAAGCUACAAAUACGGUUCCUGCACAACUUGGAAGAGUGGAUAGUCGAAGAAGGGUCGAUGCCAUGUCUUCGUACCUUGUCUAUUCGGUAUUGUAAGAAGUUGAAGGAGCUACCGGAAGGGCUCAAGUAUAUAACUUAUUUAAAGGAACUGGAUAUCAGACAUAACAACAAGGAGUGGAAGAAGAAACUCGCACCAGGUGGGGAAAGUUAUCACAAAGUCAAACACAUUCCUAGUGUUCAAUUAAACUAUCGUGGCAAUUAAUAAGGAGAAUAAAACUGUCUCAGGUAUAUAUUCUUUUUGGUAUAAUGUCAAUAUUGUUCAUUUUGUUGGUUAUGUAUCCUCCUUGAAGUUUAGUGUGAGUCUCAACUCUCUGUUAUUCGGUUUUCAGGUGAACCUACUCAGGAUCAGUACCCACCACUAUCGAUUGUGUGAUAUGAUAAUAAGUCGUUUUUGUUGUAUGAAGUUUACAUAUCUUGUUUGUGAUAUAUUUCGUUUAUCUGUUUGCAUGCUCAUUCACUGUAAUACUAAGUUUGAAAUAUAUUUUGUAUGUUGAACCAUAUCUUCUUCGAUGUCUCCGUUGUGUGUGCUUAGUUGAUUUUCAUAGUCGGAACUGGAGAUAGAACGAUGGUUUUAUCAUGACAAAACGCAAGAACAACAACACAUAUAAAUUAGAUAUGUUGUAACAACUAUUUAAAAAAUUGAAUGAUGGAAACCCCAAAUUUGUUUAAAGAAAAUGAUGUUGAUAGUGGUUUUUGAAAAAAAAAAAGGGAUUAUGAUGAACAAUAACAAUGAAAACUCAUUGUAAACACGCUUUAGAGAGCCAAACAAAUAAAUCAAUUCUAAGAUUUUUGGUGGAAAGGUAAUUUAAGAGGAGAUGGAAAACGAUAACAGGAAUGAGUCUUUAAAAACACACAUAUAUAUAGAUUGAUAAAGGAUGCUUCAUCUAAGAGUUGUAUUGUUUUGAGAUGGAGACUAUUCGGUGAAAAGAUGCAACGCACCGCAGUUUUGUUUUUUUAUAUCAUUAAAUUCAAUCAAAUAUGACUGUUGGACUUAAAACCUUUUUUCUUUUAAAAAGUGACGAUAUCACCAGUUUUGGUAUGCUAUUAUAUAUAUAAUUUUUUUAUAAUGAAAAUAUACAAUUUUAAAAAUUAAUAAUAUUCAGAUUGUUAUGAAAAUAUACAAUUUAUAUAAUGAACAGACACAAUUUUUCAAACUAAUACAUUUCAGUUUUUUUUUAUGAAACAACACAACCAAAGUAGUUAUUUUGAAAAGACACAACUAUUUCGAUUUUUAGAAAAGAUACAACUUUUCAACAUAAGUAAGAUUCAUAACCUUUGAAAUUAAUCAGGAUUGCUAUUAUUAGUAGAUAAAAUAUUUGAUUUUAUCAUAUAUAUAUAUAUAUUAACAGUGGCGGUUCUACUAAGCUCAAGAAGGUGGCACUUGCCCCCUAUAAAAUCAUUAAAUUCUUUUUAACUUACCCAAAAUUUUGUUACAUACGUUUACUGAAAAUCAUGUUUUAUUUAUAUAGUUGUAUUUACAUAUGAUUUGCCCCCAGUAAAAUUUUGUUCUACAUCCGCCCCUGUAUAUUAAUUAACUUUUAGAAAUCCGACAUUUAUAUUUUUUUGUUACACUAUUUGGUGUAUACAAAAUAUGUUUUAUAGAAUUUAAAAUGUAUUUUUAUAUAUAAUUUUACGAAAUAUUAUCAAAAUAUAUUGAAAUGUUAAGAAAAAAUAGAAAUGAACUUCAUUUGUGAAUAUAAAACAAAUAAUACAAUGUUUAAUGUUUGUACUUUAUGUGUUUAUUAAUUAUAGAAUUUUUACUGCAUAUUGUUAUAAAUAUAUAUAUAUAUUUUAAAAACAUUUGAAAAGACUAAACACACUAUUAUUUCAAGACUCUGAUCUUAUAACGUGUGUUACUAUUUUCAGAAUUUGAUGUUGAUGAGGAACUAGAAGCCAUGGGUAAGGAAAUGGUGGCAUAUUGUGGAGGACUACCAUUAGCCAUUAAAGUGUUGGGAGGCUUGUUAGCUAAUAAAACCAUGGUUGAAGAGUGGAAAAGAGUAGAUGACAAUAUUCAAACUCAGAUAGUUCGCAUAGAUGACAAAAGUCAAGAUUCUGUUUACCGAGUAUUGUCUAUGAGCUAUGAAGAUUUGCCAAUGCAGUUAAAGCAUUGCUUCCUAUACCUAGCUCAUUUUCCCGAAGAUGACAAGAUACAAGUACGGAUAUUGUAUAAUCUUUGGGAAGCAGAAGGAAUAAUAACGUCAAGUUGCGAUGGAGAAACCACUAGGAAAAUUGGAGAAGAAUACAAUAGACGAGCUAGUAAGGAGAAAUAUGGUUAUUGCAGUAAAAGAUGAUUUGAGUUGCAAAUGGAAGUAUUGUCAAAUGCAUGACAUGAUGAGAGAAGUAUGUUUAUAUAAAGCCAAAGAAGAGAACUUUCUUCAGUUUAUCGAAGUCCCUACUUCUUCCAUCUCCACCAUCAAUGCUCAUACUCCUACCAGAUAUCGCAGACUCGUAGUACACGGUGGUGGUAAUGCAUUUGAUAUGCUGGGAAGUAAAAACAAUCAAAAAGCUAGAUCUGUUUUGGGGUUUGGACUCGACAGCAACUUGUGGAAGCAGUCAGCUCAAGGACUCAGAAAUUUACAAUCACUUAGGGUCUUAGAUCUGAGUUUAGAUUAUAAAAACGACUCUAAAGGAGGGAGAAUACCUUCGAGCAUUGGAAAACUCAUUCAUUUGAGAUAUUUGAGCUUAGACAUGGGUUGGGCAACUCAUGUACCUUCUUCUUUACGGAAUCUAAAGCUUCUAAUCUAUUUGAGAAUUUCCUCCUGGGGACUGGAAAGAGUUCAUCUGCCAAGUAUCUUUAACGAGAUGGUACAGUUGAGGGUCCUGAUUCUUCCCCGUUCUUUUGAGGCUAAAACAAAGUUGGAAUUGGGUAAUCUCGUGAACCUGGAGUACCUGAUCGGCUUCCGAUCAGAAUACGGUAGCAUCACAGACUUCCUCCGGAUGAAAAAGCUCAGGACUCUCGAGACCUGGAGAAGCUUACAUUGAUCAAUGAGAACAACAAAUCCGAUGGGGUUUAUGAUUUGGAUUUCGUUUGGAAUUUCAUUAAGCUAAGGCAUUUAGUGAUAUGGAUGCAUAUGCCAAGGCUUCCUGAUCACUCUCGAUUGCCUCCCAACCUUGCACACAUAUCUCUAACUAACUGUGAAAUGGAGGAGGAUCCACUGCAGAUUCUGCAAAAGUUGCUUCAUUUAAAGUCGGUUGAAUUACAUCAAAGAUCUUUCGUGGGGAGGAAGGUGGAUUCCCUCAAUUAUGUAAGCUAGACAUAUGGUACCUAGACGACUGGGAAGAGUGGAUAGUCGAAGAAGGGUCGAUGCCAUGUCUUCGUACCUUGUCUAUUCGGUUCUGUGACAAGUUGAAGGAGCUACCGGAAGGGCUCAAGUAUAUCACUUCUUUAAAGGAACUGGUUAUCACACAUCAGAACAAGGAGUGGAAGACAAAACUCGUACCAGGUGGGGAAAGUUAUUACAAAGUCCAACACAUUCCAAGUGUUCAAUUAAACUAUCUUGGCCACGAAUAAGGAGAACAAAACUGUCUCAGGUAUAUAUUAUUUUUGGUAUAAUGUCAAUAUUGUUCAUUUUGUUUGUUAUAUAUCCUCCUUGGAGUUUUGUGUGAAAGUAUGAACUCUCUGUUAUUCGGUUUUCAGGUGAACCUACUCAGGAUCAGUACCCACCACUACCGAUUGUGUGAUAUGAUAAUAAGUCGUUUUUGUUGUAUUGGUGUAUGAAGUUUACAUAUCUUGUUUGUGAUAUAUUCCGUUUUAUCUAUUUGCAUGCUCAUUCACUGUAAUGCUAAGUUUGAAAUACAUCUGCAUGUUGAACCAUAUCUUCUUCGCUGUCUCCGUUGUGUGUGCCUAGUUGACUUGUAUUGUAUGGUCGGAAAUGGAGAUAGAACGGUGCUUUGAUAGUGAUCACUUAAUACUAUUCUUAACAUGAUUUUAUCAUUUGGUUUAAGGAAUGUCAAGAGCUUUUAAAUGAAACAUCUAGUUAAUCCGUUUUAACAGAUAUAGAACCUUGGAGUUUAUUGAAACCAAAGUCAAGAGUUUCUCACCACAAUGAGACUAUCCUCACAGUUGAUAUCAAUGGCGCAAUCAAAUCAUAUAUACAACACCUUAGAGGAUUCAAGAAAGUCUCUUGGUUCCAUUCCUUCGCGACCUGGUUCGCUUUUUUCACUACUCAAGUGAUCAGCACUUUUGAUUGAAAACUGAUACCACACAGCAUCCACUUGAAACUAAACAUAAAUAUACAACCAAACAGUUACGCAAUGAUAGCUCAACCAGACAGAACCGAACCGAAUCUUAGUUUUGCUUUCCAAAUUUUAAAUAACGGGAUAAACCGGUUGAUUCUCAUCCAGUUCUGUAAUUUGUCUGACACUACUCAAGUGAUCAGCACUUUUGAUUGAAAACUAAUAACACACAGCACCCACUUGAAAGUUGAAACUAAACGCAACUCAAUGAUAAACCGGGAUAAACCGGUUAGUUCUCAUCGAGUUCUGUAAUUUGUCUUUUACUAUCAAACCGGACAAAUUGAUGGUUUAAAAACAAAACUCAGUCUGGAUUAUAAUAAAAUCAGAUCAUGAAACUCUACCAAACAAGAGUCCUUUCGGUCUCUGCAAAUUUGUUUUCGACUCUAAUUGAGAGGAGGAGAAGUCCAGUACUUGAAACGAAUCCAAAAACGCGGUGAUCCGUGCGUUUUCAGACACCAUCGCGACCGUAUGCAUAACUGGGUUAGAGCUUCCUCAUCCGAUUUCACCGGAACUCCUCCACAGCCCAGGAGGUAAAUUAAUUACUUCUUCUCCAUUCAAUUUCCGAUUUUAAUUUCAGCUGAUGAUUUUUAUUCUUCAUCAGUGGACAUACAGCUGUCAAUGUCGGAAAAUCCAUGGUCGUGGUGUUCGGCGGCCUCGUCGACAAGAAGUUCCUCAACGACAUCAUUGUUUAUGACAUUGGUAAUAUCAUACUUCCUUAGGAUUAUUGUUUCCUUGCUUCAAGAAAGAUGCUUUCUUUCUCACGAGUUACGUUCUUGGCUUGCUCUGCUUGUCUCUAGUAGUUUAUUUGAUAGAACGAUGCUUACAUCAAAGAUAGUUACUUUGCAACAAAAAAAAAAAAAAACUAUAGAAAGCUGAAAACUUCAAGAUGAGAUUAUUCGAUUCGGUGUUGUUGAAGAGGAAUCAGAUGGAUACUCUCUUUUCUUAUUUUGCUAGUUUUGUUUCUGAGCUUCUUUUGACCCCUCCUUGGCCUUGUUUUAAGUAUCAUAUAUGUGCAGCUUUUUUGAUCAUGUGAUAAUCGGUUUGUCUUAUGAUUUGCUUCUUCUUUAUCCUGUCGACUAGAGAACAAACUCUGGUUUGAGCCAGAGUGUACUGGCAGCGUUUCUGAAGGAAAAGUUGGCCCUACACCUCGCGCCUUUCAUGUUGCCAUCACUAUUGAUUGCCAUAUGUUCAUCUUUGGUGGACGUUCUGGUGGCAAGAGGUACUCACUACUAUAUAUUUUCUAGUUAGAAGCGUUUUUACAUUUCUACUUUCACCGGAAUAGCUUAUUUCUAGAAAUAAAUCAAUUUCAGAUUGGGUGACUUCUGGGUUCUAGAUACAGGUAAGUGUACAAUCAUAACAAUGUCAGUGACAUUAUGUCACUGAGACCUGCCUGGGAACUUUUUAAUACCCUGCUGCUGACAUUUUCUGCAGAUAUAUGGCAGUGGUCUGAGCUAACCAGCUUUGGCGACUUACCUACACCUCGUGAUUUUUCUGCUGCCGCUGCUAUUGGCAACCAGAAAAUCGUGUUGUGAGUAUCUGAAAUUUUAGACGUUCCAUCAGCUUGUUUCCUGCAUUGGCUUAGCCUAUGAUCAUUGGCAGGUGUGGCGGCUGGGAUGGUAAAAAAUGGCUGUCAGAUGUGUAUGUUAUGGACACAAGUAUAUCUCUCGUCUACUUCAGUUUUGUAAUAAACUGUUUUUAAGUUUCUGAUAAUGUCAGCUUUCUUGGUGUCUGUUAGUGUCUCUUGAAUGGAUGGAGCUGUCGGUUUCGGGGUCGUUGCCGCCUCCUAGAUGUGGCCAUACAGCCACCAUGGUUGAGAAACGUUUACUUGUUUUUGGUGGCCGAGGUAUAACACCAGAACCAGAAUCUUUGUUCUGCUUGAGCUGAUGACAACUAAACUGAGACUAUGGUUAUCUUUGACAGGAGGUGGUGGCCCUAUCAUGGGUGAUCUGUGGGCUUUGAAGGGUCUAAUAGAUGAAGGUUCAUCCUUACCUAAAUUACUUAAAAAUUGCAUUCUUAUGUUCUGUUUGCUAAUCUUAUUGUGGUUUACCUUUGUUGUGCAAGAAAGAACGUGAAACACCUGGAUGGACCCAACUAAAGCUUCCUGGCCAAGCACCAUCAGCUCGAUGUGGUCACACUGUCACAUCCGGAGGACAUUAUGUAUGUCUAUUUCAGCUUCCGUUUGCUCUUUUGUAUAAAUAGGUCGCAUGACAUACAUCACUCACAUCAUUAAUGUUCAUGUAUGAAGCUUCUGUUAUUUGGGGGACAUGGAACUGGUGGAUGGCUGAGUCGUUAUGAUGUCUAUUAUAAUGACACUAUAAUUUUAGACAGAGGUACAUUCUUGCUUAUGAGAUUCGUCUCCUCUGCUAAAGGAGCACUCUAAAUCCAAAAAUCCACCUCAGUAAUUUACAAUCUAGUGAGAUGAUAAAAUUGUGAUGUGCUUUAUCAUUUUUCUUGCUGAGCAUUGUUUUCUACGCGUUGUUGCUAAAUUUAUAUUUUCGCAUACUAGUAACUGCGCAGUGGAAGCGCUUACCAAUAAGCAAUGAUGAACCUCCUCCUCCUCGAGCUUAUCACACCAUGACAAGUAUUGGAGCUCGUCAUCUUUUAAUUGGUGGUUUUGAUGGAAAAUCAACCUUCGGUGAUCUUUGGUGGCUGGUUCCUGAAGGUAUCUUUCUCUUAUUUAUACUGAUGUUUUAGUCCAACUUAGCUAUCAUUCUGUGUACACGCAUCAUCAGUUACUUAUUGUUGGAAACUCUUUAGACGAACUAAUCCUGGUGUUGGUCGCAGAUUGUAGGCAAUUUUAGAGACACUUAAUUUCUAGCAUAAUCUUUUUUUUCUUCUUUAUCAAGUUUGUAUUGAAAGUUUUGAAGUUUUACUGAACUGUUUAGCCUUCUGAAAAUGUUGUUAUUCGUUUUUUUCUUUUUCUCUUUUCUCAGAUGAUCCCAUAGCCAAGAGGUCUUCUGUACCUCAACUUAGAAACCCUCCUGAGACUAAAGAGUCAGAGAGAGAUUUGGAUACGGUAACUGUAGUUCCUGCUCAUCAUCUUAUGUGUUUCUCGCCAAUGCAGUUAAAUUAGCUUUUCAACGUGUUUUUAACACCAAGAGUUUGGUCACAGCAGGAAAGAGGACAAGAGGGAUUCACUAUCGCCGACUUGCAAAAGAAAAUGGGAAUCUCUGUUUCUUCAGGGUUACGCCUUCAAAUACCCGAGGAGUUAGAAGAUCAAGAGUUCGUUGAGUUAGGAACCAGAUUGAUUGAGGGAGAUGCAGUUGAUAAUGGAGCCUCCAUGAUUCAGGUGAGUUUUUCCUCUUGUCUAUUUUAGAAUGUGUGAUUGUGUUAUUCUUGUACUGAAAAUGCUUCUCAACGAAUAGAUGGCAGUUGAAGCACUUCGUCAACAUUGGAAAGAGUCCACUCCAGAGACUUUGCAAUUAAAGGAGCUUGGUUCCUUGCUUCGAGAUUAUCAGCGACUGGUUACCCGAAAAUACACGUGAGUUCUUAUCCAUGCCUAACUAUUUCAGACUCAGUUCUUGUUUAUGUAGAUUAUCUUUUGUUUCACUAAAAAUGGUUGUUCUUUGAUUGCGCUUGGAAUCACCACAUGGCAUUAGAAUAACUUAGAUAAAUCUCCUGAGAGUUUAGGAGUCAUAUAGAGUUAAUAUGAAUAUAUCAUUUUUGUGUCUUGAAUAGCCCUCGAGACUCUUUAAUCCGAGCAUAUUGUCAAAACUGAUAAUGUUGUGAAUGCAUUGUUUUGUGCCCCUACUAUUACAUGUUAUGAAAUCUCACAUCUGCUUCUUCCUUUCCUUGACACAUGUUUCUUUUCAUUUGUUGUGGCGGGUUUCUAUCAGAGCACAGAGCAGCUUAACAUCUGCUGAUUUUGGAAAGAAGACGUUUACGUUUUAUCAUAUCAAAAAUUCUUCCGAGGUAUUACUCUGCAUACUUUCCUCCCUCGCCUGAAUAUUUGACACCAAUCAAUCAAAACAUCAGGCUUUCCUCCUGACAUGUCAAGUUUACAUUUUGCUAUUCUCAGUUGCGGAUGGAUGACAUUCCGGAGUUGCUGGAAGAAUACAAAACCCUUGUAAUCUGAUUGAGGAGCUCUGCCAUGAAACUCACAAGGAGAAUACAAAACUCAUCAAGUAGCUGCCAAGAAGAUCACCAAGAUUGCUAUCAGCAUUACCAUUGCAAACCACAAAGCUAAAAAGUCUCAAGAGAAUCACAUCUCUGAUAGACAACUAUGUACAACUUCUUUUUAGCAAGAACAAAAAGAUACAACGUAUAUGUAAGACUUCCAUUAUCUCAACUUAAAUCCAUAUCUAAGCCUCUGCUCUUUUAUUUCUUGUUUGGGCUUUGAAAAUAGAUUGUUUUGCCUUGAAGCCAAUGCGAAAGUAAGGAAAAAAGUAGGCAAACUUCAUCUAUUAGACUUUGAAAUGGAUUACAACAACAACGGUACUCUUGAUAACUUAAACCACAGAGUUUCUGUCUGCAUAGACCCGUAUUGUCUUUUCUCUAUCCCCUAAAACAACUCGAACUCAAGAUGAUCUCCCAUGGCUUUACAUUCAAGAUAUCCAUUACCAUUUCCUUUAGGAGAAGUUGCUUCCGUUGCACCAUUCUCAUAUACAUCCGGCAGCUCAGGCGGAAUGGCGCAGCGGAUGAGAGCCCAGUUCAAUCCUUCAAAGAAUGGAUGCCUCUUGAUCUCUGCAGCUCCUUUCUCCCACCCGAGGCGGCUCCCCGGAUCCUUCAUCACCAACCUUCUGAUCAAAUCCUUUGCCUGGAAGCUCACAAGAGGGCUAUCAGGAAACUUGAGGUUCUGAAACACAAACGUCUCCUCAUUGUCAUAACCUUUGAACGGUGUCUUCCCGUAUAAAAGCUCAUAGAGAAGAACCCCAAACGUCCACCAGUCUACUGCAGCACCGUGACCUUCUCCUUUAAUGAUCUCCGGCGCCAAGUACUCGUGCGUUCCUACAAAAGAGUUUGAUCUUGCUUCAGUUGGUUCAGCCACAAGCUGAGGCAAUGAUCUGAACUGUUGGGUCAGAAGAUCAGGCCUUCUCUGUUUUCUUGGUUUUGAGUUUCUAGCUUGCGUUGACAAGAGCCUAGGGCUGAAACAUGGGACACGGCACGAUGGACUCUAUCUAAAUCACAGGUUCUUCAUCUUCUUUGGAAGCUGAGGAGCUUGAUACAAUAAGUGAAGACGAAGACAAACAGCAGUAUCCAGGCGAUGUGCACCGCAGCUACAGCUGGUAAGAAGUCAUGUUCGAACCCGGAUCCAUCUUUGAGCAACUGUUUUAGUUCCGUGUCUAGGAGACCAGUGUUCUGCACUAUCGAAUCUUGGUCUCCUACUUGAGAUGUGAUGCUUCCAUACAAUGUCCAGCCACUGGCGUUGCCUAGUAAUUAAUAUCAUCUCCACCAUAUCAAUAUUUGCUGCAUCCCCUCCUCCAUAAGAAACAUAAAACAUAAAAGUUAGGUAGCUCUAAAACACUUCUGAUCAUAACAAAAAGUAAGAUCUAUAACACACUUGAUGAUUACGUAAGUUGGUUCGUAAUUUUUACCAAUCUUUGGGAUGAGGAACUGGAGAAAAGAUUCCAAAUAGACCGAGGAAGAAAGACAUGCAGAUUCCGGAGAUUUGAUAGUUUGGUGUCAAGGCCACAAAGCAUCAAGCUUGGUAACAUGUCGUAGUAGUAGAAGUAGAACCAGAAGAACUUGACCACAGUACGGUCGUAUCCUAUCAUUGAGUAAAGGAUUAUAGUAUGUAAACUCUAGUUUGUAUGGUGUCAUACUACAUGAUCUAAUAACUUUGUCUAUAUUACCAAUUUUCCCAAUUAAUUAUUUCUAACAAAAGUAUAAUGUAUACAUAUCAAUGAAUAUAUAUUUUGAAAGUUGAAAAUAAGGGAGAAAUUUUUUUUUACCAAAAAGAAUAAUAAGGGAGAACUAUAGUGAAUGCUUCGAGUGGGCCUAAGCAAACGCAUUAUUGCCUUGCGAAAAAAUCAUUAUCGCCAGAGACUAGAAAAAAACUCCUAUUUUCUUUUUAAUUCAAAAUUAGAACCACAAGAUGACUGUCAUAGACUGUCGAUACUCUUUCAUUAUUUCUUCUUCCAAAGAACGUCGCUAAGCAAGUUGCAGAUCUGUUACAUGUAAGGUAAAUCACGUUCUUGUAUCAUUAUUUGUCUGUUUAACUUGCUCUGAUCUGUCUUUUGGGCUCUGUGGUGGUUGAAUCUGAAUUUAAAAACAAAAAUUCGUUGCAUUGUUACAAAUCUUGUUUUACGAAUUUAAAGCAUUUAAUCAUCAAUGCUUGAAUAAAAGUAAGUUAAGUAAAGUUCCUCUGACAGGUAUCAUGUUUUAUUAGAUCAACCAAGGAUUAUCAUAACCGGUUUUAAAUCUUACUAUACAAGUUUGUACUCAUAUGUUGACGGUGGAACAGGAGAAUAGCGAUGGCUGAGGGAAUUGUAUCGUUUGGAGUGCAGAGACUCUGGGAGCUCUUGGCUCGAGAAUCUGAGAGACUGCAGGGAGUUCAUGAGAAAGUUGAUGAUCUAAAAUGUCAGAUGAGAAUGUUACAGUCGUUGUUGAAAGAUGCAGAUGCGAGGAAACAUGAGAAUGAAGUAGUGAGAAACUUCUUGGAAGAUGUCAAAGACAUUGUUUUUGAUGCUGAAGAUAUAAUUGAAUCUUUUCUUUUGAAAGAAUCUAGCGGUGACGAAAAAGGGAUCAAGAGGCGUGUGAAAAGACUUUCGUGUUUCUUAGUGGAUCGCCGAGAUAUUUCUAUGGACAUUGAAGGCAUAACUAAGAGAAUGUCUAAGGUUAUUGCCCAAAUGCAGAGCUUUGGAAUACAACAUAACGUCUACAGAUCACCGUCUCUACAAGAGAGGCAAAGGGAGAUCCGACAAACAUAUCCUAAGAGGUCUCAAAAGGAUCUUGUGGGGGUGGAACAGAGUGUUAACGAAUUGGUUGGUCAUUUGGUGGAGAAUGAUAGCAUCCAAGUAGUUUCCAUAUCUGGGAUGGGUGGUAUUGGGAAAACCACUCUUGCGAGACAAGUUUUUCAUCAUGACAUUGUUCGAAGUCAUUUUGAUGGAUUCGCAUGGAUCUGUGUUUCCCAAGAUUUUAAGCGGAAGGAUAUUUGGCAGAAGUUAUUGCAAGACCUUAGACCACAUGAUACGGGCAUUGAACAAAUGAAUGAGGGUACACUCCAGGCUAAGAUCUUUCACUUGUUGGAAACAUCUAAAUAUUUAAUUGUCAUGGAUGAUGUAUGGAAAAACAAAGACUGGGAUAUAAUAAAAGACGUUUUCCCCCAAGAAAGAGGUGAGUUCUCUUAUUGUACAUACAUUACUUAAUACUCCCCAUAGCUAUUUCAUAAAUGCAUUUGAGUCCCUGAGAUGAAAGGAAAUACAAUUGCAGGUUGGAAGAUGAUUCUUACUUCACGUGAUGAAGGUGUUGGUUUCCAUGCAAACCCAACAUGUUUUCCCUUUAGACCAAAAACUCUUACUCAUGAAGAAAGUUGGAAGCUAUGUGAGAGCAUAGCAUUCCCUAGAAAAGAGAUAACGGGUACGUUUUUCUAUAAGAAUCAUAUGAAUCCUUAAGGCCAGAAAUCUCUUACGGGCAGUGUUUUUAAAACCGGAUCGGCUAGCGAACCGAAAUUUUUUUAGAUCAUGGGUCAUUGUGGUUCAACCGGGUCUGAACCGUGUUCGAUCGGGUUUAAUUAGAUUAAACUAAAUUUAAUGAUAUUUUAUAAAUAAUAUGCAUAUUCUUAAAAAAAAAUAGAUCAUAUCAAAUAAAAUGUUUAAAUAGCCAUAAUGUGUAGAAAAACUUAAAAAUAACAAUUAAAAUUUAAAAUCAAUAUGAAAAGCAUAAUUAAACUUUAUUCGCAAAUCUUAUCACUCUAAAUCUUUAUCAUCUUAUAAAAAAAAUUUAUAGUAAAAUUUAUAUUUUGAAAUACAAAUUUCACAAACAUAAAGGUUUCAAUUAUUAGAAGUCUUCAAAACAAGUGAUCAUGAAAUAAAAUUUAAACAAAGUGAGAAGUAGACAAAAACAACAUCUUGACGUAUUAAACUUUGUGAAUCUUGUAAUUUAUGAGUUGUAGAGACGACAAAAGAAAAAGACGAAAGACGAUAUUUUAUUAAUCUUUAAUAAAACUUAUUUUUUAUUUAAAAAAGAAGAAAAAUUAAUUAUUUCAUUAACAAAAUUUUGGCUUAUAUACUAACCGUAGUUUGGCCGAUUCAUUGGAUCGCCGGUUCCUAGGGUUUUGACGGUUUGAUAGGGGUUUUUAACUGGUUCAAAUUUAGUUGGGUUUUAGUAUUAACCCAACCCAGAUUAUUUUCGGUUGAUAGUUCAACCCGGUCUGACCGCCAGUUCGGUCCAAGUUUAAAAACAUUGCUUACAGGACAUCUUAUCAAAAAUCUUGUGUAUUAAUUCCUAAAUCCGCAUGACAUAUAUUAUUAUAUAUACCUUUGAGAAACAAUAUACCAUUUGAUUUAUUUCAUAUGUCAUCACCAAUGUUUUAAAAACCAGAUCAGACAUUGACUCGACAUUGUACAUGGGUAAAUGGUCGGCUCGGUCCAACCCGGUUCAAGCGGCUUUUAAAUUUUAAUCUAAUUUUAAAUUAAGUAACUAUAUAUAUGUAUAAUCAAUUUAAUUAUAUAAACCUUUCUAUCGUUGUUAAUAUAAAAAAUCAUAUGAAAAUAAAAUGCAACUUCAAAAAUAAUAUAAAAUUAUAGUGAAAGUAAUUUAUUUAGUUAAAUAUUAAAAACAAUAUGAUUUUGUUUUGAAAUCUUUUUUAAAAUUGCAAAUUUUAUUUUUAAACUUGAAUUUGAGAAAACCGGAUUUUAAUAUCGAACCAAAUCACCGGUUUUAACGAGUUUGACAAGUUUUUUGAUAAGGUUUACCAGUUUAAUUCAAAUUUGGUUUUAACACAACUAGGAACCGGCUAAAAGAACGAGUCACGGUCCAAACAGACGGUCCGGUUUUCAAAACGUUGGUCAUCACCAUAAUGACUCUUUAAUUUCUUAGAGCAAUAAGUUAUAAUCUAAACAUAUAAUCUAAUUCUCAUUAGACUAACUAUAAAAUUAAUUAUUAAAAUACAAAACAUAUUAAUUAUCCCUUCUUUGCUUAACACGUGUUAUUAUUUUAUUUAUUUAAAGAAAAUAAAUUUACGUUUUAAUAUUAUUAUAUUUAUAUUUUAAAUUCAUCAGUUUAGAAAAGAGUGAAAUCAUAACUUUUUGUAAUUUUGUUUCAUUUGAUUUGGUUAAUUUAUUUUAAUUUCAAUAGAAGAUAAUUAUGUUUUAUAUAAAUAUGAGUUUAUUUAUAUUUUUUUAGUGAUUAUUUAUUUUAAAUAUGUUUUUUAUCCUUUAAGUGUAUAAAUUUUAAUAAAUUUUGAAUUUCUAUUUAAAUGUAUAGCUAAAAUAUGUUAAAAUCGUAAACUAAAUUUGUUAAUUAAUAAAAUAAACUAAUAGAUCCUAAUAAAAUUUGAAACAUUUAAUCAUAAAAAAUUGAUUAGCAUUGCUUUAGUUUUGUAUUUGUUAAUGCACACUUACAAUUUAUUUUAGUAGGAAAACAAUAUAUAUUUAUAGAAAUAUGAUUAAUAAUUUAAAAAUUAAAAUGUAAUUAUAUUUAGUUUAUUUUUUUAUAAAUAUGAUAUAUAUAUUUUUAUUAUAUUUUAAUGAUGAUAUAUGAAUUAUUGAUUAUUAAUGUAUUUAAAGUCCUGUCAAAAUAAAAAUUUACACAAAAAUGUUAACUUUUAAAUAGUGAUAUAAAAAUUAUUAGUUACUACCAUAUUUAAAAUUUCUUACUAAAAAUAUAAAUUUAUAAAAAUUAUUAUUUAUUACCAUAUUUAUAAAUAUUUACAGAAAUAUAUUUUUAUAUAAUAAAAUUUUACAUAUCAAAAAAAAAAAUUGAUCUCAUAUCACUAUUUUCUAAAGACAGGUUAUCUUUUUUUUGUGAGAAUGUAUGUUGUGAUGACAUGUACAAACCACUUUGCGAAAAUGUUUAGGGAUAUUAGAUUUUGAAUGAUAAAUAUUUGAUAAAUUUGACCCAAAAAAAGAUUUGAUAACAAUUUGUGUAUCUUCUAUCAUUUUUAUUUAAUUUUAUAUUAUUAAAGUAAAUUAGACAAUCUCAUUAAUCAUAUAAUAAAAUUAGAUUUUUUGUAUAUGAUAUAUUUUGAUUUUUUAAAUGACUAUAAAUUACUUAAAUUGUUAAAAAAUUGUUGUCAUCAGUGGUUUAAUUUUGUUUGUUAUAACAAGAUACAAAUGAUCAAAAAAUGGGUAUGAAGUCUCAAUUAAUAGAACUUUAGAUUAAAAUAUAUAUAUCUAUUUUAAUACUGUUUGAAUUAAACUAUCUAUAUUUUUUUCUGAACAUUUGAAAAGACUAGAGACAUUAUUUCGAGGCUCUAAUCUUAUAACAUGUGUUACUGUUUUCAGAAUUUAUUGUUGAUGAAGAACUAGAAGCCAUGGGUAAGAAAAUGGUCACACAUUGUGGAGGACUACCAUUAGCCGUUAAAGUGUUGGGAGGCUUGUUAGCUAAUAAAAACAUGGUUGAAGAGUGGAAAAGAGUAGAUGAGAAUAUUCAAACUCAGAUAGUUCGCAUAGAUGACAAAAGUCAAGAUUCUGUUUACCGAGUAUUGUCUAUGAGCUAUGAAGAUUUGCCAAUGCAAUUAAAGCAUUGCUUCCUCUACCUAGCUCAUUUUCCCGAAGAUUACAAGAUACAAGUGAAGAGAUUGUAUUAUUACUGGGAAGCAGAAGGAAUAAUAACGUCAAGUGGCGAUGGAGAAACCACUAGGAAAAUUGGAGAAGACUACAUAGACGAGCUAGUAAGGAGAAAUAUGGUUAUUGGAGUAAAAGAGGAAUUGAGUUGCAGUUGGGAGUAUUGUCAAAUGCAUGACAUGAUGAGAGAAGUAUGUUUAUAUAAAGCCAAAGAAGAGAACUUUCUUCAGUUUAUCAAAGUCCCUACUACUUCCACCUCCACCAUCAAUGCUCAUACUCCUACCGGAUCUCGAAGACUCGCAGUACACGGUGGUGGUAAUGCAUUUGAUAUGCUGGGAAGUAAAAACAAUCAAAAAGCUAGAUCUGUUUUGGGGUUUGGACUCGACAGCAACUUGUGGAAGCAGUCAGCUCAAGGACUCAGAAAUUUACAAUUACUUAGGGUCUUAGAUCUGAGUUUAGAUUAUAAAAACGACUCUAAAGGAGGGAGAAUACCUUCGAGCAUUGGAAAACUCAUUCAUUUGAGAUAUUUGAGCUUAGCCAUAGGUUGGGCAACUCAUGUACCUUCUUCUUUACGGAAUCUAAAGCUUCUAAUCUAUUUGAAACUUAAGUCCUACGGAAGUGUUCAUCUGCCAAGUAUCUUUAACGAGAUGGUAGAGUUGAGGUUCCUGCUGCUUCCCUUUUUGGUUGACGAUAAAACAAAGUUGGAAUUGGGUAAUCUAGUGAACCUGGAGUACUUGAGCGGCUUCCGAUCAGAAAACGGUAGCAUCACAGACUUACUCCGAAUGAAAAAGCUCAGGAUUCUCCACAUAAAACUCAAAGGCAGGUAUACUUCUGAAACUCUAGCUUCAUCUCUCUGUGAAUUAAGAAACCUGGAGGAGCUUAGCUUGAUCGAUGAGAAGCUUAGCUUGAUCGAUGAGAAGCUUAGAUUGAUCGAAGAGAACAACGAAUCCGAUGGGGCUUAUGAUGUGGAUUUCGUUUGGAAUUUCAUUCAUCUAAGGCGUUUAGCGCUGGGCAUACAUGUGACAAGGCUUCCUGAUCACUCUCGAUUUCCUCCCAACCUUGCACACAUAUUUCUAAGUGACUGUAAAAUGGAGGAGGAUCCACUGCAGAUUCUGCAAAAGUUGCUUCAUUUAAAGUCGGUUGUAUUACAUCUAAGGUCUUUCGUGGGGAGGAAGAUGGUGUGUUCAAAAGGUGGGUUCCCUCAAUUAUGUAAGCUAGAAAUAUGGAACCUAUACGACUUGGAAGAGUGGAUAGUCGAAGAAGGAUCGAUGCCAUGUCUUCGUACCUUGUCUUUAUGGAAUUGUAAAAAGUUGAAGGAGCUACCGGAAGGGCUCAAGUAUAUCACUUCUUUAAAGGAGCUGGAAAUCACACACGAGAACAAGGAGUGGAAGACGAAACUCGUACCAGGUGGGGGAAGUUACCACAAAGUCCAACACAUUCCCAGUGUUCAAUUACACUAUCGUGGCAACGAAUAAGGAGAAUAAAACCGUCUCAGGUAUAUAUUUUUUUGUGUAUAAUGUCAAAAUUGUUCAUUUUGUUGGGUAUAUAUCCUUCUUGAAGUUUAGUGUGAAAAUCUCAACUAUCUGUUAUUCGGUUUUCAGGUGAACCUACUCAGGAUCAGUACCCACCACUAUCGAUUGUGUGAUAUGAUAAUAAGUCGUUUUUGUUGUAUGAAGUUUACAUAUCUUGUUUGUGAUAUAUUCCGUUUAUCUAUUUGCAUGUUCAUUCACUGUAAUGCUAAGUUUGGAAAUACAUUUGUAUGUUGAACCAUAUCUUAUUCGAUGUUCUCCGUUGUGUGUGCUUAGUUGACUUGUAUAGUUACCGAACCGAACCUGAGUUUUCCAAAUUUGUCUUUUACUACCAAACCGGACAAUAUUGAUGGUUUAAAAACAAAACUCGGUCUGGAUUAUAAUAAAAUCAGAUCAUGAGAGACUACCAAACAAGAGAGUUCUUUCGAUCUCUGCAAAUUUGUUUUUGACUCUAAUUGAGAGGAGAAGAAGUGUACUAGUUGAAGCGAAUCCAAAACGCUGUGAUCCGUGCGUUUUCAGACAUCAAUCGCCAAACGUAUGCAUCAUUGGGUUAGAGCUUCCUCUUCCGAUUUCACCGGAACUCCUCCACAGCCUAGGAGGUAAAUUAAUUACUUCUUCUCCAUUCAAUUUUCGAUUUUAAUUUCAGCUGAUUAUUUUUAUUGUUCAUCAGUGGACAUACAGCUGUCAAUGUCGGAAAAUCCAUGGUCGUGGUGUUCGGCGGUCUCGUCGACAAAAAGUUCCUCAACGACAUCAUUGUUUAUGACAUUGGUAAUAUCAUACUUUAGGUAGAAAGAUGCUUUCUUUCUCACGAGUUACGUUCUUGGCUUGCUCUGCUUGUAAUGACUAUUGUCUCUAGUAGUUUAUUUGAUAGAACGAUGCUUACAUCAAAGAUAGUUACUUUGCCAAAAAAAAAAAAAACUAUAGAAAGCUGAAAACUUCAAGAUGAGAUUAUUCGAUUCAGUGUUGUUGAAGAGGAAUCAGAUGGAUACUCUCUUUUCUUAUUUUGCUAGUUUUGUUUCUGAGCUUCUUUUGUCCCCUCCUUGGCCUUGUUUUAAGUAUCAUAUGUUCAGCUUUUUUAAUCAUGUGAUAAUUGGUGGUCUUAUGAUUUGCUUCUUCUUUAAUCCUGUCGACUAGAAAACAAACUCUGGUUUGAGCCAGAAUGUACUGGCAGCGUUUCUGAAGGAAAAGUUGGCCCUACACCUCGCGCGUUUCAUGUUGCCAUCACUAUUGAUUGCCAUAUGUUCAUCUUUGGUGGACGUUCUGGUGGCAAGAGGUACGCACUUCUAUAUAUUUUCUAGUUAUAAGCGUUUUUACAUAAGAGCUCAUUUCUAUAAAUCAAUUACAGGUUGGGUGACUUCUGGGUUCUAGAUACUGGUAAGUGUGCCUCGGAGUUUUAAUUUCUCUGCUUUGGCACUUCUAUGAGACACCUAUUAAUGACAUUUUCUGCAGAUAUAUGGCAGUGGUCUGAGCUAACCAGCUUUGGCGACUUACCUACGCCUCGUGAUUUUUCUGCUGCCGCUGCUAUUGGCAACCAGAAAAUCGUGUUGUGAGUAUCAUAAAUUUUAGACGUUCCAUCAGGUUGUUGCAUGCAUUGGCUUAGCCUAUGAUCAUUGGCAGGUGUGGCGGCUGGGAUGGUAAAAAAUGGCUGUCAGAUGUGUAUGUUAUGGACACAAGUAAAACUUUAUCUCUCUCCUCUACUUCAGUUUUGUACUAGACUGAUUUUAGUAUCUGAUAAUGUCAGCUUUCUUGGUAUCUGUUAGUGUCCCUUGAAUGGAUGGAGCUGUCGGUUUCGGGGUCGUUGCCACCUCCUAGAUGUGGUCAUACAGCCACCAUGGUUGAGAAACGUUUACUUGUUUUUGGUGGCCGAGGUAUAACACCUUGAACCUAAACUUUGUAGCUUCUUGCUCUUGACUUAUCACCAUUCUCUUAAAAAAGUUAAGGUGUUUGCAUAUUAAACCAACUUGGCGGACUCAUAUGAUAGAUAAAAGUAAAAGACCGAAAAUUUAUUUACUGUUCCACCUUUUCAUUCAUCAAACAUGUUAAGGAUGCUGAUGUGUUUGGUUCCACGAAUUACACAUCCAAAUUCAAUAUAAGUCCAUAAAAUGCAAAUAAAGAAAACAAACAAAUUAGAGGAGGGGGGGAACUUGAGUGAAAUAUGAAUCAAAUAUUAAUAAAUAGCAAUUUAUGCAUCGUUGUAAGUUAAUAACUUCCAGUCAUUAAUGAAUUGUCCUGAACGGGAUGGUAUAUGUAAUGUAGAAACCCUCUUCCAAUCUUAAGGAUUCAUACUUUUAAGCAAAUCCACUAGUUUGAUAGUUCUUUGGUUCUGACAUCUGAGGUAUAGGUCAUGAUCACAAUUAUUUUUUGCUUGAUCUGAUAACAACUAAGCUAAAACUAUGGUGUGUGAUAUGUUUAUCUUUGACAGGAGGCGGUGGCCCUAUCAUGGGUGAUCUGUGGGCUUUGAAGGGUUUAAUAGAUGAAGGUACAUCCUUAAUUAAAUUACUUCAAAAUUGCAUUAUAUGUAAUGUUCUGGUUGCUGAUCUUAUUGUGGUUAACCUUUGUUGUGGAAGAAAGAACGUGAAACACCUGGAUGGACGCAACUAAAGCUUCCUGGCCAAGCAUCAUCAGCUCGAUGUGGUCACACUGUCACAUCCGGAGGACAUUAUGUAUGUCUUUUUCAGCUCCUGUUUGUUCUUUUGUGUAAGGAUAGCUUCGCAUGACAUACAUCACUCACAUCAUUAAUUUUCAUGUAUGCAGCUUCUGUUAUUUGGGGGACAUGGAACUGGUGGAUGGCUGAGUCGUUAUGAUGUCUAUUAUAAUGACACUAUAAUUUUAGACAGAGGUAAAUUCUUGCUUAUGAGAUUCGUCUCCUCUGCUAAAGGAGCACUCUAAAUCCAAAAAUCCACCUCAGUAAUUUACAAUCUAGUGAGAUGAUAAAAUUGUGAUGUGCUUUAUCAUUUUUCUUGCUGAGCAUUGCUGUCUACGCGUUGUUGCUAAAUUUAUAUUUUCACAUACUAGUAACUGCACAGUGGAAGCGCUUACCAAUAAACAAUGAUGAACCUCCUCCUCCUCGAGCUUACCAUACCAUGACAAGUAUUGGAGCUCGUCAUCUUUUAAUUGGUGGUUUUGAUGGAAAAUCAACCUUCGGUGAUCUUUGGUGGCUAGUUCCUGAAGGUAUCUUACUCUUAUUUGUACUGAAUGUUUCUUAUCGUUGGAAAGUCUUUAGACGAACUAAUCUUGGUGUUGAUCACAGUUUGUAUUAAAAGUUUUGAAGGUUUACACAUCUGAUUGAAUUUAGUAUACUGUUUAGCCUUCUAAAAAUUAAAGAGAAAAAUGGACGUGGAACUCUAGAUAGGGAUCUCACUCAAUACUUGUGGGCUUCAAAUACCCGAGGAGUCAGAAGAUGAAGAGUUCGUUGAGUUAGGAACCAGAUUGAUUGAAGGAGAUGUAAUUGAUAAUCGAGCCUCCAUGAUGCAGGUUAAUUUUUCCUCUUGUCUUUUUCAGGAUGUGUGAUUGUGUUAUUCUUGUACUGAAAAUGCUUCUCAACGAAUAGAUGGCAGCUGAAGCACUUCGUCAACAUUGGAAAGAGUCCACUCCUGAGACUUUGCAGUUAAAAGAGCUUAAUGCCUUGCUUCGAGAUUAUCAGCGACUUGUUUCCCGAAAAUACACGUGAGUUCUUACAUUAUCUUGUUUAUGUAGAUUAUCUUUUAUUUCAAUAAAAAUGGUUGUUCUUUGAUUGCGCUUGGAAUGGCAUUAGAAUAACUUAGAUAAAUCUCCUGAGAGUUUAGGAGUGUUAUAUAGAGUUAAUAUCAAUAUCAUUUUUUGUGUCUUGAAUAGCCCUUGAGACUUUUUAAUCCAAGAAUUGCCAAAACUGAUUCAUUUCUUAAUGUUGUGCAGUCCUCACAUAAAAGUUGAUUGUAAAUGCAUCGCUUUGUACCCCUUUGAAAAGUAUUAAACAUCAUGAAAUUUCACAUUUGAUUCUUCCUUUCCGUCACACAUGUUUGUUUUCGUUGUUGUGGCGUGAGUCUCAGAGCACAGAGCAGCUUAACAUCUACUGAUUUUGGCCUCCCCGGAAAGCAGACGUUUACGUUUUAUCAUAUCAAAACUUCUUCCGAGGUAAUACCACAUACUUUCCUCCUGUUAUGAGCUCUCUUGAACAUUUGACAGCAAUCAAUCAACACAUCAGGCUCUUGGCACAUGCUCUGACAUGUCAAUUUAACAUUUUGUUAUUCUCAGUUACGGAUGGAUGACAUCCCGAAGUUGCUGGAAGAAUACAAAACCCUUGUAAUCUGAUUGAGGAGCUCUGCCAUGAAACUCACAAGGAGAAUACAAAACUCAUGAAGUAGCUGCCAAGAAGAUCACCAAUAUUGCUAUCAGCACUACCAUUGCAAACAACAAAACUAAAAAAAGUCUCAACAGAAUCAUAUAUCUGAUAGACAACAAGACAUGUACAACUUCUUUUUAGUCAAGAACAAAAACAUGUACCCAUAUGUAAGAUUUUCCAUUAUCUCCACUUAAUCCGUAUCUCAGCGUCUGCUCUUUUUUUUUCUUGUUUAGCCUCUUGCAUUUUACUUUGAAAAUAGAUUGAUUUGCCUUGAAGCUAAUGUUCGAACCCCGAUCCAUCUUUGAGCAACUGUUUUAGUUCCGUGUCUAGGAGACCAGUGUUCUGCACUAUCGCAUCUUGGUCUCCUACUUGAGAUGUGAUGCUUCCAUACAAUGUCCAGCCACUGGCGUUGCCUAGUAAUUAAUAUCAUCUCCACCAUAUCACUAUUUGCUGCAUCCCCUCCUCCAUAAGAAACAUAAAACAUAAAAGUUAGGUAGCUCUAAAACAUUUCUGAUCAUAACAAAAAGUAAGAUCUAAACCACACUUGAUGAUUACGUAAGUUGGUUCGUAAUUUUUACCAAUCUUUGGUAUGAGGAACUGGAGAAAAGAUUCCAAAUAGACUGAGGAAGAAAGACAUGCAGAUUCCGGAGAUUUGAUAGGUUGGUGUCAAGGCCACAAAGCAUCAAGCUUUGUUAACAUGUAGUAGUAGUAGAACCAGAAGAACUUGACCACAGUACGGCCGUAUCCUAUCAUUGAGUAAAGGAUUAUAGUAUGUAAACUCUAGUUUGUAUGGUGUCAUACUACAUGAUCUAAUAACUUUGUCUAUAUUACCAAUUUUCCCAAUUAAUUAUUUCUAACGAAAAUAUAAUGUAAAUAUCAAUGAAUAUAUUUUGAAAGUUGAAAAUGAGGAAGAAAAUUUUUUUUACCAAAAAGAAUAAUAAGGGAGAAGUAUAGUGAAUGUUUCGAGUGGGGCCUAAAGCAAAUGCAUUAUUGCCUUGCGAAAAAAUCAUUAUCGCCAGAGACUAGAAAAAAACUCCUAUUUUCUUUUCUAAUUCAAAAUUAGAACCACAAGAUGACUGUCAUAGACUGUCGAUACUCUUUCAUUAUUUCUUCUUCCAAAGAACGUCGCUAAGCAAGUUGCAGAUCUGUUACAUGUAAGGUAAAUCACGUUCUUGUAUCAUUAUUUGUCUGUUUAACUUGCUCUGAAUCUGAAUUUAAAAACAAAAAUUCGUUGCAUUGUUACAAAUCUUGUUUUACGAAUUUAAAGCAUUUAAUCAUCAAUGCUUGAAUAAAAGUAAGUUAAGUAAAGUUCCUCUGACAGGUAUCAUGUUUUAUUAGAUCAACCAAGGAUUAUCAUAACCGGUUUUAAAUCUUACUAUACAAGUUUGUACUCAUAUGUUGACGGUGGAACAGGAGAAUAGCGAUGGCUGAGGGAAUUGUAUCGUUUGGAGUGCAGAGACUCUGGGAGCUCUUGGCUCGAGAAUCUGAGAGACUGCAGGGAGUUCAUGAGAAAGUUGAUGAUCUAAAAUGUCAGAUGAGAAUGUUACAGUCGUUGUUGAAAGAUGCAGAUGCCAAGAAACAUGGGAGUGAAGUAGUGAGAAACUUCUUGGAAGAUGUCAAAGACAUUGUUUUUGAUGCUGAAGAUAUAAUUGAAUCCUUUCUUUUGAAAGAAUUGAGUGGAAACCAAAAAGGGAUCAAGAGGCAUCUGAAAAGACUUUCUUGUUUCUUAGUGGAUCGCCGAAAUAUUUCUAUGGACAUUGAAGGCAUAACUAAGAGAAUGUCCAAGCUUGUCGAGCAAAUGCAGAGCUUUGGAAUACAACAGAUCGUCUACAGAUCACCGUCUCUACAAGAGAGACAGAGGGAAAUCCAACAAACAUAUCCUGAGAAAUCUCAAAAGGAUCUUGUGGCCGUGGAACAGAGUGUUAAGGAACUGGUUGGUCAGUUGGUGGAGAAUGAUCGCAUCCAAGUAGUUUCCAUAUCCGGGAUGGGUGGUAUUGGAAAAACCACUCUUGCGAGACAAGUCUUUCAUCAUGACAUUGUUCGAAGUCAUUUUGAUGGAUUCGCAUGGGUCUGCGUUUCUCAAUAUUUUAAGAAGAAGGAUAUUUGGCAAAAGUUAUUGCAAGAGCUUAGACCACAUGAUACGAGCAUCGCACAAAUGAGUGAGGGUACACUCCAUGCUGAGAUCUUUCACUUGUUGGAAAGAUCUAAAUACUUAAUUGUCAUGGAUGAUGUAUGGAAAAACGAAGACUGGGAUGUAAUAAAACAUGUUUUUCCCCAAGAAAGAGGUGAGCUCUCUAAUUGUACAUACAUUACUUAAGUACUCCCCAUAGCUAUUUCAUAAAUGCCUUUUGAAAUACAAUUGCAGGUUGGAAGAUGAUUCUUACUUCACGCGAUGAAGGUGUUGGUUUCCAUGCAGAUCCAACAUGUUUUCCCUUUAGACCAAAAAUCCUUACUCCUGAAGAAAGUUGGAUGCUAUGUGAGAGCAUAGCAUUCCCUAGAAGAGAGAUAACGGGUACGUCCAUUUGUCCAUGUUUAUAACCGAGUCCAUUAAAGACCCUUUUUGUGUGUGGACAAACAUUGAUCAUGUUAUUAAGAACCGAGUCCAUUAAAGACCAAACCUAUUAACAUCAGUGUUAACAUGACUUAUCCAUGGAAUCCAUUAGAGACCAUAUAAGUAAACCUACUACAAAAGACAAACCUACAAUAUAUAAGUUCUGAAUUUCAAAUCUAUUAAAGACCACAGCUUCAUAAGUAGGAUACAUAACAUAAAAAAUACUUGUAAAUUCACAUAUUGUAGUUUUAGUUUUAAUUUUAAUUUACGUAUUAAUGUUAACUAGAUUUUUGACAAAAAUUAUAACUUUAUACAUAUUUCAUAUGUUUUUAAGUUUUGUGCAUAAUUUAUAUUUAAUUUGUGUAUCUAAUUUAUUUUUAUGUUAGUAACUAACAUCUAAUAUAAGAUGAACUUAUAAUAUUUUAUUUUAAUGUACAUUAAUUUAUAAUCAUUUACAUUUUACAGAAUUACAUACAUUCAUAUAUAGAGUUUAUUAGUUUUUUUUUAUAAAAAUUAUAUGAAUACUAUUAUAUGAUAAUGAAAAUAUAAUUAUCUGUUUAUUUUUCCCAAGUUUUAAUUUAUGUUUCUAUAAUUUAACACUAAAACGAAGUAAUCACAUAUAUCAUAUUAGUUAAAAUUUGUUUAAUAUUCUUAUAAUACUUUAUGAUUUUAUAUGUAUGUUACAACAAAAAAAUGAUUUUAUAUGUUUACUCAACCAUCUCAUACUAAAUAACCUUUGUAUAUUGAUAAAAUAAUCCGUAAAAAUUACACAUAAAUAUAUGAACCAUAACCCAAUAUUUAUAUAAGUAGGUUUAGUGCUGGUUUUUAGAAUUAACGCAGAAUAUUCUUUAUAGAUUUCAAUCGUGUAAAAUUACGAAAUUUAGAAUAUUUUGAGGAUGCCAGAAUUAUCAAAAUUUAAAAUAUUAAGAUUGAUAUCAUUGAUGUCAAAAAUAUACCAUUUAGCUAGGUCUAAAUUUUUUAUAAGAAAUUGCAUUCAAAGUUUUUGUUUUCAAACGUAAAUAUCUAAGUUUUGAAAUAUUUAAGUCAUUUUCAUUUGAAUGAGUAAAUUUUGACCUACUAAGAUUUAUAAAUGUGAUUUUCUAGAUUGUAAGUUAUUUAGUAAAUAUUAAAAAUACAAAAAAUAUAUUCUCAAAACUGUUAAAGUUUUGUUAUGCUUCCAUAAUUUCAGCUUAUCAAAUAUCUAAUCUAUUAAAAGAAAAGUACCAUUUUUAUCUACUACAAAAUUGUCAUACUAGAAGUCUAGUUCCAUAUAUUUUAUUGUUUACUUAAUGUAUAACAUUUCUAAAUAAUUAUAAGGAUAUUAAUAACAAAUCUAUUUUAACUAUAAAUUUAAAUUUUAGUUUUAGGAAUAACAAAAUCUGUAGAGAAAAAAUCUAACAAAAUCUUUUUAAAAUUUUAAAUAUUAUUUUAAUUAAUGCACUGAUUAAUUUCGUAAUUAGUAGUAUAAUAUUAUUAUAAAUUAAUUUUAAUCAAAAUUUUAUUAUAAACAAAAUAAUGAAAUUAUAUGCUAAUUUUAUAAUUUUUAUUAGUAUAUUCUACAUUAUAUUAAAAUAGAAUUAAUUAAUGAAUUACAUAUUAACAUUAUGUUUUUGUACAAACAUAUUAAAAUUAUGUUGAAUUGGUAAACCAAUAUAUUUUGAAAAAUACUUUCAUUAGAUAAAUAAAUAAAAUGUCAUUCACGCUUAAAGUGACUAAAAUAUCAUUCACAUUUUAAAAUGAUUAAUAUUUAUAAAUUAUGUAAUAAUUUUUACAAAAAUUAAAAUUGUUAACAUAUGUUAAAUUUUAAUAUUUAGAACUAUAUAUCAUCUAUUAAGUUAUUUUUAAAAUGACAGCAAUAUAUUAUCAUAAAUGAUUAUAUACAAAAUAAUAUAAAAUUUUAUAUUUAUAAAUGAAAUGUUACCCACACGGGUGUGCGGGUUACAAUCUAGUUUGAAUUAUAGCAAAUAACUAUGUAUAUGAACAAUACCAAUAAAUUUGAAUGUUAUAAAUUAAAAUAGGUUUGCUAGUAGGCAAUUGAGAAUUUGAACAAAUUCCAUAUUUAUACUAAAAUCUUUUAUGUAGUUUGGAAAAUCAUAAUAAUACUAAAUAUAAUAGUCUUCUGAAUGAUUUAUCAAGUAUAUUCAAUAUUAUAUACUACAAAUAUGUAUAGUUUUACAUCAUGUAUUUUAUAAUUUUAGAAUAAUAUAAAUAUUCUUCUUUGUUAAGUUAGAUGAAUCAUGGGAGGAUGUUUAGCAAUUAAGUAGGAAACUAGAUUAAGAUCCACGCAAAUGAAUAUUAUAUAUAAAAAUAAAUUUUAUUUAUUAUUAUUUAUUUGUAUUCAUUUAUGUAUUAUGUACAUAAUUAAAUUAGAGUAAAUACAUAAAUCAAAACAUUACAUCUUGUUUAUUUACGAUAUUUUUUGGUAAAUAAAUCAAAACAAUUAUAUUCAUACGAUUUAUGAUCAUUUAUAUCUUGUUAUUACCAAAACAAGUUAAACCAUUAAUUACAAAAUUUUAGUGUAAGACAUUUAAUAUUUUUAGUAAUUUAUAGUCGUUUUAAAAAUUCAAAAUAUAACAUAUAAAAAACAUUUUAUUAUAUGGUUGAUGUGGUUGUUUAAUAUAUUUUAAUAAUAUAAAAUUAAACCAAAAAAAGCUAAGAUACAAAAAUUACUAUCAAAUAUUUAUAUUCAUAAUCAUUAAUUAUCAAUUUAAAAGUUAGUUUAAUAAAAAAUAUAAUAUAAAUUAAGAUGGACCGACCUAUUUCUCUAAGAAUUCUGAAUUUCAUUCUUAUGGUGACACGUGGCUACAAAACAAUGUUGUAAUGUUUCUCAAUUAAUAUAUAAGGGAUAUAGUUAAAAUAUUUCUUUUAAUAAAUUUAUUUUAAAAAAAAUAGCUAGUGGCAUGGUAUUGUAAUUAUCAUUGAAAACUAAAGGCAUAAUCUUAUUAGAAAUUCCGGUUUAAUAGUAUAAAUUUCAGUUUUAAGUUUAAUUUCCAUUAUUUUUAACUUGCCAAGGAACCCACGCGAUAACGCGUGGAAACUUAUUUUUAUAAAUAAAUAUAUGAUAUUAUAAUUUAUAUAUUGUAUAAAAAAUAAUUUUAUUAAAAGGAUUCCCAUGUCAAAACGUAGAACAUAUGUGUUUAUAUUUACUUAUUGAUAAUAUUAAAAAUGUAUAUUCUAUAAUUUUAAAUUACAACUAAAAUACAAAUAUAUCAAUCCUAAUAAAAUUAUACAUUUUUUUAUUAUUUUAGGUAAGUUACUCUAAAAUUUUAAAUUAUAUCAAUUUAUAAUAAAUAAAUAAAAUCUCUUUUUAAACAAAAAAAAUCUUUUCAAAUAAAAAAUGUAUCUUUUACGUUAGACGGUUGUGUUAUCAACGAAAAGUACGAACGACUCAUAACCUAAAAGGUACAAACACGUCUUAAACUAAGUGAUACAAACAUGAUGUGAUUCAAGAAGUAUGAACUUGGUCCAUGGGGUGGACGAAUGUACCUUGACCGAAGGUAUGAAUGUGUCAUUACCAAAAAGUGUAAAUGGUGUGAACGAAAUGGUGUAAAUUGAAAUUGAGAUCCAUAAGACAAAAAUUUUGGGCAUGGGUAAAAACAUGCAAAAUCUAAGAAAUAUUAAGAAAAUGAUAAACUCUAAUUUGGAUAGACUAUUUAUGUUGUCGAGAAAAGGUCAUACUCUUAUAUCAUCAGCACCAUGGUUGACCAUAAGACAAAAUAGUUUCCGGAUGGGUAAAAACAGGUAAAAUCUAAGAAAUAUUAAAAAAAAAGAUAUAUUAUAAUCUGGAUAGACUUUUUAUGUUGUCGAGAAAAGGUCAUACUCUAUAUCACCAGCACCAUGGUUGACCUUUAACAUUCUUUCAGUGAUGUCUCGUUCGCACUUUUUCAGUCACGAUCCAUUCUUACCUCUUCGGUCAUGAUUCAUUGACACUCCUUUGGAUACGACUCGUUUGCACCCUUUCAUUCACGAUCCAUUCACGUUCUUUCAGUUACGAUCCGUUCACACUCAUACGGUUAUGAUCCGUUUACUCCUUUUGGUCAUGACACGUUUGCACUUUUUUGUCACAACCCAUUUGCAAUCUUUCGGUCACGACCAUUUGCACCCUUUGGUCACAACCCGUUUGCAAUUUUUUGGCCACGAUUCAUUUGCAAUCUUUCGGUCACGACCAUUUGCAAUCUUUCAAACACGACCAUUUGCACCCUUUCGAUCAUAACCCAUUUGCACGUUUUCGGUCAUAACUCAUUUGCAUGCUUUCGGUCAUAACCCAUUUGUACCCUUUUUGUCAUGGUCAAGAUCCAUUCGCAUCCUUUCGGUCAUGAUUAAUUUCACAUCCUUUCGGUCAAGAACCGUUCGCACGCUUUCAUUUAUGACAGUUCAGAGAGUUUCGGUCACGGUCCUUUUGUACAUUUUCGGUCAUAAUACAUUCACACAUUUUCAGUCACAACACUUUCGCACCCCUUGGAUCAUGAUACAUUUGUAUCUCUUGGAUCAUAGCAUGUUCAUACCUCUUAGAUUAUGAUCCGUUCAUAUCUCUUAAAUUACAAAACAUUUAUACCUCUCUGUUGAUGACACUAUAUAAAUAUUUAUAAUUUUUAAUCAGUGUUAAUAUGAAAGUAAACUUAUAUGGAAUUGUUUUGCAUUUAUUAGUAUUGAGAUGAAAAUUUAUGUGUUUGUUUUUGGUUUUUACUUUACUCAUAUCUAUAUAUUAAUACUUCAUAAAUAUUAGUAUUUGUUUUAAAUAGACUUUUUAUGUUGGCCAAAAAAGAUCAUAUUAUUAUAUCACCAACAUCAUGGUUGACCUUUAGCAAUCUCUUGGUGAUGACUCGUUCGCACCAUUUAAGUCAAGACCCAUUCACACUCUUUCGGUAACAAAUCGUUCACACCCUUUUUUUGUCAUGACCCGUUUACACUUUUUCGGUCACAACCCAUUCGCAAUCUUUCGAUCACGACCAUUUGCACCCUUUGAUCACGACCUGUUUGCAAUUUUUCGGUCACAAUCCAUUUGUAACCUUUCGGUCACGAUCAUUUGCACCCUUUCGGUCAUAACCCAUUUGCACCAUUUUGGUCAUAGUCAAGAUCUGUUCUCACCCUUUCAGUCAAGAUUAAUUUCACAUCCUUUCGGUCUAGAUCCAUUCACACUUUUUCAUUUAUGAUCAUUGGCAGCCUUUCGGUUACGACCAUUUUGUAUAUUUUCGGUCAAAAAACAUUCACAUCCUUUCAGUUACAAAACGUUCAUACUCCUUGGAUCAUGAUAUGUUUGUACCUCUUGGAUCACAACACGUUAUACCUCUUAGAUUAUGAUGCGUUCAUAUCCUUAAAUCACAACACAUUUGUACCUCUUCGUUGAUGACACCACGUAAAUAUUUAUCAUUUUUUUAAUCAUUGUUAAUAUGAAAAUUGUGUCUCUUAAGUUUUUUUAUGAAAAGUUAUUUUUAUUAGUAAUGAAAUGAAAAUUUAUGUCUUUUUGUUUUUACUUUAUUCAUAUAUAUGAAUAGUCACAUCUUUCUAUAUAAAGGUGGUUAUUUUGAAAUGAUACUUAUAUGAAUAGUCACAACUUUUCAAUUUAAAUAGUCACAUCUUUUCAAAUUUAAAUGUAAUUAUUUUGAAAUUAUAGAAAUAUGAAUAGUCAAAACUUUUCAUUUAAAUAAUUACAUAUUUUACAAUUAAAUUCUGACUAAUGCACAACUCUUGAAACAAAUAACGAAAAGACACAACUUUAACAAGAAAUAAAAUUCCUAUAAAUAUACACAACUUUUCAACAUUGUUUGAGUUUUUCAUGUAAGACAUUUAAGAGAUGCAACUUUUAUGUAUAAAACUUAAGAGAUUCCAAUUUUCAUAUUAAUCAAUACACUGAUUUUUAGAAAUAAAACAAUUGCAAAUAUUUAUAAAAUAUUAAUAAACAGAUAUGAGAAAAAUAAAAACGAAAAAACAUAAUUUUCAUCUGAAUACUAAUAAAUACAACUUUUCAUAUAAAAAAUUAAGAGAUGCAACUUUCAUAUAGAUGAAUAGUCACAUUUUUUCCCAGUUUAAAGGUGGUUAUUUUGAAAUAAUACUUAUAUGAAUAGUCACAACUUUUCAAUUUAAAUAGUCACAUCUUUUCAAUUUAAAGGUAGUUAUUUUGAAAUGAUACAUAUAUGAAUAGUCACAAUUUUCAUGUAAAUAAUUAUAUCUUUUUAAUUUAAAUACUAACUAAUAUACAACUCUUGAAACGAAAUGACAUUUCUUAAUAUAUAAUGAAAAGACACAACUUUUAACAAGAAAUAAGAUUCAUAUAAAACACACAACUUUUCAACAUUGUUUGGGUUUGCUAUUAUUAAUUGUUUUUCUUCUUCACCAUUUUAUUUGAUUAGUGAAAAUUAUGCUUUGAGAAGACAUGGACAUUGGACUAUUUAUAGAUUUUUAAAAUUUUGUUUGAAGAGUCACAUCUUUUAAAUUAAAAGUUUGUGUCUUUUUGUAAUAAUACUUAUAUGAAGAGUCACAAAUUUUCAAUAUAAAUUGUCACACUCUUUCAAUAUAAAUAGUUAUUUUUAAAUAAAAAGACACAACUUUUAAUUGUUGAAAAGACACAUACUUUUAACAUAAGUGGAAUUCACAACCUUUUGAAUUAAUUGAGAUUGUUAUUAUUAGUAGAUUUUUAUAUAAACUAUAUAUAUAUAGAUAUUAUUUUUUAUUUGAACAUUUGAAAAGACUAGACAAAUUAAUUCUAGGCCAAUCUUACAAUGUGUUACUGUGUUUCAGAAUUUAAUGUUGAUGAAGAACUAGAAGCCAUGGGUAAGAAAAUGGUCACAUAUUGUGGAGGACUACCAUUAGCCGUUAAAGUGCUGGGAGGCUUGUUAGCUAAUAAAACCAUGGUUGAAGAGUGGAAAAGAGUAGAUGACAAUAUUCAAAGUCAGAUAGUUCGCAUAGAUGACAAAAGUCAAGAUUCUGUUUACCGAGUAUUGUCUAUGAGCUAUGAAGAUUUGCCAAUGCAGUUAAAGCAUUGUUUCCUCUACCUAGCUCAUUUUCCCGAAGAUGACAAGAUACAAGUGGAGAGAUUGUAUUAUUACUGGGAAGCAGAAGGAAUAAUAACGUCAAGUUGCGAUGGAGCAACCACUAGGAAAAUUGGAGAAGAAUACAUAGACGAGCUAGUAAGGAGAAAUAUGGUUAUUGGAGUAAAAGAGGAUUUGAGUUGCAAAUGGGAGUAUUGUCAAAUGCAUGACAUGAUGAGAGAAGUAUGUUUAUAUAAAGCCAAAGAAGAGAACUUUCUUCAGUUUAUCAAAGUCCCUACUACUUCCACCUCCACCAUCAAUGCUCAUACUCCUACCAGAUCUCGCAGACUCGUAGUACACGGUGGUGGUAAUGCAUUUGAUAUGCUGGGACGUAAAAACAAUCAAAAAGCUAGAUCUUUUUUGGGGUUUGGACUCGACAGCAACUUUUGGAAGCAGUCAGGUCAAGGAUUCCAAAAUUUACUGUUACUUAGGGUCUUAGAUUUGAGUUUAGAUUAUAAAAUAGACUCUAAAGGGUGGAGAAUACCUUCGAGCAUUGGAAAACUCAUUCAUUUGAGAUAUUUGAGCUUACAAAUGGGUUGGGCAACUCAUGUACCUUCUUCUUUACGGAAUCUAAAGCUUCUAAUCUAUUUGAGUAUUUACUCCCGGGAAAGAGUUCAUCUGCCAAGUAUCUUUAAAGAGAUGGUACAGUUGAGGUUCCUGCUGCUUCCCCCUUUUGUUGACGCUAAAACAAAGUUGGAAUUGGGUAAUCUAGUGAACCUGGAGUACUUGGGCUGGUUCCGAUCAGAAUACGGUAGCAUCACUGACUUCCUCCGAAUGAAAAAGCUCAGGACUCUCGAGAUAUUUCUCAAAGGCAGGUAUACUUCUGAAAUUCUAGCGUCAUCUCUCGGUGAAUUAACAAACCUGGAGGAGUUUAGAUUGAUCGAUGAGAACAACGAAUCCGAUGGGGCUUAUGAUUUGGAUUUCGUUUGUAAUUUCAUUAAGCUAAGGCAUUUAGUGAUAUGGAUGCAUAUGACAAGGCUUCCUGAUCACUCUCGAUUGCCUCCCAACCUUGCACACAUAUCUCUAACUAACUGUGAAAUGGAGGAGGAUCCACUGCAGAUUCUGGAAAAGUUGCUUCAUUUAAAGUCGGUUGAAUUAUCAAGUAAUGCUUUCGUGGGGAGGAAGAUGGUGUGUUCAAAAGGUGGAUUCCCUCAAUUAUCUAAGCUUGAAAUGUCGUACCUAGACGACUUGGAAGAGUGGAUAGUGGAAGAAGGGUCGAUGCCAUGUCUUCGUACCUUGUCUAUAUGGUAUUGUGAAAAGUUGAAGGAGCUACCGGAAGGGCUCAAGUAUAUCACUUCUUUAAAGGAACUGGAAAUCAUACAUAAGAAGAAGGAGUGGGAGACGAAACUCGUACCAGGUGGGGAAAGUUACCACAAAGUCCAACACAUUCCCAGUGUUCAAUUAGACUAUCGUGGCGACGAAUAAGGAGAAUACAACCGUCUCAGGUAUAUAUACUUUUGUUUGGUAUAAUGUCAAUAUUGUUCUCCAUGAAGUUUAGUGUGGAAGUCUCAACUAUCUAACCUUUUUAUUAUUCGGUUUUCAGGUGAACCUACUCAGAAUCAGUACCCACUUAUUGAUUCUGUGAUGUGAUAUAUGUCGUUUUUGUUGUAUUGGUGUGUGAAGUUUACAUAUCUUGUUUGUGAUAUAUUUCGUUUAUCUGUUUGCAUGCUCAUUCACUGUAAUGCUAAGUUUGGAAAUACAUUUGUAUAUCUUCUUCGAUUUCUCCGUUGUGUGUGCCUAGUUGACUUGUAUGGUCGGAAUUUGAGAUAGAACGGUGCUUUGAUAGUGAUCACUGAACAUCAUUCUUAACAUGAUUUUAUCAUUUGGUUUAAGGAAUGUCAAGAGCUUUUAAAUGAAACAUCUAGUUAAUCCGUUUUAACAGAUAUAGAACCUUGGAGUUUAUUGAAACCAAAGUCAAGAGUUUCUCACCACAAUGGGACUCUCCUCACAGUUGAUAUCAAUGGCGCAAUCAAAUCAUAUAUACAACACCUUAGAGGAUUCAAGAAAGUCUCUUGGUUCCAUUCCUUCGCGUCCUGGUUCGCUUUUUUCACUAUUCAAGUGAUCAGCACUUUUGAUUGAAAACUGAUACCACACAGCAUCCACUUGAAACUAAACAUAAAUAUACAACCAAACAGUUACGCAAUGAUAGCUCAACCAGACAGAACCGAACCGAAUCUUAGUUUUGCUUUCCAAAUUUUAAAUAACGGGAUAAACCGGUUGAUUCUCAUCCAGUUCUGUAAUUUGUCUGACACUACUCAAGUGAUCAGCACUUUUGAUUGAAAACUAAUAACACACAGCACCCACUUGAAAGUUGAAACUAAACGCAACUCAAUGAUAAACCGGGAUAAACCGGUUAGUUCUCAUCGAGUUCUGUAAUUUGUCUUUUACUAUCAAACCGGACAAAUUGAUGGUUUAAAAACAAAACUCAGUCUGGAUUAUAAUAAAAUCAGAUCAUGAAACUCUACCAAACAAGAGUCCUUUCGGUCUCUGCAAAUUUGUUUUCGACUCUAAUUGAGAGGAGGAGAAGUCCAGUACUUGAAACGAAUCCAAAAACGCGGUGAUCCGUGCGUUUUCAGACACCAUCGCGACCGUAUGCAUAACUGGGUUAGAGCUUCCUCAUCCGAUUUCACCGGAACUCCUCCACAGCCCAGGAGGUAAAUUAAUUACUUCUUCUCCAUUCAAUUUCCGAUUUUAAUUUCAGCUGAUGAUUUUUAUUCUUCAUCAGUGGACAUACAGCUGUCAAUGUCGGAAAAUCCAUGGUCGUGGUGUUCGGCGGCCUCGUCGACAAGAAGUUCCUCAACGACAUCAUUGUUUAUGACAUUGGUAAUAUUAUACUUCAGCCUAUGAUUAUUGAUUCCUUGAUCCAAAGAAAUGCUUUUUUUUUUUAAUUUCUCUUGAGUUACUGUCUUGGCUUGCUUUGUUUAUAAUGAAAGACUAGUGUUUCUGGUAGUUUAUUUGUCUGUUAAGCUUAGUUAGGCUGAUGCUUCCAUCAAAGAUAGUUACUUUGGAAAAAUUAUAGAAAACUGAAAACUUCACAAUGAAAUUAUUCGAUUCGGUGUUAGUUUUGUUGCUUAGCAUCUUUUGUCCCCUCCUUGGCAUUGUUUUAAUUAUCAUAUGGUCAGCUUUUUUAAUCAUGUGAGAAUCGGUUUGUCUUAUGAUUCGGUCGACUAGAGAACAAACUCUGGUUUGAGCCAGAAUGUACCGGCAGCGUGUCUGAAGGAAAAGUUGGUCCUACACCUCGCGCGUUUCAUAUUGCCAUCACUAUUGAUUGUCAUAUGUUCAUCUUUGGUGGACGUUCUGGUGGCAAGAGGUACUCACUACUAUUUAUUUUCUAGUUAUAAGCGUUUUUGCAUUCUUUUUUCAGUAACUUCUAUAAAUCAAUUUCAGGUUGGGUGACUUCUGGGUUCUAGAUACAGGUAAGUGUACAAUCAUAACAAUGUCACUGAGACCUGCCUGGAACUUUUUAAUACCCUGCUGCUGACAUUUUCUGCAGAUAUAUGGCAGUGGUCUGAGCUAACCAGCUUUGGCGACUUACCUACGCCUCGUGAUUUUUCUGCCGCCGCUGCUAUUGGGAACCAGAAAAUUGUGUUGUGAGUAUUCAGAAAUUUUAGACGUUCAUCAGCUUGUUGCAUGCAUUGGCGUAACCUAUGAUCAUUGGCAGGUGUGGCGGCUGGGAUGGUAAAAAAUGGCUGUCAGAUGUGUAUGUUAUGGACACAAGUAUAUCUCGCCUCUACUUCAGUUUUGUAAUAAAACUGUUUUUAAGUUUAUGAUAAUGUCAGCUUUCUUGGUGUCUGUUAGUGUCUCUUGAAUGGAUGGAGCUGUCGGUUUCGGGGUCGUUGCCGCCUCCUAGAUGUGGCCAUACAGCCACCAUGGUUGAGAAACGUUUACUUGUUUUUGGUGGCCGAGGUAUAACACCAGAACCAGAAUCUUUGUUCUGCUUGAGCUGAUGACAACUAAACUGAGACUAUGGUUAUCUUUGACAGGAGGUGGUGGCCCUAUCAUGGGUGAUCUGUGGGCUUUGAAGGGUCUAAUAGAUGAAGGUUCAUCCUUACCUAAAUUACUUAAAAAUUGCAUUGAAUUAUGUAGAGGAGUAUUCUCUUGAGUUGUCUUUCUUUCUUUUGUUCUGUUUGCUGAUCUUAUUGUGGGGUUUACCUUUGCUGUGGAAGAAAGAACGUGAAACACCUGGAUGGACCCAACUAAAGCUUCCUGGCCAAGCACCAUCAGCUCGAUGUGGUCACACUGUCACAUCCGGAGGACAUUAUGUAUGUCUUUUUCAGCUUCCGUUUGCUCUUUUGUAUAAAUAGGUUCGCAUGACAUACAUCACUCACAUCAUUAAUGUUCAUGUAUGAAGCUUCUGUUAUUUGGGGGACAUGGAACUGGUGGAUGGCUGAGUCGUUAUGAUGUAUAUUAUAAUGACACUAUAAUUUUAGACAGAGGUAAAUUCUUGCUUAUGAGAUUCGUCUCCUCUGCUAAAGGAGCACUCUAAAUCCAAAAAUCCACCUCAGUAAUUUACAAUCUAGUGAGAUGAUAAAAUUGUGAUGUGCUUUAUCAUUUUUCUUGCUGAGCAUUGUUUUCUACGCGUUGUUGCUAAAUUUAUAUUUUCACAUACUAGUAACUGCACAGUGGAAGCGCUUACCAAUAAGCAAUGAUGAACCUCCUCCUCCUCGAGCUUAUCACACCAUGACAAGUAUUGGAGCUCGUCAUCUUUUAAUUGGUGGUUUUGAUGGAAAAUCAACCUUCGGUGAUCUUUGGUGGUUGGUUCCUGAAGGUAUCUUUCUCUUAUUUAUACUGAUGUUUUAGUCCAACUUAGCUAUCAUUCUGUGUACACGCAUCAUCAGUUACUUAUAGUUGGAAACUCUUUAGACGAACUAAUCUUGGUGUUGGUCGCAGAUUGUAGGCAAUUUUAGAGACACUUAAUUUCUAGCAUAAUCUUUUUUUUCUUCUUUAUCAAGUUUGUAUUGAAAGUUUUGAAGUUUUACUGAACUGUUUAGCCUUCUGAAAAUGUUGUUAUUCGUUUUUUUCUUUUUCUCUUUUCUCAGAUGAUCCGAUAGCCAAGAGGUCUUCUGUACCUCAACUUAGAAACCCUCCUGAGACUAAAGAGUCAGAGAGAGAUUUGGAUACGGUAACUGUGGUUCCUGCUCAUCAUCUUAUGUGUUUCUCGCCAAUGCAGUUAAAUUAGCUUUUCAACUUGUUUUAACACCAAGAGUUUGGUCACAGCAGGAAAGAGGACAAGAGGGAUUCACUAUCGUCGACUUGCAAAAGAAAAUGGGAAUCUCUGUUUCUUCAGGGUUACGCCUUCAAAUACCCGAGGAGUUAGAAGAUCAAGAGUUCGUUGAGUUAGGAACCAGAUUGAUUGAGGGAGAUGCAGUUGAUAAUGGAGCCUCCAUGAUUCAGGUGAGUUUUUCCUCUUGUCUAUUUUAGAAUGUGUGAUUGUGUUAUUCUUGUACUGAAAAUGCUUCUCAAUGAAAAGAUGGCAGCUGAAGCACUUCGUCAACAUUGGAAAGAGUCCACUCCAGAGACUUUGCAAUUAAAGGAGCUUGGUUCCUUGCUUCGAGAUUAUCAGCGACUGGUUACCCGAAAAUACACGUGAGUUCUUAUCCAUGCCUAACUAUUUCAGACUCAGUUCUUGUUUAUGUAGAUUAUCUUUUGUUUCACUAAAAAUGGUUGUUCUUUGAUUGCGCUUGGAAUCACCACAUGGCAUUAGAAUAACUUAGAUAAAUCUCCUGAGAGUUUAGGAGUCAUAUAGAGUUAAUAUGAAUAUAUCAUUUUUGUGUCUUGAAUAGCCCUCGAGACUCUUUAAUCCGAGCAUAUUGUCAAAACUGAUAAUGUUGUGAAUGCAUUGUUUUGUGCCCCUACUAUUACAUGUUAUGAAAUCUCACAUCUGCGUCUUCCUUUCCUUGACACAUGUUUCUUUUCAUUUGUUGUGGCGGGUUUCUAUCAGAGCACAGAGCAGCUUAACAUCUGCUGAUUUUGGAAAGAAGACCUUUACGUUUUAUCAUAUCAAAAAUUCUUCCGAGGUAUUACUCUGCAUACUUUCCUCCCUCGCCUGAAUAUUUGACACCAAUCAAUCAAAACAUCAGGCUUUCCUCCUGACAUGUCAAGUUUACAUUUUGCUAUUCUCAGUUGCGGAUGGAUGACAUUCCGGAGUUGCUGGAAGAAUACAAAACCCUUGUAAUCUGAUUGAGGAGCUCUGCCAUGAAACUCACAAGGAGAAUACAAAACUCAUCAAGUAGCUGCCAAGAAGAUCACUGAUAUUACGUGUAUACGCACACCAAGUAACCUAAUGUGCACACUACCACAAUCGAAUGGUAUGUCGAUGUAUCACUUUAGGAUCGAAUCCACAGAGACCAACUAUUACACUUUAUCUUUAUGGGAUCAAUAUCAAGCUAAAACAAUAUGGGGGUUUUAAAGUUGAUUUCGUAACAAGCAAGUAAAAAGAUUAAUUAAAGAUUUCAGAUGAUUAAAAUGCUAGCCUAGGGUGGUUUGGUCGGGUGUUAAGCAAGUGUGAGCCAAACAAUUAUUCAAGUUCAAUUAAGAGCAAGUCUAGAACUCGGAUCACUCAAAUAGAACAAUCCACUGUCGUGGUACUGCCCCCUAUGCUGAUCGAUCUUGAUACCUAAACUCUCGUUUGGAUCAAGAUGCGACAGCAAGCAAUAGAGAUCAAGUCCGAUAUGUUCACAAAACACCCUAAUAUCUACUUUCGCUGAUUAGGGAUGCAAUGCUCAUUCAAGUUAUGUCUAGCAACCUAUAACACUUUUGAUGAAUAGAUUAAACCUAGAAUCAGGCACUAAGUGGUUAACUUGAUGCAAGCCUUAAGAACAACAGUGAAUGAAGACAAUCGAUUUAUAACUUAUUUAUGUCAAGCUCACGGAUCUAACACCCUAACACCCUAGACUAAGCAAGUUGACUACUCAGCCAUGAACAGAGAAAACAUAGAGAUCAAUUCUGAAUAAGACUUCAUGUAAAUAAAAGAGAUAGAAAGAGGGUUCAGGAUAAUCUUCUCUAUGGUGAGAGAGAUGGAGCCUUCUCCCUUUACAAUCCAAAAGCACAAAAGUCUCCAAUGGUUUUCUUCUGUCUAGAAUAGCGUAGAAUGAUAAAGAGAAACAGAAAAUAUGAUAUAUCAAAGCCACAGGCGGCUGGGAGAGAAAAUAGGGAUAAUUAGGGCAAAUCCCGUAAUGAUUGUAGUUUCCUUAAAAAUCUCUGCCGCUGGAACACUCAUUCGGAACAAUCACUCGGGUUGCUCCGCUAUCCGGAACAGUCAUCAAGACUGUUCUGCGUGAAAACCACCAAAUUGCACUGUUUGCUGCCUCUUUUGUUCCAGCUGGUCCAUCUCCCAUCCAAUGCAACUCCAGACCUGUAAUGACUCGAAAAGGACUAGAAAGACUCGAUAAAGACUUGAAAACCAAUUGAAAAGCAUAUAUACAAGAUGUAUAAAACACCAUAUAUCAAUUCCCCCAGACUUAGAUCCUUGUUUGUCCUCAAACAAUGUCAAGUAUCAAGAACAGGGAGAAAGGUUUGAAAGUGUGGGAACUCUCAUAUUCUCAGCAACCAUACUUUAACCACGAAUCUCUGAACCAUACAAGCAGUAAAACUAGGACAACACACCCUUACCGGAACCCCACUGACUGCUGUUCAAAAAUCGGCUCCAUACUCUUCAUCUCAAACCUGAAAAAGCAACACUAUCGAGACAGAACUCCCUACAUUCAUUUAAGAGUAGCGUGAGCUUCUCAUCACAGGCAUCAUUCAGGGUAGACGGUCUAGGUGUGGAACAGGCUAUUUAAUGGUGGAGUUAAGAGUGUUUAGGGGCUACCAUUUCAUUGAAGAGGAUGCAUGAUAUCACACAAAAUGGCAAGAGAGGAUAGAUCCAUUGAUGUCCACAGCCUCUACUCGUUUUUGCUCUAUCUGGUGCGACUGUUCUGAUGACGGAACAGGCAACUGAUUGUUCUGCUUUCCACUUUCCUCUACACACUCUUCAAUACUUGGUACCAACUUCUUGCUCGACCUUUCCAGUGGCUCUAUGUUUCUUUUCUUUCUUUCCCUUCUCCAUCACAUUGUUCUCGUUUUUUUUUUUUUUUUUGAAUACUGAUAUGGUGAUGUGACGAAGAAGGAGGUAAUACAUGAUCGUUCUGAGUGCCACUGGUGGUUCUGAUUUCGCGACCAUUCUGGUUCUCCACCCCUGCUCUUGCGCAGUUCAUUGGUUAUGGAGCGGUUGCUCCCUUAAUCUGCUUGUUCUCCUUUCUGACAAAAUUUCUGCAGCAGUAACGAGUAGGAGGCUGCGUUGAUCCUUUCCUCUCCGACCUUUUUGCACAUAUCUGCACAUAUGACACUGAAAAACAAAUGCAUGAAGGUAGAAUAAAGGCUAAGGUGCAGGGUGGGAACUAGCUAAAGAUGAGCUAGCCACUCAGGAUCAGCAAGAUGGAUAAAAAGGAUAAGAAGUCCUGAGUGUGUUCUCGUUUUCCUGAUCUAAUGCCCAUAACAAGAAGAAUUUUAGUCAAGAUUAGGUUCAAGUAAGGUGGAGUUAUGUCUACCCAGUGUAACCUGAUCGGCUGAGAACUUCUGGAGAAUCAAGUGAGAUAUGUCAGGGUGUUCAAGGUUCACAUGUGUGUCUUUCGCCACUGCUAAGGUCACUAAAUAAGAUAACUAAAGCACGAGGUGGUCAGUGAUCAACACAGAAUAAGGUCUUAAUUCCCACAAAGUUUUGACUGACUUAAUCAUAAAAACUGACUCAAACUGACUUAAAAGAAAAACAAAAGAAAGAAACAAGUUAGUAAACGACGAAAACCCUCCCCCAGACUUACUUCACAACGUCCCUGGUGUGAAAAUAAAUCAGAGAGAAGGACAAAACAAGAAUAAAUAUUUUUUUGUUUGGGUCGAGAUACUUACCUGAGUGGAGCAGGCGCUCCAUGAAAAUUCUGGGUGUUCUAUCGUCAGAUGAUCGCCUGGAACAACCGCUCUUUUCAGGGGAUAGGUUGUUCCGUUUCUGCAACCCAGAAUUUUUGAAGUAUCUCGAAUUUUUUUUGCUUUUUGACCUGAAACUUAAUAAACUAAAACGAAAAUUGAGUAAACAAAAACAAAACCAAGUUAUAUUUACACUUACCAGUGGGUUGCCUCCCACCAGCGCUUGGUUUAAGUCUCUAGCUUGACUUGGUGACUGGGAUCAGUCGGGUUGAGCAGGAGGGCCUGUUCCAAAACAAGCUCCACAAUCAGACAUGUUCAGCUUCAAAACCCUGCUCAACAACCCUUUCACAGCAGCUUCCCCUUUCUCUUUCAGCUCAUGUGUGAGAAUAGCUCUGCUUUAGAGAACGGUUUAGAGGUACCCUUGCACUUUACCUCAUACUCAAUGGAGUUCUCAUCACACUUGAGAGGUAUCAAAGUCACUGUAGGAUCUCCUUGACCCUUUUCUUCUGGACUUUCUGUUUCACCCUUGAAUUCCCUCUGAAUUUAGUAGGAUCAGUGCUAGGAUCUUCAUCAAAGAACAGUCUGCUCUCACCCUUAUCACCAUGCUCCUUCUCUGGAACAACCUUCAGCUUUUCUACAUCAAACACUGAGAUGCGAGAGGCGUGUGAUGAGGAAGAUCUGGUGGGUACAGCCUUGUAGAAUACUUUCUUGUUGAUGUUGGAGAAGCAGACUCUCUUGUUGGGCAUAUCGAUGGUUGCUCCAACAGUAGCCAUGAAUGUCCUUCCAAAUAUCAAAGGCAUCUCAUGAUCUUUGUUCAUCUCAACAACCUGAAACUCAGCAGGAACAAUGCAUUCCCCUACUUGAACAUGAAGGCUGCGGAUGGUUCCAUAUGGGACUGCUCUGGAAGAGUUUGCAAAGGUCAGGGUCAACUGAGAACGCUCAACAUCAGCAAUACCCAAAUCGUCUACAAUAGCCUUUGAGAUGAGAUUCACACAAGAACCAGAGUCACAAAGAGCGUCCUUGAAGGUUGUUCCUGCGAUGGAACAUGGGAAAACAAACUUUCCAGGAUCAUGAACCUUAGGCAAUACCUUCAGUGCUGGCGUAGACAGUGCUCUGGUAUAGAGGACCUUGAUCUCCUCUUGAGUCUCUCUACAGUGUUUAAAGAACUGGAGCAAUGGACGAAUCUGCAGAGCAUCUUCGAAUGCAAGUUCUUUAGGAAGCCUUCUCACCAUCUUGUUAAAACCUAUCAGCUGCUCUUCACUAAUGGGAUCCAUCAGAUGUCUAGGUGGAAUUGGAUAGGGAACCUUGGGAACAUAGACUCGCACUGGUGGAGUUUCAGCAGGUUCGCUAGGAGCAAUCACUCCAGAGCUAGCAGACUGCUCUGUGUUCUCUUCUGCGCCUAGAACAGUCUCAGCGAACGGCUGCUCUAUUGCAUUACAGUGCUCAGUCCUAGGAUUUUUAUCAGUUCUUCCAGGGAGCGUCUCUUGUUGCCUCUUGACACUCUCAACUGUUUGAGCAAGCUGAACAUCGAUCUUUCUUAUAUGGAUUGCAAGAUUGUCAUACUUGUUAUUCAGUUCAGUGAACAUGUUGCCCAUCCUGGUGUCUAUUUCCGUGGUUACCUGAUUCAACACCUUGGCCUGAACCUGCUGACCCUGCAACAGUUGUUGCAUCAUCAUACCCAGACCCUUCAGCUCAUCUGGUUGACUGUUCUCGGUAGCUGGAACAACAUGCGGAUUGCUCUGCGGUUGUCGUUGGUUCAGGUUCUGAAUAUGCCCGGCCGUAGGUUGCUCCAUGCUGAAAACGUGUCCUUGGUUGUUUUUCAGUAACUGAUCAACCUUGGCAGUCAGCUCAUCUAUUUUCUGGGCGUCAGAACUGUUCCCUUUCAUGGAGCGAUCACUCUCCUCUUUCUUAUUAGCUGAGCUAGCAGCCAUGUUCUCAAUCAGCUUAAACGCUCCAGCAGUGGUUUGAGUCAUGAAGUCUCCAUUGCUCGCAGAGUUUAGAGCACCUUGGUAUUUCCAGUCCACUCCAUCAUAGAAAAUAUCCAGGAUAUAAUCAUCAUCAAAUCCAUGGUGAGGACAUUCUCUGCGAUAGUCAUUGAAGCGCUCCCAUGCGUCGCAGAAAAGCUCAUCAGUGAGCUGUCUGAAGGAGGUGAUCUUGUUCCUCAAUGCAGCUGUUCUCGCCUUAGAGUAGAAAUGGCUGAGGAACGCUGAUCGGACCUGUUCCCAUGAAGUGAGAGAGCCGGUAGGGAGAGAGUUCAACCACCGUGCAGCUUUUCCAUCAAGAGAGAAUGGGAAUAACAUGCACGUGAUGUAGUCUGGUGGAACACCAUUCACGCGAGUGAAACUGCAGACUUUUUCGAAGCUCUCAAUAUGCUCCAUUGGAAUUUCUGUAGAGAGACCAGAGAACACCUUUCUCUGUACUAGACCGAUCAAAGCAGGCUUGAUCUCAAAGUCCUGCCUAGUACAAGGUGGAGGAACAAUGGCAGAGCGCGUAGUAGGGAUGUUACGCGGGAGGUUUCUCUGCCCGAUUGGAACAGUCUGCGCCUGUUGUUCCUGCUGCGCGAGAGCAGCCUGUUCAGCAGCAUCCUGCUGAGCUUGGAUGGUCUGCUGCAUUUGUUGCAUCUGCUGCUGCAUGAGUGCCAUAGCCGCAGCGAGAUCAUCUUGAUUGGCGUGAUCACCCAUAGUGGUGUCGGUUUGCCUUGGCUGUUGACGAUUUGUUCUUUCUAACCUUGCUAGCUCCUGGUUGGUAAAUGUAACUAACUCUCCUUGUGCGUUUCUUCGAGUAUGUCUACUGGUCAUGCACCUGGAACAUUAGCUGCAACAAAAAGGAUAAGGCAAGUUAGAGGUCUUAGACUAAAUAAAUAACCGAAAAAUAAAGGUAAAAAGAUGGUCCCCGGCAACGGCGCCAAAUUGAUAUUACGUGUAUACGCACACCAAGUAACCUAAUGUGCACACUACCACAAUCGAAUGGUAUGUCGAUGUAUCACUUUAGGAUCGAAUCCACAGAGACCAACUAUUACACUUUAUCUUUAUGGGAUCAAUAUCAAGCUAAAACAAUAUGGGGGUUUUAAAGUUGAUUUCGUAACAAGCAAGUAAAAAGAUUAAUUAAAGAUUUCAGAUGAUUAAAAUGCUAGCCUAGGGUGGUUUGGUCGGGUGUUAAGCAAGUGUGAGCCAAACAAUUAUUCAAGUUCAAUUAAGAGCAAGUCUAGAACUCGGAUCACUCAAAUAGAACAAUCCACUGUCGUGGUACUGCCCCCUAUGCUAAUCGAUCUUGAUACCUAAACUCUCGUUUGGAUCAAGAUGCGACAGCAAGCAAUAGAGAUCAAGUCCGAUAUGUUCACAAAACACCCUAAUAUCUACUUUCGCUGAUUAGGGAUGCAAUGCUCAUUCAAGUUAUGUCUAGCAACCUAUAACACUUUUGAUGAAUAGAUUAAACCUAGAAUCAGGCACUAAGUGGUUAACUUGAUGCAAGCCUUAAGAACAACAGUGAAUGAAGACAAUCGAUUUAUAACUUAUUUAUGUCAAGCUCACGGAUCUAACACCCUAACACCCUAGACUAAGCAAGUUGACUACUCAGCCAUGAACAGAGAAAACACAAAGAUCAAUUCUGAAUAAGACUUCAUGUAAAUAAAAGAGAUAGAAAGAGGGUUCAGGAUAAUCUUCUCUAUGGUGAGAGAGAUGGAGCCUUCUCCCUUUACAAUCCAAAAGCACAAAAGUCUCCAAUGGUUUUCUUCUGUCUAGAAUAGCGUAGAAUGAUAAAGAGAAACAGAAAAUAUGAUAUAUCAAAGCCACAGGCGGCUGGGAGAGAAAAUAGGGAUAAUUAGGGCAAAUCCCGUAAUGAUUGUAGUUUCCUUAAAAAUCUCUGCCGCUGGAACACUCAUUCGGAACAAUCACUCGGGUUGCUCCGCUAUCCGGAACAGUCAUCAAGACUGUUCUGCGUGAAAACCACCAAAUUGCACUGUUUGCUGCCUCUUUUGUUCCAGCUGGUCCAUCUCCCAUCCAAUGCAACUCCAGACCUGUAAUGACUCGAAAAGGACUAGAAAGACUCGAUAAAGACUUGAAAACCAAUUGAAAAGCACAUAUACAAGAUGUAUAAAACACCAUAUAUCAAUCACCAAGAUUGCUAUCAGCAUUACCAUUGCAAACCACAAAGCUAAAAAGUCUCAAGAGAAUCACAUCUCUGAUAGACAACUAUGUGCAACUUCUUUUUAGCAAGAACAAAAAGAUACAACGUAUAUGUAAGACUUCCAUUAUCUCAACUUAAAUCCAUAUCUAAGCCUCUGCUCUUUUAUUUCUUGUUUGGGCUUUGAAAAUAGAUUGCUUUGCCUUGAAGCCAAUGCGAAAGUAAGGAAAAAAGUAGGCAAACUUCAUCUAUUAGACUUUGAAAUGGAUUACAACAACAACGGUACUCUUGAUAACUUAAACCACAGAGUUUCUGUCUGCAUAGACCCGUAUUGUCUUUUCUCUAUCCCCUAAAACAACUCGAACUCAAGAUGAUCUCCCAUGGCUUUACAUUCAAGAUAUCCAUUACCAUUUCCUUUAGGAGAAGUUGCUUCCGUUGCACCAUUCUCAUAUACAUCAGGCAGAUCAGGCGGAAUGGCGCAGCGGAUGAGAGCCCAGUUCAAUCCUUCAAAGAAUGGAUGCCUCUUGAUCUCUGCAGCUCCUUUCUCCCACCCGAGGCGGCUCCCCGGAUCCUUCAUCACCAACCUUCUGAUCAAAUUCUUUGCCUGGAAGCUCACAAGAGGGCUAUCAGGAAACUUGAGGUUCUGAAACACAAACGUCUCCUCAUUGUCAUAACCUUUGAACGGUGUCUUCCCGUAUAAAAGCUCAUAGAGAAGAACCCCAAACGUCCACCAGUCUACUGCAGCACCGUGACCUUCUCCUUAAUGAUCUCCGGCGCCAAGUACUCGUGCGUUCCUACAAAAGAGUUUGAUCUUGCUUCAGUUGGUUCAGCCACAAGCUGAGGCAAUGAUCUGAACUGUUGGGUCAGAAGAUCAGGCCUUCUCUGUUUUCUUGGUUUUGAGUUUCUAGCUUGCGUUGACAAGAGCCUAGGGCUGAAACAUGGGACACGGCACGAUGGACUCUAUCUAAAUCACAGGUUCUUCAUCUUCUUUGGAAGCUGAGGAGCUUGAUACAAUAAUUGAAGACGAAGACAAACAGCAGUAUCCAGGCGAUGUGCACCGCAGCUACAGCUGGUAAGAAGUCAUGUUCGAACCCGGAUCCAUCUUUGAGCAACUGUUUUAGUUCCGUGUCUAGGAGACCAGUGUUCUGCACUAUCGAAUCUUGGUCUCCUACUUGAGAUGUGAUGCUUCCAUACAAUGUCCAGCCACUGGCGUUGCCUAGUAAUUAAUAUCAUCUCCACCAUAUCAAUAUUUGCUGCAUCCCCUCCUCCAUAAGAAACAUAAAACAUAAAAGUUAGGUAGCUCUAAAACACUUCUGAUCAUAACAAAAAGUAAGAUCUAUAACACACUUGAUGAUUACGUAAGUUGGUUCGUAAUUUUUACCAAUCUUUGGGAUGAGGAACUGGAGAAAAGAUUCCAAAUAGACCGAGGAAGAAAGACAUGCAGAUUCCGGAGAUUUGAUAGUUUGGUGUCAAGGCCACAAAGCAUCAAGCUUGGUAACAUGUCGUAGUAGUAGAAGUAGAACCAGAAGAACUUGACCACAGUACGGUCGUAUCCUAUCAUUGAGUAAAGGAUUAUAGUAUGUAAACUCUAGUUUGUAUGGUGUCAUACUACAUGAUCUAACAACUUUGUCUAUAUUAUCAAUUUUCCUAAUUAAUUAUUUCUAACAAAAAUAUAAUUUUUAAAUAUUAACGAAUAUAUUUUGGAAGUUGAAAAUAAGGUAGAAAUUUUGUACAAAAGGGAAGGAAGGAUAUGGGGGAAUUAUUUGCCUGCGAAAAGUCAUUAUCCCUUACAGACUAGAAAAGUCGCAUAUUUUCUUUUUAUUCAAAAUCAGAACCACAGAUGGCAGCCAAUAUAGACUGUUGAUAAGAUUGACUUGGAGUCAACUCUUUCAUUGCCAUUCAUAUCUCUUCUUCCAAAGAACGUCUCUAAGCAAGUUGAAGAGCUGUUACAUGAAAGGUAAAUCAUGUUCUUGUAUCAUUAUUUGUCUGUUUAACUUGCUUUGAUCUGUCUUUUGGACUCUGUUGUGGUUGAAUCUGAAUUUAAAAACGAAAAUUCGUUGGAUUAUUACAAAUCUUGUUUUACGAAUUUAAACCAUUUAAUCAUCAAAUCUUGUUAUAAAUUGUUUGAAUAAAAGUAAGUUAAGUAAAGUUCCUCUGACAUGUAUCAUGUUUUAUUAGAUCAACCAAGGAUUAUCAUAAACGGUUUUAAAUCGUACUACAAGUUUGUACUUAUGUGUUGUGUUGAUGGUGGAACAGGAGAAUAGUGAUGGCUGAGGGAGUUGUGUCGUUUGGAGUGGAGAAACUCUGGGAUCUCCUCAGUCGAGAAUCAGAGAGACUGCAGGGAGUUCAUGAGAAAGUUGAUGAUCUAAAAUGUCAGAUGAGAAUGUUACAGUCGUUGUUGAAAGAUGCAGAUGCCAAGAAAUAUGAGAGUGUGGUGAGAAACUUCUUGGAAGAUGUCAAAGACACUGUUUUUGAUGCUGAAGACAUAAUUGAAUCCUUUCUUUUGAAAGAAUUGAGUAGAAACCAAAAAGGGAUCAAGGGGCGUGUGAAAAGACUUGCUUGUUUCUUAGUGGAUCGCCGAGGUCUUUCUAUGGACAUUGAAGGCAUAACUAAGAGAAUGGCCAAGGUUGUUGGGCAAAUGCAAAGCUUUGGAAUACAACAGAUCAUCUACAGAUCACCGUCUCUACAAGAGAGACAGAGGGAGAUCCAACAAACAUAUCCUAUGGGAUCUCAAAAGGAUCUUGUGGGGGUGGAACAGAGUGUUAAAGAAUUGGUUGGUCAUUUGGUGGAGAAUGAUAACAUCCAAGUAGUUUCCAUAUCUGGGAUGGGUGGUAUUGGAAAAACCACUCUUGCCAGACAAGUCUUACAUCAUGACAUUGUUCAAAGUCAUUUUGAUGGAUUCGCAUGGAUCUGCGUUUCGCAAGAUUGUAAGCGGAUGGAUAUUUGGCAAAAGUUAUUGCAAGACCUUAGACCUCAAGAUAAGGGCAUCGAACAAAUGAAUGAGCCUACACUCCAGGCUAAGAUCUUUCACUUGUUGGAAACAUCUAAAUAUUUAAUUGUCAUGGAUGAUGUAUGGAAAAAAGAAGACUGGGAUAUAAUAAAAGGCGUUUUCCCCCAAGAAAGAGGUGAGCUCUCUAAUUGUACAUACAUUACUUACGAACUCUCCAUAGCUAUUUCAUAAAUGCCUUUUCAGUCUCUGAGAUGAAAGGAAAUACAAUUGCAGGUUGGAAAAUGAUUCUUACUUCACGUGAUGAAAGUGUUGGUUUCCAUGCAGACCGAACAUGUUUUCCCUUUAGACCAAAAACUCUUACUCCUGAAGAAAGUUGGAAGCUAUGUGAAAGCAUAGCAUUCCCUAGACGAGAUAUAACCGGUACGUUUUUAUAUAAGAAUCAUAUGAAUCCUUAAGGCCAGAAAGCUUGAUAUCUCUUACGGACCUUCUAAUCAAAAUUCUUGUGUUGUAAUUCCUAAAUCAUCCUCUGGGAUUACAUAUAUGGUUCCAAUGUUUAAAAAAUCGAUUUAUUCUAACAUUAUCUCUUAAUUUAAUUUAUUUAGAUUAAUUUAUAAUGAUUUAAACCGAUUUGAAUUGUAUAAAUUGGUAUAAAUCAGAUUUUAAGAAAAUCGUUUCGAUGGGACAAAGUUAGCCUAUGUGCCGCCUAGACCAAUUUUUAGAACAUUGUAUGGUUGUAUAUACCUUUGAGAAACAUUAUAGCAUUUCAUUUAUGUCAUAUGUCAUCAGCAAUGUUUUAAAAACCGGAUCAGACAUUGAUUCGGCAUUGUAGCUGCGUAAAUGGUCAGAUCGGUGCAAUUAGUUCAACUGACUUCUAAAUUUAAUUUAAUUUUAAAUUCAGUAACUACAUCUAUGUAUAAUAAAAUUGUUCUUAUAAAACUUUAUUUCAUUGUUAAUAUCUAAAAGAUCUUAUGAAAAUAAAAUGACAACUUCAAAAAUAAUAUAAACUAUAAUGAAACUAAUUGAUUUAGAUAGAUAUUAAAAACAAUAUGAAAUCUUUUUAAAAUUUGCAAAUUUUUAUUUUUAAACUUGAAUUUGAGAAAACUUGAUUUUAAUAUCGAACCAGAUUACCGGUUUUAGCAAAUUUGAACAGUUUAUGACAUGGUUUACCGGUUUAAUUCAAAUUCAGUUUUAAUACAACUCAAAACCGGCUAGAAUAACGAGUCAAGGUCCAACCGGGCAAUCCGGUUUUCAAAACACUAGUCAUCACCAUAAUGAUUCUUUUUUUUUAGAGAAAUAUGUUAGCCAUCUAAACAUAUAAUAUAAUACUCAUUAAACUAAAUAUUAAAUUAAUUAUUAAUGUACAAAACAUAUUAUUCCUUCUUUGCUUAAGUAUAAGCUACAAAAUUACAUAAUGUGAUAAAUAUAUAUAAGGAGUUUUCUUGCGCCAUGCGCAAAUAUACUAAUUUUUAGCUAAAUUUUUAUUUAUUUUAUUUUAAAUAAAAAUAAAUUUACGUUUUCAUACUAUUAUUUUUAUAUUUUAAAUUCAUCGGUCUGGAAAAGAGUGAAAUCACAACUAUUUUUUUGUAAUUUUGUUUCAUUUGAUUUGUUUUAUUUAUUUUAAUUUUAUUUUAUAUGAAUUUUAUUGGAGAAGAAUUAUAUUUUAUAUAACUUUGAAUUUUAUUUAUUUAUAUUUAGUGAUUAUUUAUUUUGAAUAUGUUUCUUAUCCUCUAAGUGUAUAAAUUUUAAUAAUGAUUGGGUUUCUGUUUAAAUGUAUAGCUAAUAUGUUAAACUCGUAAACUCAAUUUCUUAAUUAAUCAAAUAAACUAAUGGAUGCUAAUAAAAUUUUAAACAUUUAAUCAUCCAAAAAAAUUGAUUAGCAUUGCUUUAGUUUUGUGUUCCCUAAUGCACACUUACACUUUAUUUUAAUAAAAUAUAAAAUAUAUAUAGAAAAUAUGAUAAAUAAGUUAAUUUAAAAUUAAAAUAUAAUUAUAUUUAGUUUAUUUUUAUAAAUAUGAUAUAUAUAAUUUUAUUUUAUUUCAAUGGUGAUAUAUGAAUUAUUAGUUAUUAAUAUAUUUUAAAAGUCUUGCCAAAAUAAACAUUUACACAGAAAUGCUAACUUCUAAAUAGUGAUAUAAACAUUAUUAGUCAUUACCAUUUUUAUAAAUUCUUACUAGAAAUAUAUAAAUUUGUAAAAGUUAUUAUUAUUACCAUAUUUAAAAGUCUUUAACAAAAAUAUAAAUUUUUAUAAGAAAAUUUUCAUGUCAAAUUAACUUGAUCUCAUGUCAUUAUUUUCUAAAAACAUGUCAUUUUUUUGGGUGAGAAUGAACACUGUGAUGACAUGUGUACAAAACCACUUUGCAAUUAAUAUUUAGGAGAUACUACAAUCAAUGACUUUGAAUAAUAAUGAUUUGAUAACAAUUUGUGUAUCAUCUAUCAUCUUUAUUUAAUUUUAUAUUAUUAAAAUAAAUUAAUUAAUCAUAUUAAUCAUCUAAUAAAAAUAGAUUUUCCUUAUAUUUUGAAUUUUAAAGAUGACUAUAAAUUACUAAAAUUGUUAAAAUUAAUGGUUUAAUUUUAUUAUUAUAAUAAGAUACAAAUGAUCAUAAGAACUUAUGAAUAUGAAAUUUCAUUUAAUAGAACUGUAGAUUAAAAAAAAAAUAUAUAUAUAUAUAUAUAUCUAUUUCAAUAUCGUUUAAAUUUAGCUGUAUAUAUAUAUAUAUUUUUUUUUCUGAACAUUUGAAAAGACUAGAGACAUUAUUUCAAGGCUCUAAUGUUAUAAUAUGUGUUACUGUUUUCAGAAUUUAUUGUUGAUGAAGAACUAGAAGCCAUGGGUAAGAAAAUGGUCACACAUUGUGGAGGACUACCAUUAGCCGUUAAAGUGUUGGGAGGCUUGUUAGCUAAUAAAAGCAUGGUUGAAGAGUGGAAAAGAGUAGAUGACAAUAUUCAAAGUCAGAUAGUUCGCAUAGAUGACAACAGUCAAGAUUCGGUUUACCGAGUAUUGUCUAUGAGCUAUGAAGACUUGCCAAUGCAGUUAAAGCAUUGCUUCCUCUACCUAGCUCAUUUUCCUGAAGAUGACAAGAUACAAAUGGACAUAUUAUAUUAUCUAUGGGCAGCAGAAGGCAUAAUAAAGUCAAGUGGCGAUGGAGAAACCACUUGGGAAAUUGGAGAAGACUACAUAGACGAGCUAGUACGGAGAAAUAUGAUUAUUGGAGUAAAAGAGGAAUUGAGUUGCAGAUGGGCGUAUUGUCAAAUGCAUGACACGAUGAGAGAAGUAUGUUUAUAUAAAGCCAAAGAAGAGAACUUUCUUCAGAUUAUCAAAGUCCCUACUUCUUCUAUGUCUACCAUCAAUGCUCUUACUCCUACCAGAUCUCGCAGACUCGUAGUACACGGUGGUGGUAAUUCACUUGAUAUGCUGGGAGGUAAAAACAAUCAAAAAGCUAGAUCUGUUUUGGGUUUUGGACUCGACAGCAAAUCGUCGAAGCAGUCAGGUCAAGGACUCAGAAAUUUACAAUUACUUAGGGUCUUGGAUUUGAGUUUAGAUUAUAAAAGCGGCGACUCUAGAGGGUGGAGAAUACCAUCCAGCUUUGGAAAGCUCAUUCAUUUGAGAUAUUUGAGCUUACACAUGCGUUGGGCAACUGAUGUACCUUCUUCUUUACGGAAAUGAAAUACUUCAUCUGCCAAGUAUCUUUAAAGAGAUGGUAGAGUUGAGGUUCCUGCAGCUUUAAAGAGAUGGUAGAGUUGAGGUUCCUGCAGCUUCCCCUUCUUCUUGACGCUAAAACAAAGUUGGAAUUGGGCAAUCUAGUGAACCUGGAGUGCUUGGGCUGGUUCCAAUCAGAAAACGGUAGCAUCACAGACUUCCUCCGAAUGAAAAAGCUCAGGACUCUCCACAUAAAACUCAAAGGCAGGUAUACUUCUGAAACUCUAGCGUCAUCUCUCUGUGAAUUAAGAAACCUGGAGGAGCUUAGAUUGAUCGAUGAGAACAACGAAUCCGAUGGGGCUUAUGAUUUGGAUUUCGUUUGGAAUUUCAUUCAUCUAAGGGAAUUAUGGAUGGGUAUACAUAUGACAAGGCUCCCUGAUCACUCUCGAUUGCCUCCCAACCUUGCACACAUAUGUCUAAUUAAAUGUGAAUUGGAGGAUGAUCCACUGCAGAUUCUGGAAAAGUUGCUUCAUUUGAAGUCGGCUGUAUUACAUUACAGAUCUUUCGUGGGGAGGAAGAUGGUGUGUUCAAAAGGUGGAUUCCCUCAAUUAUGUAAGCUAGACAUAAUGUUCCUACACGACUUGGAAGAGUGGAUAGUCGAAGAAGGGUCGAUGCCAUGUCUUCGUACCUUGUCUAUUCAAAGUUGCUACCGGAAGGGCUCAAGUAUAUCACUUCUUUAAAGAAACUGGAAAUCAUACAUAAGAACAAGGAGUGGAAGACGACACUCGUACCAGGUGGGGAAAGUUACCACAAAGUCCAACACAUUCCUAGUGUUCAAUUAAACUAUUUUGGCCACGAAUAAGGAGAAUAAAACUGUCUCAGGUAUAUAUUCUUUUUUGGUAUAAUGUCAAUAUUGUUCAUUUUGUUGGUUAUAUAUCCUCCUUGAAGUUUAGUGUGAAAGUCUAAACUCUCUGUUAUUCGGUUUUCAGGUGAACCUACUCAGGAUCAGUACCCACCACUAUCGAUUGUGUGAUAUGAUAAUAAGUCGUUUUUGUUGUAUGAAGUUUACAUAUCUUGUUUGUGAUAUAUUCCGUAUAUCUAUUUGCAUGCUCAUUCACUCGUCUCAUAAGAUUCUUCUCCUCUGCUAAAGGAUCACUCUAAAUCCAAAAAUCCACUUCAUUAAUUUACAAUAGUACAAUACUAGUGAGAUGAUAAAAUUGUGAUGUAAAUUAUCCUUUUUCUUGCUGAGCAUUGUCUUCUAUGCGUUGUUGCUAAAUUUUUAUUUUUCACAUACUAGUAACUGCGCAGUGGAAGCGCUUACCGAUAAGCAAUGAUGAGCCUCCUCCUCCUCGAGCUUACCAUACAAUGACUAGUAUUGGAGCUCGUCAUCUUUUAAUUGGUGGUUUUGAUGGAAAGUCAACCUUCGGUGAUCUUUGGUGGCUGGUUCCUGAAGGUAUUAAACUCUUAUUUGUACUAAUGUUUUACUCCAACUUAGCUAUCAUUCUGUGUACAUGCAUCAUCAGUUACAAUCUCGGUGCUGGUCACAGAUUAUAGGCAAUUAGAGACACUUAAUUUCUAGCAUACUCUUUUUUUUCUUCUUUAUCAAGUUUGUAUUGAAAGUUUUGAAGUUUUACACAUCUGAUUGAAUUUACUGAACUGUUUUAGCCUUCUGAAAAUGUUGUUAUUCGUUGUGAAAGAAAGAAAUGGAUUAAAGAAAGAAAUGUUGUUAGCGAUCUAACUCUUUUUCUCUUUUCUCAGAUGAUUCCAUAGCCAAGAGGUCUUCUGUACCUCAAAUUAGAAACCCUCCUGAGACUAAAGAGUCAGAGAGAGAUUUGGAUACGGUAACUGUGGUUCCUGCUCAUCAUCUUAUGUGUUUCUCGCCAAUGCAGUUAAAUUAGCUUUUCAACGUGUUUUAACACCAAGAGUUUGGUCACAGCAGGAAAGAGGACAAGAGGGAUUCACUAUCGUCGACUUGCAAAAGAAAAUGGGAAUCUCUGUUGCAUCAGGGUUACUACGCCGUCAUAUCCCCGAGGAGUCAGAAGAUCAAGAGUUCGUUGAGUUAGGAACCAGAUUGAUCGAGGGAGAUGCAGUUGAUAAUCGAGCCUCCAUGAUUCAGGUGAGUUUUUCCUCUUGUCUAUUUUAGAAUGUGUGAUUGUGUUAUUCUUGUACUGAAAAUGCGUCCCAAUGAAAGGAUGGCAGCUGAAGCACUUCGUCAACAUUGGAAAGAGUCCACUCCAGAGACUUUGCAGUUAAAAGAGCUUAAUGCCUUGCUUCGAGAUUAUCAGCGACUUGUUACCCGAAAAUACACGUGAGUUCUUACUCAUUCCAACUAUUUCAGACUCAGUUCUUGUUUAUGUAGAUUAUCUUUUAUUUCACUAAAAAUAGUUGUUCUUUGAUUGCGCUUGGAAUGGCAUUAGAAUAACUUAGAUAAAUCUCCUGAGAGUUUAGGAGUGUUAUAUAGAGUUAAUAUGAAUAUCAUUUUUUGUGUCUUGAAUAGCCCUUGAAACUUUUUAAUCCAAGAAUUGCCAAAACUGAUUCAUUUCUUAAUGUUGUGAAGUCCUCACAUAAAAGUUGAUUGUAAAUGCAUCGCUUUGUACCCCUCUGAAAAGUAUUAAAUGUCAUGAAAUCUCACAUCUGCUUCUCCCUUUCCUUCACACGUUUGUUUUCAUUUGUUGUGGCGGGUUUCCAUCAGAGCACAGAGCAGCUUAACACCUGCAGAUUUUGGAAAGAAGACCUUUACGUUUUAUCAUAUCAAAACUUCUUCCGAGGUACUUCUGCAUACUUUCUUCCUGUUAUUAGCUUUAUUGAACAUUUGACACCAAUCAAUCAUACAUCAGGCUUUCCUCUGACAUGUCAAGUUUUCAUUUUGCUAUUCUCAGUUACGGAUGGAUGACAUCCCCAAGUUGCUGGAAGAAUACAAAACCCUUCUAAUCUGAUUGAGGAGCUCUACCAUAAAACUCACAAGGAGAUAUACUAAAACCCUUCUAAACUCAUCAAGUAGCUGCCAAGAAGAUCACCAAGAUUGCUAUCAGCAUUACCAUUCGCAAACAACAAAGCUAAAAAUUCUCAAAAGAAUCAUCUCUGAUAGACAACAAGACAUGUACAACUUCUUCUUAGUCAAGGACAAAAACAUAUACCCAUAUGUAAGAUUUUCAUUAUUUCUACUUAAAUCCAUAUCUCAGCGUCUGCUCUUUGCUUUAAAGCCAAUGGGAAAGUAAGGAAAAAAGUAGGCAAACUUCACCUCUUAUACUUAGAAAUGGAUUACUACAACAACAACGGUACUCUUGAUAACUUAAACCAUAGAGUUUCUGUCUGCUUAGACCCGUAUUGUCUUUUUUCUCUAUCCCCUAAAACAACUCAAACUCAAGAUGAUCUCCCAUGGCUUUACAUUCAAGAUACCCAUUACUAUUCCCUUUAGGAGAGGUUGCUUCAGUUGCACCAUUGUCAUAUACAUCAGGCAGCUCAGGGGGAAUGGCGCAGCGGAUGAGAGCCCAGUUCAAUCCUUCAAAGAAAGGAUGCCUCUUGAUCUCAGCAGCUCCUUUCUCCCACCCGAGACGGCUCUCCGGAUCCUUCAUCACCAACCUCCUGAUCAAAUCCUUUGCCUGGAAGCUCACAAGAGGGCUAUCAGGAAACUUAAGGUUCUGAAACACAACGUUGGACAAUGUCUCCUCAUUGUCAUAACCUUUAAACGGUGUCUUCCCGUAUAAAAGCUCAUAGAGAAGGACCCCAAAAGUCCACCAGUCUACCGCAGCACCAUGCCCUUCUCCUUUUAUUAUCUCCGGCGCCAAGUACUCGUGCGUUCCUACAAAAGAGUUUGAUCCUGCUUCGGUUGGUUUAGCCACAAGCUGAGGCAAUGAUCUGAACUGUUGGGUCAGAAGAUCAGGCCUUCUCUGUUUUCUUGGUUUCGAGUUUCUAGCGCAUUGAUGGGAGCCUAGGGCUGAAACAUGGGAAGCAGGUUCUUCACAGGUUCUUCACCUUCUUUGGAAGUUGAGGAGCUUGAUACAAUAAGCGAAGACGAAGACAAACAGCAGUAUCCACGCGCAGCUACAGCUGGUAAGAAGUCAUGUUCGAACCCGGAUCCAUCUUUGAGCAACUUUUUUAGACCCGUGUCUAGGAGACCAGUGUUCUGCACUAUCGAAUCUUGGUCUCCUACUUGAGAUUUGAUGCUUCCAAACAAUGUCCAGCCCACUGGUCGUUGCCUAGUAAUAUCAUCUCCACCAUAUCACCAACAAUAAACAUUUUCGAAACUACCCUCCCUCUCCCCUCUCCCAAUAAAAAAAACACAAAACUUAAAAAUUAGGUAGCUCUAAAACCCUUCUGAUCAUAACAAAAAGUAAGAUCUAAACACACUUGAUGAUUACGUAAGUUGGUUCGUAAUUUUUUACCAAUCUUUGGUAUAAGGAACUGGAGAAAAGAUUCCAAAUAGACUGAGGAAGAAAGACAUGCAGAUUCCGGAGAUUUGAUAGUUUGGUGUCAAGGCCACAAAGCAUCAAGCUUUGUUAACAUGUAGUAGUAGUAGUACCAGAAGAACUUGACCACAGUACGGCCGUAUCCUAUCAUUGAGUAAAGGAUUAUAGUAUGUAAACUCUAGUUUGUAUGGUGUCAUACUAAUAACUUUGUCUAUAUUACCAAUUUUCCCAAUUUCUUAUUUCUAACAAACUAUAAUGUAUAAAUAUCAAUGAAUAUAUUUUGCAAGUUGAAAAUAAGGGAGAAAUUUUUUUUACCAAAAAGAAUAAUAAGGGAGAACUACAGUGAAUGUUUCGAGUGGGCCUAAAGCAAAUGCAUUAUUGCCUUGCGAAAAAAUCAUUAUCGCCACAGACUAGAAAAAACUCCUAUUUUCUUUUUAUUCAAAAUUAGAACCACAAGAUGGCAGUCGUAGACUGAUAAGAUUGACUUGGAGUCUACUCUUUCAUUGCCACUCAUAUCUUUUCUUCCAAAGAACGUCUCUAAGCAAGUUGAAGAGCUGUUACAUGAAAGGUAAAUCAUGUUCUUGUAUCAUUAUUUGUAUGUUUAACUUGCUUUGAUCUGUCUUUUGGACUCUGUUGUGGUUGAAUCUGAAUUUAAAAACGAAAAUUCGUUAGAUUAUUACAAAUCUUGUUUUACGAAUUUAAAGCAUUUAAUCAUCAAAUCUUGUUAUAAAUUGUUUGAAUAAAAGUAAAGUUCCUCUAACAGGUAUCAUGUUUUAUUAGAUCAACCAAGGAUUAUCAUAACGGUUUUAAAUCUUACUACAAGUUUGUACUUAUGUGUUGAUGAUGGUGGAACAGGAGAAUAGUGAUGGCUGAGGGCGUUGUGUCGUUUGGAGUGGAGAAACUCUGGGAUCUCCUGAGUCGAGAAUCUGAGCGAUUGCAGGGAGUUCAUGAGAAAGUUGAUGAUCUAAAAUGUCAGAUGAGAAUGUUACAGUCGUUGUUGAAAGAUGCAGAUGCGAGGAAACAUGAGAAUGAAGUAGUGAGAAACUUCUUGGAAGAUGUCAAAGACAUUGUUUUUGAUGCUGAAGACAUAAUCGAAUCCUUUCUUUUGAAAGAAUUGAGUGGAAACCAAAAAGGGAUCAAGAGGCGUGUGAAAAGACUUGCUUGUUUCUUAGUGGAUCGCCGAGGUCUUUCUAUGGACAUUGAAGGCAUAAUUAAGAGAAUGUCUAAGGUGGUUGCACAAAUGCAGAGCUUUGGUAUACAGCAUAGCGUCAACAGAUCACCGUCUGUACAAGAGAGGCAAAGGGAGAUCCGACAAACAUAUCCUAAGAGGUCUCAAAAGGAUCUCGUGGGGGUGGAACAGAGUGUUAAGGAACUAGUUGGUCAUUUGGUGGAGAAUGAUAGCAUCCAAGUAGUUUCCAUAUCUGGGAUGGGUGGUAUUGGAAAAACCACUCUUGCAAGACAAGUCUUUCAUCAUGACAUUGUUCGAAGUCAUUUUGAUGGAUACGCGUGGAUCUGCGUUUCGCAAGAUUUUAAGCGGAAGGAUAUUUGGCAAAAGUUAUUGCAAGACCUUAGACCACAUGAUAAGGGCAUCGAACAUAUGAAUGAGAAUACACUCCAGGCUGAGCUCUUUCACUUGUUGGAGACGUCUAAAUAUUUAAUUGUCAUGGAUGAUGUAUGGAAAAAAGAAGAUUGGGAUGCAAUAAAAGACGUUUUCCCCCAAGAAAGAAGAGGUGAGCUCUCUUAUUGUACAUACAUUACUUAAGAACUCCCCAUAACCACAUUUCAUAAAGGGCAAUUGUCAAUAAUAGCACAUUUUGAAGUUUAUGUCACAAAAAGAGCACUAGAAGGAGAAAAUCACAAAAAUGACAUUCAUUAAAGGGUAAAAUGUCCCUAAUAUCCUUGGUUUAAAUUAAAUAAACAAACAAAAAUAAAUAAAUAAAUAAAUAAAAAAUAAAAAAAUAAAAAAAAAUAAAAAAAUAAAAAAAAUAAAAAAAAAUUUAUAGUUUCAGAUUAUAUGUUUUCAGAUUCGAAAUUUUUAUAAUUUUUUUAAAAAAAAUUUUGAAUUUUUUUUUUAUUUUUUUUUUCAAAUUUUCUUUUUAUAGUUUAAAAAUAAUUUUUGAAACUGUUUUAUAAAUUUUUAUUUUUUAUUUUAGUAUUUAUUUUUUAUAAAAUUUUAAACCCUAAUUCCAAAACCCCACCCCCUUAACUCUAAACCCUAAGGUUUGGAUUAAUUAACCCAAGGGGUAUAAGUGUAUAUUUACCUCUUUAAUGAAACCUAUUUUUGUGACUUUGAGCCUUGAGUGCUACUUUGGGAACAAAAACUUGGUUUGGUGCUAUCCUAGUCUUUUUCUCUUUCAUAAAUGCCUUUUGAGUCCCUGAGAUGAAAGGAAAUACAAUUGCAGGUUGGAAGAUGAUUCUUACUUCACGCGAUGAAGGUGUUGGUUUGCAUGCAGACCCAACAUGUUUUCCUUUUAGACCAAAACCACUUACUCCCGAAGAAAGUUGGAAGCUAUGUGAGAGCAUAGCAUUCCCUAGAAAAGAGAUAACGGGUAAUGUUUUUAUAUAAGAAUCAUAUGAAUCCAGAAUCCUUAAGGCCAGUAAUUUCUUACGGCCGGGACAUCUUAUCAAAAAUCUUGUGUAUUAAUUCCUAAAUCCGCAUGACAUAUAUUAUUACAUAUACCUUUGAGAAACAAUAUACCAUCAAUACUAUUAAAACAGAAGACCUUUUUUUGAGGUGCUCUUCUGUUUCAACAAUAUUUUCAGAUCUUUGCCACUGAAAUAUUUAAAACUUAUGAUUUUAAUUAAAUUCUGAAUUUUCUUUUAUUUAUACAACAGAAAAUCUAAUAAUGAAUCAACACGUUAUUAAAGUAAACCGACUUAUUUAAUAUUUUACCAAAAAAAAAAAAGUAAACCGACUUACCCAACGAACGUAAACCAACCAACAUACUUAACAAUAAAAUAAAGUGUUAUGCUGGUUCAAUCCAUCGAAGUAUAAAUUAUAAACUACAUGAUUCUAUAUACUUAACACGUCUUUAACUUGAUAUCAAGUAUAUAAACAAACAAUUUACAGCAUUUCAAUUCCUAUAGGAUACCGGUUCAAAUGUUCUAUAGAAAACUAAAUCGACGUUGGUAUGAAUUAAAUCAUCCAAUAUAUCACACUUAAAGAAACGAAUAUAUAAACAAUAAAUAUUAAAUAUAUGAACAAAAUAGGUGUGGGAAUAUUCAUUAAGAACAGUUAAUAUUUUCCUAAUUGAAUGGUCGAUAAGAUAUUUAUAAUAAUCAUAUUUUUCAUAGCAAUCAAUUAAAUGCAUCAGUUUCGGAAUGCUAACUAACAAUACCUUUCUUUUUAAAAAUAAAAUUAGAAAGAUCUUCCUAACUAAAUAAUUAAGUCGACAGCAAAAAAAAAAUUAUACAUGAACAAAAUGACUAAUCCUAUUAGAAAAAAUAAAUGAAUUUAUAAGGGUUUGAGAUUUAAAAAGUGUCGGUUAAAAAAGAGACGGGUUCAAAUACAUGACAGAUUUAUUUAUUGUAAAAUAUUAUUUUUAAAAACAAUUAAUUAUAAACUUUCUGAAUAUUUUUUUUUAAAUUCACCUUUCGUAUUGAAAUAUAAAUAUUCUAAAAAAAAUUGUUUUAUCAUGUAAUCUAAGAAAUAUGUCAUUACAAAUAUGUUCUUUACAAUUUCAUUUAUGAUAAUAAUGUGAAAUCUUUUUUUUCAAUAAUGUAUUUUUUCCUAUUAUAAAAAAUAUUAAUAAAAUAUUUUAAUAUUUUUAAUAAUAUAGUUAUUUGAAUUCAGUAUUUUUAAUAAUAUAGUUAGUACAAAAUUAAACUAACCCUUAAACUUACACAAUAUUUACAAUAGAAUGCCACUGCAGUAUUUAAUAAACCUAACAAUAGAUAUUCUUUGUCUUUCAUGUAUUAUUAAUGCAUUUUCCUAAAUUAAUUUUUAACUAAAAACAUGGCAACAAUAAUUUAAGCAAAUCUAAACAAUAAGGAAUAUCAAAACAUGAAUCAGUUGAGACAAUUUUUUUCACGAAAAAGAUGAUUAAUUAGUUUGUACUUUUAUUAUCAUAUCAUGAAUCAGUUGUAAUUUAAAAUCCAAUUUUUAUAUAUAUAUUUAUACUAUAAUGUAAAAAAAAUGACGUAAUAAGUGAAAAAAUCAUUUUAACCACACGAGAUCAACAUAUGAACAAUAAGAAAACAUAUACAAACAUCGUCCAUUUGUUCAAUGAAUAUUAUAUCUUUUUAAUGCUCUUCAUAUACUCAAUAUAAUCAAAAUAUCUAUUUUAAUAUAUCUAUAUUAUUAAAACUGAGGUAAGUAUUAGAAUAUUUUUUUUCAUUCUAAUAACUACAUGCGCUACCUAAUUAAUAAUUAUUAAUUAAUUGACAACAAAUCAUUUAUUUUGUUAGAUUUUUUGCUAUCCAAACUUCAAACUUAAUUCAUUAACUACAAAUCAUUUAUUUUGUUAAAUUCUUUUCUAACCAAACGUACGAAACUUACGAUUAUUUUCUAACUGGAUUAUUCUGUAACCAAAUUUUACAAUAAAACUAAAAAAAUUUAUUUAAAAUGUAUCUACAAACUUUAAAUGUUAUAGAUAUAUUCAUAUAUAUAAUUAUUUUAUUUCACAUGCAAAAUAUAAACUAUAGAUAUUUUUAUAAAGUUAUUUUCAAAAUAUAUAUUAAAUAAUUUGAUGAUUAAUACAAUUUACAAAUAUAAAUUUAAUUAUAAGAAUACAAUAAAUAAAUUUCAAUUUAAUAUUUUCUCAAAAAUGAAAAUAAAAGUGAAAUUUAUUUGGCAUAUAAAAAAAUUUAGAGACAUAUAUAUCUAUGUUAUUAAAACAUGAUACAUUUAAUUUUUAAAAUAUAAAUUUAUUAAUAUAUAUAUAAACAUAAUAAUUGGUACUCUAAUUUAGAAAUAAAUACAUCAAAAUGGUUACUGUAGUCAAAAAUAUAAAUCGACAAAUAUAUUAUAUAAUUUAUUUUUAAUUUGUUUUGUAUUCUACCAUAAUAUGAGAAAUCAACAAAUUACACACAGUAAAAAUAGUCCAUUUAUCACAAUUACAAAUCGAAUAAAUACCAUAUGAAUGUAUAUAUCUACAACUAUUAUAUUUUGUAUUGUAAAAAAAAUUAUAUUUCUAUUUUGUUAAUUAAACACCCGUGCGGAUGCACGGGUCAAACUCUAGUUUGAUUUAUUUCAUAUGUCAUCACCAAUGUUUUAAAAACCAGAUCGGACAUUGACUCGGCAUUGUACCUGGGUAAACGGUCGGCUCGGUCCAACCCGGUUCAAGCGGCUUUUAAAUUUUAAUCAAAUUUUAAAUUAAAUAACUAUAUAUAUAUAUAUAUAUAUGUAUAAUCAAUUUAAUUUUAUAAACCUUUCUAUCAUUGUUAAUAUAAAAAAUCAUAUGAAAAUAAAAUGCAACUUCAAAAAUAAUAUAAAACUAUAGUGAAAGUAAUUUAUUUAGAUAAAUAUUAAAAAAAAUAUGAAUUUUUAUGAAAUCUUUUUUAAAAUUGCAAAUUUUAUUUUUAAACUUGAAUUUGAGAAAAUUUAUUUAAAAAAAUCUCAUAAUUUCAUAAUUGAAAAAUAUUGUUUAAAAUCAGUUUAAAAUUGCAUUAUUUAAACAUAACUUAACAUUUAAAAGUUUUACGUAAACACAAGUUCAAUUAAAGCUACUUAAUUUUUUAUAAAACUUUAUUGUAAAUAACAUGUUUGGUUUUCUGUUGUGAAAGCAACACUAAGUAUAAAUUGCAUGCACCAUUAAAUAUUGAUUCUGGCAGAGUAACAAACGUUACAGAUACUAAAGUUUUAGCUAGCUCUAUUCAAAUAUGAAAGAAUUUCUAUACCAAAAACGAUGUGUGUUUUUUACUGAGAAAAACAUAAUUUUUUUUACUGAGAAAAACAUAAUUUUCUUGAAUAAAGUAGAAUCUUAAAUAUUGAAAUAUUUAUGUUGAUAGUUCAAAUUUCUUCUUAUAUUAAAUUACAUAUAAAUCUGAUAUUGAUAUAUUUAUAUUAAAGAUAUUGUCUUUUUAUAUUAAAUUUAUUUUUUAGUUAUAAAAAAAGAAAAUCGUUUUUAUUAAAUUACAUGUUUUAUAUUUAUUAAAGAUAUUUCCUUUUUGAUGAUAAAGUGAUUUGGAAACAAAUAUUUAAAUGUUUAUUAAAAUAUUGAUAGUGGUAUUUUAACAAUAAAAUUUAUUUAUUAAGGUUAUCACUGUAAUUAACCAUUCUAAGAAUCAACGUGAGUGCGACACGUAGAAAACUGACUUAUCAUAUACUAUUAUAGAGAUAAAGUACUAUUAUGGAGAUAAAGUACUAUUAUGUUCUACACAACUUUAUAUAAUUUUGCUUAUUUGUCAUCUAACACUAUUAAAAGGGGAAUAACAAGCCCUCUUAGAUGUGCCACGUCGGAUUGGAAAUUCAGACCAAUCAAACACAAGUUUUAUGACAUGUCAUUAGGUCAACACAUUAACAUACUGAACUUCAAUUUUAUUCGGCAAAAUCGAUUCCUUUUUCUUUCUUCUCAAUUUCUCUGCAAAAUGUAUUCUGAACUUUUGAUUUUCUAUCCAAGAGUCUACUCAUUGAUUCCUCUUCCUUUCUUCUCUCCUUCUCUACAAAACUUUUACCAUACCCAAGAGUCACUUUUUUUUUAAACUUCAGGCUUGUGAACUCUUAUUCUCGAAGUUGACUUUUGUGUGGUUCUCUUAGAAAUCCUAUUUCUGGAUUUAUGAUUCUGAAAAUUGGAAUUUUGUUUUUCGUAGUUGUAAGAUGGGGAAGAGAUGAGAAAGCGGUUAUAGGCGUUUCAGACAAAAAAAAGAAACAAGAGCUAAAGAAGGAGAAUCACGAUAAAUUACAAAGAGAUUUACGGCAAAGAUCAAAUUGAUGUGCUCUCCUCUGAACUCUGAUGGUAUCAUGGUAAAAAUAUUUGAUUCAAAAGCACUAAAAUUAUAGAGUGGAGAGAUUUGUGGAGAGAUUCAGUUUUUUUGUUCUCAUGUAAUUUUAAGUUAGUUCUCUCAUUGUUGUAUCUUUUCGCAUGAACAUUGUAAUUGAGUUGUUUGUGUGUAUGUCUUUUUAUAGAGUGUGGAUCACUGGAUCAACAUGGGUUUGCAAGGGACAAAAUCUGGGUAAUCGAUGACAAUCUAUCUCCUAUUUACUCAAAAGAGUUCUUAAGAAAAGCUUAGUUGAUCUUCAUCUCAAACCAUCAGAAGAGGACUUAAAGCAAUGGUCUGACAGGUAAAAGUAAAACCAUCAUCAUGCCUUUUAUGAUCUAUCUUUAUAGAUUCUGAAUUCUGUGUGUGUUUCCUUUUUGAGUUCCAGGUUCACUUGCUAUAGAUGGCGACUCAACAUUGAUUUCUUUAGAAACAUCAAUGGCAAGCCCUUCAGAUUCUUAUUUGCAUAUCAUACUUACCUCGCUGUCUCAGAUAUAAGGUAAUUGUACUCUUUAAAAAAAUAUAUCAUCAGCAAAAUAUUCUGUGUUUGAUGAAUCAUUCAACUAUUGAAGGAUCAGAAACAUUUGACUACUUGGAGAACCUCAGCAAAAAUGAGCUUUUGACUCUACUAGAGUAGAAACAUACUUCCCUGAGAACAAGUAUCGUUCGUUAACUGCCCAAAGUGGUAUCUCUCAGACACCAUAAGCUAAAUAAAUGUUUCUUUCAACGUGCAAAAAUCUGAAUCACAUUGCUUUAUAUUUCUAAUCUUCUUUGUUGGCAGGAACUUUGAAAACACAUUAAGUGAAUAGAACGUGUGAUGAUGAACUCAAUAUUCAGAACGUCUUUGUAGAACAUGAUGUCGUUUGUGUAAGUCGUAUAAUAUAAUAACUGUUCCAUAUUUACAUAUAUUUCGUCUUAGAACACAAAUCCAGACUGACCACAGAGUUCUUUAUUUUUUUGUUCUUAUAUGGUUUGAUUCGAAGUUAAAGUUCGUUUCUUUAAUUAUGUGUGUUGCAGAAGUCCAAGAGGAAUGAGUAUGCCAAACUAUCUCCUAACGUUUGCAAGGUAUUGUUUUACCUUGUCUGAUUUGUUUUCAUCAUUCUGUAAUUUUCAUGUGUUUGUUCGCUACAUGCUCGCAAGAGACUCAGCUUGAUCUUUGAAAAGUGCUCUGCUUUUUUCAAUUUUAGUUAGAGACCAAGGUUUCAAUUUUUGUUGCUGUUUGUUUGUGUCUCAGACUGUUUCGGUCAGGUUGAUAAAGGGGCUAAUAUUCUUGAAAUUUAUCGCAAUCAUUGUGAUACUGAUCACACUUGCUCGCAUGACGCUGCUACUUGCUCUUUUUGGUUCUUUGCGGGAGAAAUUGAAAGACUUGCGUUUAGCAUCUGAUCUCUCUUCUUUGUGUGUGUUUCUGCAAGUAAAAAUGGUUAAGGGCUUUGAAUGUACUUUUCAUUCUGAUGGGUUAUUUGGGAUUUAAAGUUUUUGACAUUCUCAGAGUUUCCAUAAAUUUGCAGCAUUGAACGUCAUUUUCCCUUUAUGAGUCCGUGCAAUAAGCUUGAAGACAGAGGUGGAAAGUCGGGGAGGUGGAUGGGACGAGCUUGCUGUGAUGGAUGGGGCGGAGAGGCGUCGGAUCUGAAGAAGCUGUGUAGUGGAGAUGGCAGAGGAAGCUAGCGGUGGUAGUGGUGGCGGCACAAAAAGAGAGAGCACUGGAAGAAUGGAGAUGAAUUUUAGGUUUAGUUAAAAAUUUGGUUUAGUUUGGUUUAGUUUAAUAUCGCAUUCAUAAAUAUGUAAACAAUUUCAAUAUAUAAAAUUUAAUUUAAUUUAUAUUUUUCAUAAUUUUUUAUUUUUUAAUAAUGAAAAUAAUUAACAAAAGUAAUACAUCAUUAAAAUCAAAUUAAUAAAUUUUAAUAACAUUUGUAUAACGUUAUUAUAAAUAUUAACAAUUGCAUAGAUAUUAACGCUAUUGUUGUUUAUUUAACUAUAGCAUACGACAAAUCCGCUAUCAAAAGGGUUGGACGAUGUCAGAGCGUUUUAGGGAACGCUAUUAAAAUGAACUAAUAGCGUUUAACGCCAGCUAUUAAUACCCCAUUUCCUAUAGUGUUCGAGUUACUACGCCAGAGUAUGCAACAUUCAGCAAGGUGGUAGCUUCCAGUUACGCUAAAUAGUCAAAAGUUGGAAAGUUUGGAUUUGAUCUGGUCACGUGCUCAAAGUCAUACCUUUUUAUUAAUCUUAUAAUGGUAACUUCUUUCUAUUGUUGAAAAUGCUUUUCUUUCUUUUAUAUAGAGUGAAGGUGGUGACAAAGCAGUUAAUCAGUUAGACAAAUCUGUUAAUCAACAAUAGCCGUCAACAUGUCUAUUGAGAACAAGGAAGUUGCUGAGAAGAUACAUCCGAGAACUAUACAAGUUUAAUUUUCUUGAUCUAUGUGUUAGUUUUAUCGCCGCCAACGUCCAGGAUUGUGAUCUCCAGUCUCUGCUUUAUACUAUAGUUCAGGUUAUAAAUGGAGUUGCUACACUGUUUAGUGGACCACGAUACCUGCUCCUAAGGGUUAAAUGUAUUCGAUGGCUAAAUCUCUUUCGUGCAAGUCGCAUAUUCAUUCCUAUAGCUUCACUGGUAUUGGAUAUACUGGAAUAUAAAUCCAUAAAUGAUAGUGAAAAGCAAGGAAGUAGCUUGAAGCUGUUUCAACCGUAAAGCUGCUUAAGAAUUGGUUGAAGUCCCUGAAUUUCCAAGAACAAUGUAUCUUUUCUGUGAUUGAGCUCCUUGCCGUCCACUUUUCUCAACGGAGCUUCAACAUAUCUUUUCUAGAGCUUGCUAUUAUUCCCUUAUGAGGCUGAACAAAUUUAACGAGAGAAGCAUUCUGGAAGGGUUAAAGAUGGACAUGGUGGUCAAACACUUCAUCAAGCAGGUGGAGUUGAAUAUUGAGUCUGUACACAAUACUAUCAAAGCAUCACAGACAAAGGUCUUGGAACAAAAAAAGAAGAAGUGAGACAAGUGUGCGAACAAUAAUAAUGCAAUUCCUGGGUUUGCAACUCAGAUUAUAGGGCAUAAUCAAACCGUAGCAGUUAGAAUUCUCAAAUUCUUAAACCAUUUUUGUUUCAUAAAUUAUUUUCAGAAAUACACAAAACGUCUAUGCAAUCUGGUUAAUAAAAACGGUGAAACAAAAAUAAAUCAGAUUCAUUCGAAAAAAUGUGUUUAAUCAGUAAUCUAAUUUCAGACCUACAACAGUAAUGUUUUAAAAAUGUUUUAAAAACAAUAGCCAAAAAAAAGUAGCAAUCUAAUUUCAGACCUAUGACAGUAAUGAUUUUGUUAUAUAUCGACAAUUUAUAACUUUGAGAGAGCUUUUAAACUGGGUAUGAGGUCCUCACUCUUACUUGUUUUCGAGAGGUCAUGCAAGAUCAUGUUUGAGCAAAGUUGACUCAAACACUACCCAACAAACAAACAAAAAGCUUGAACAUGAAAAAAAAAGUAUUAAUAUUUACAAUGAUUUCCAAAGUAUUAAAUAUUUAAAUGAUUAUCAUCAAAUGUAGUUAAAUAAAUAUUAAAAUAGUUAAAUUAUUAAAAUAAGGAACUAUGUAUAAAUUAAUAUGACAUCAAAUGUAAGAAAGUAAACCUUAAAUAACUUUACAACUAAAAAUAUUCAAAUCAUGAAGCAAAAUUUCUUUCCAUCACAAAAAAGCAAACAAUAAAUGAUAAAUUAAAUAUUUGGUUAAAGGUAAAUGGAGACAACAAACUCGAUUGGUACUUUCUCUUAAAUUCAAGUAUAAAAAUGAAAACUUAAUAAUUGUAAAACCAAACAAAAUUUAUACAGUAUUAAUUAUAAGUUUUACAAUUUUUUUACAUAAAAAUAAUAACCAAGAAAAGAAUAUAUAUAGAUCUUAACUAAUAAUUUAGUUAACUUUUUAUUAAUCUUUGCUAAUAUGAUUCUAAUAUCCUAUUUAAAUUUCCAAUAAAACACACAAACAAAUUCUAAUAGUUUUAAAUAUGCAUAUAUUUUUAUAAUUAUUCUUUAACCAGUUCCAGUAUAUAUUAUAUUUGUUCAUUUUUAAAAUAAAAAUACACAAAUUCAAUUAAUAUUAUAGGAAAAAAUCCGGGCGUAGCCCGGAAAACCCUCUAGUAUUUUUAAUGAUUUUGACUGAUGAAUCAUCAAUUUAGAUUUAUACUAUUAUUUAAAAUUUUAUCUUAUUUAGUCAUCAAUUAUUUAUUUAAUCUUAAUUUUAAAAUAGAAUUAAACUAAUAUUUAAAAUUAAUUAAUGUAAUCAAAUAAUAAAUCUAAAAACUGACAAAAAUUAUUUUAAAAUAAAAUUUAAAUUUAAAAAAAUAUUACUCUAAACAUAGUGCAGAAAAAUACCUAAUACAACUUCAUAUUGUAAGUGAACAUAAUGUUCAAGACAAAAAAAAAGUGGUAGUAAUAGCAAAAAGUAUAAAUACAAAGUAAACUAUAAAGGGGCCAUCAUAAAACUAACAAUUCUUCAAUAGUUAUAAGUUAGAAAAUAUUAUAUAGAUUCUUUAACUUAAAAAUUAGUUAUUUAUUAAUGGUAUCAACGUUUUUAACCGAUCUGACUUUUAAGGUGAGAGCUAAUAAAAAAAAAUUAAAUCAUUUUGCAAAUAAUAAAUAGAUAUAUUAUAUUUUAACAUUUAAAAGACACACAUAUAUUUCGAGGCUCUAAUCUUAUAGUACGGUUUUCAGAAUAAAUGUUGAUGAAGAACUAGAAGCCAUGGGUAAGAAAAUGGUCACAUAUUGUGGAGGACUACCAUUAGCCGUUAAAGUGCUGGAGGCUUGUUAGCUAAUAAAAACAUGGUUGAAGAGUGGAAAAGAGUAGAUGACAAUAUUCAAACUCAGAUAGUUCGCAUAGAUGACAACAGUCAAGAUUCGGUUUACCGAGUAUUGUCUAUGAGCUAUGAAGAUUUGCCCAUGCAGUUAAAGCAUUGCUUCCUAUACCUAGCUCAUUUUCCCGAAGAUGACAAGAUACAAGUACGGAUAUUGUAUAAUCUUUGGGAAGCAGAAGGAAUAAUAACGUCAAGUUGCGAUGGAGAAACCACUAGGAAAAUUGGAGAAGAAUACAUAGACGAGCUAGUAAGGAAAUAUGGUUAUUGCAGUAAAAGAUGAUUUGAGUUGCAAAUGGAAGUAUUGUCAAAUGCAUGACAUGAUGAGAGAAGUAUGUUUAUAUAAAGCCAAAGAAGAGAACUUUCUUCAGUUUAUCGAAGUACCUACUUCUUCACCUCUACCAUCAAUGCGCAUACUCCUACCAGAGCUCGCAGACUCGUAGUACACGGUGAUGGUAAUGCAUUUGAUAUGCUGGGACGUAAAAACAAUCAAAAAGCUAGAUCUGUUUUGGUUUUGGACUCGACAGCAACUUGUGGAAGCAGUCAGGUCAAGGAUUACGAAAUUUACAACUACUAGGGUCUUAGAUCUGAAUUUACAAACACAUGAUAGCGACUCUAGAGGAGGGAGAAUACCAUCCAGCAUUGGAAAAGCUCAUUCAUUUGAGAUAUUUGAGCUUACACAUGGGUCGUGCAACUCAUGUAGAGUUAAGGUCCCUGAUGCUUCCCUUUAUAUUGACGCUAAACAAAGUUGGAAUUGGGUAAUCUACUGAACCUAGAGUACUUGGUCGGCUUCCGACUUGAAUACGUAGCAUCACAGACUUCCUCCGAAUGAAAAGCUCAGGACUCUCGAGAUAUUUCUCAAAGGCAGGUAUACUUCUGAAAUUCUUGCGUCAUCUCUCUGUGAAUUAACAAACCUGGAGACGCUUAAAUUGAUCAAUGUGAACGGAUACGAUGAGGCUUAUGAUUUGGAUUUCGUUUGGAAUUUCAUUCAUCUAAGGCAUUUAGAGCUGGACAUACAUAUAACAAGGCUUCCUGAUCACUCUCGAUUUCCUCCCCACUUGCACACAUAUCUCUAUGUGACUGUAAAAUGGAGGAGGAUCCACUGCAGAUUCUGCAAAAGUUGCUUCAUUUAAAGUCGGUUGAAUUAUCAUAUAGUACUUUCGUGGGGAGGAAGAUGGUGUGUUCAAAAGGUGGAUUCCCUCAGUUAUGUAAGCUACAAAUACGGUUCCUGCACAACUUGGAAGAGUGGAUAGUCGAAGAAGGGUCGAUGCCAUGUCUUCGUACCUUGUCUAUUCGGUAUUGUAAGAAGUUGAAGGAGCUACCGGAAGGGCUCAAGUAUAUAACUUAUUUAAAGGAACUGGAUAUCAGACAUAACAACAAGGAGUGGAAGAAGAAACUCGCACCAGGUGGGGAAAGUUAUCACAAAGUCAAACACAUUCCUAGUGUUCAAUUAAACUAUCGUGGCAAUUAAUAAGGAGAAUAAAACUGUCUCAGGUAUAUAUUCUUUUUGGUAUAAUGUCAAUAUUGUUCAUUUUGUUGGUUAUGUAUCCUCCUUGAAGUUUAGUGUGAGUCUCAACUCUCUGUUAUUCGGUUUUCAGGUGAACCUACUCAGGAUCAGUACCCACCACUAUCGAUUGUGUGAUAUGAUAAUAAGUCGUUUUGUUGUAUGAAGUUUACAUAUCUUGUUUGUGAUAUAUUUCGUUUAUCUGUUUGCAUGCUCAUUCACUGUAAUACUAAGUUUGAAAUAUAUUUUGUAUGUUGAACCAUAUCUUCUUCGAUGUCUCCGUUGUGUGUGCUUAGUUGAUUUUCAUAGUCGGAACUGGAGAUAGAACGAUGGUUUUAUCAUGACAAAACGCAAGAACAACAACACAUAUAAAUUAGAUAUGUUGUAACAACUAUUUAAAAAAUUGAAUGAUGGAAACCCCAAAUUUGUUUAAAGAAAAUGAUGUUGAUAGUGGUUUUUGAAAAAAAAAAAGGAUUAUGAUGAACAAUAACAAUGAAAACUCAUUGUAAACACGCUUUAGAGAGCCAAACAAAUAAAUCAAUUCUAAGAUUUUUGGUGGAAAGGUAAUUUAAGAGGAGAUGGAAAACGAUAACAGGAAUGAGUCUUUAAAAACACACAUAUAUAUAGAUUGAUAAAGGAUGCUUCAUCUAAGAGUUGUAUUGUUUUGAGAUGGAGACUAUUCGGUGAAAAGAUGCAACGCACCGCAGUUUUGUUUUUUUAUAUCAUUAAAUUCAAUCAAAUAUGACUGUUGGACUUAAAACCUUUUUCUUUUAAAAAGUGACGAUAUCACCAGUUUUGGUAUGCUAUUAUAUAUAUAAUUUUUUUAUAAUGAAAAUAUACAAUUUUAAAAAUUAAUAAUAUUCAGAUUGUUAUGAAAAUAUACAAUUUAUAUAAUGAACAGACACAAUUUUUCAAACUAAUACAUUUCAGUUUUUUUUUAUGAAACAACACAACCAAAGUAGUUAUUUUGAAAAGACACAACUAUUUCGAUUUUUAGAAAAGAUACAACUUUUCAACAUAAGUAAGAUUCAUAACCUUUGAAAUUAAUCAGGAUUGCUAUUAUUAGUAGAUAAAAUAUUUGAUUUUAUCAUAUAUAUAUAUAUCUAUUAAUAAUAGCAAUCCCAAUUAAUUCAAAAGGUUGUGAAUUCUACUUAUGUUGAAAGGUUAUAUCUUUUCAAAAAUUAAAAAUUGUGAUUUUUCAUAUAAGUAUUAUUACAAAAAGACACAACUUUUUAAUUCAAACGAUGUGACUCUUCGAAUUUUUUUUUGAAAAUCUGUAAAUAAUCCAAUGUCCAUGCCUUCUCAAAGCAUAAUUUCCCUAAUCAAAUAAAAUGGUCACAUUCGUAGGGUUUUUAUAAAUACUUUAAAAAUAUAUAUAUAUUUAAAUAAAAAAAUGUGACUAUUUAUAGUUAAAAGUUGUGACUAUUUAUAUAAGUAUUAUCUCAAAAAGAACAACCAAUUAAUAUGAAAAGUUGUGAAUUGAUAGGUUGUGUUUUAAAACAUGUAACUCUACAAAAUAUUAGCUUUAAGAGUUGUGUUUUUUCAUCAUAAAUGAUAUAUUAGUUUUCAAAAGUUAUAAAAUAUUCUAUAAAGUAUCUUUGUACAAUUAUUUGUUUCUAGAGUUGUUUAUUAGUUAGUGUAAAUAGUAAUGUCUUUCUAUUGUAAAAGAAAACUAGAUUUUGACCCGCGCUUUUUAAGCGCGGGUUUUUUUCCGACAAAAAUAAAAGUUUAAAUUGAUUAUUAUUUUGUGUUCAUAUAAUUUUUUUAAGAUUAAAGUCACCAUGAUUUAUAUUGAUGUGAUCAAGCAUCUGCGUUUUUGAAAUUUGGUUGAAAUGUUUUUAAAAAUGAUGUUUGUUUGUCUAAUAGUAUAUGAAAUAUGAAGUGUAAAUAUAUAUAUUGGUAUUGGAAAGAUUGUUGCACACAACUAUAUAUAUAUAUAUAUAUUAACUAUCAAAAUUUAAAAAUAUAAAAGCAAAUAUAUAAAAGGAUUUAAUAUGUAGUUAUUAUAAAGCUAUAUUUUUUUCUAUACAUAGUCAAUAUUUAAAUUAUUGUUGAAAAUUAAAAUCUAAGUUUUUAAUUGCAGGUUUAUUAAUAUAGGUGUAAAAUGAGUUUUAAUAUAAACUAUGACAUUGUCAUAUAUACAUGAUACGUUUUUUUAUUUCACAUGUCCUAUUAGAAACAUACCAUAUAUAGGUCUAUUUAUUUAUACUGCUGGUACAUACGAUUUUAUAUAUACCUUUAUCAAAAUAUGCGAUAUUAUAAGGACUAAAAACCUUUUAACUAACGUUGAGUAAUAUAUGGUAAUAGGAGAAAUAAUAGGUAGACCAAUAUACUAUUAAUUAAAUAAAAGGGUGCAGUAACCUUGUUUAAGUAGAUUUCUCAAGACUGAUUCUCUUUUAAUAGAAUAGAUUUAGUUUUUAAAAAUAGUUAAGGUGUCUUUCUUUAAUAAAUAUCUUCGUGUCUUUCUAUUAAUCUUGUUGUAUUGUGUAACCUUGCAAUGUUUGGUUAUUAACAGUUGCAACUUUUAGUUUCUUAUAUAAAGAAUUUUGGAUUGCGACACAUCACAAAAAUUCAUUUACUUGAUUCACCCAAAACAUACAACAUUUUGUAUAUUUGUUUAUUUUAGAAUAACAACACUUGUGAAACAUAAAACAAGUGUUUCAAAACAUUUCGAUUGCAAAAAAGAAAAGAAAAUACCCAGUAUUCCUCAACAUGCAUACUGCAUAUAUAAUCUCAUACAUCACUCUCCUAAACUCUUUUUUCUUUGUUUUAUUUUUGUUGUAUUAUUGACUAGUAUAUAAUCUUAUAUUAAUAUUAUACUCAUGUGAUGAGAACUUCCCCCCCCCCCCCCCCCACCCCCCCCACCCUUUUCAAAAUUCGACCAAUUAAGUUGGUUCGUUGAAUCGUUAUCGAUUUUUAUAAAUUGGUUCUGCAACGGAUCAUCGUCCAUCGCGCAACACUCCAACCUCGUCUCCCAAGGCACGUUUACAGAUUUGUCAAGUCGUCAUGUUCUUCUGAUCUGAUAAAUGCGUAAUUUGAUGAACUCUUCUCUCGCCUAUUUGCGGUACUAUUAGGCAGAAGAACCCGUCGAUUUACGUCCCGUCACGACGGAUCUCCAGCGGAACUGCUGCGGCGACGCUGCGUUAUGCCACUGCUAUGAGAUCUUAUUCUACGUCGUUUAUGGAAGAGAGGGACACUUUCGGGCCGAUCCAAGUUUCUUCCGGUAAGUACAUGAUAUUUUUUUUUUUACCAUAACGUCUUGACUAUCUCAGUUCUCCAGUAUGUCUUAUCAGCCUUAUCUUUGUUGUCACUGUGUCAGAUUUUGGGGAGCCCAGACGCAGAGACGCUGCAGAACUUCGAAAUCGGUGAUGAGCACGAGCGUAUGUCCAAACCUAUCGUCUGCGGUUUUGGCGUCUUGAAGAAGUGCGUGGCCAAGCAUAGCUAUAAGUCUAUAACCAUAGGUUUUGUCUAAGUCAUGCACAUUGCCGCUGUAACUGAGAUUAAUUGAAGGCUCUUAUUCGUAAGACUGAUCAAAAAGCCAAUAAUGUGGCGGUGAUUUCAACCGGAAAGGAAGAUAAGUUCAAUUAUUAAGCUUCUAAAAAGUACAUAAAAACAUACCUUGACAAUCUAUGAUUAAGAGAUGAACGAAAAUGCAAUGCAGAUGAAUGAAGAGGUUGAAUAGAACGCAGAAAUCAGGAAUCAGAAAAAGAAAAUUGAAAAAAGGAGAUAAUUUGUAAACUGGUUAUCAAAAAUAUAAACGUAUGAAGAGGUGCCAACUAAGAGUCACAAUUUCAUUAAUGGAUAAAAGUCAGACAAUGCUUCACUACCGACAUACAACUUUGGUAGAGUCGUGUCUUAACUAAACCAUUGGAUUAAAAGGUUGCUAAUCUCAACAGUUUCCUGUUUUUUUUUUUGAAGAAAAUUACUAUAAGAAUAUGAAAUGGGACUUGGAACAAAAAAAAAGAAAAAAAAAAGAAAAGGGACUUCACUAACGACACAAAGCUUCAGUAGCGGUAGCGUCUCCUUUUUUUGUCAAAACAAAAAAAUUACUAAUCUGAACAGUUUCCUGUUUUUUAAAAGAAAGUUACUAUAAGAUUAUGAAAAGGGACUUCACUAACGACACAAAGCUUCGGUAGCGUCUCCUUUUUUUAGUCAAAUCAAAUGAUCAGCCCUUGGAUUAAAAGGUGUACUAAUUUCAACCAUUCCUUUAAACAAAAUUAUAAUAUAAAAAAAUGAUGUCAGAUAAAUACAAAUUUUGGUUUGCUAUUAUAUGUAGACCGUGUUUUUUUUGUAAUGAUAUAUCUUUUCAAUAUACAUUAUAUACAACAUUUUAAAAAAACUAUUUAUAAUUUGAAAAGUCGUGAUCAUUCAUAUACAUAUUUGAAAAACUAUAAAUAGCCCAUGUCCAUAAAUUUCUUAUUGUAAAUCUUUCAAAAAUUUAUUAAAAUGGCCAAAAAGAAAAGUUAUGUGCAGUAACCUGAUUACAAAUAAUUUGAAGAUAAUAGACGAAACGAUGUCAACAAAGAAUUGUAGCAAGGGUCAUUCAUGUUUGGCUAGUAAAAAAUUCUAAACGAGAUACUGAAGUUAUUAGUCUUAAUUUCUCUUCAACUAGAUGAAAAUGUGUGCUUUUAUUUCUUACAAAUUUUGCAUUUGUAAUGAUGUAUGUUCCAUGAAACACAUAUUAUGCAUGUCUUAUAUAUUCAUGUGCUAUAUAUUCUUACACUUGGGUUAUAUAAGAAUGUAUGAUCAUGUCACAAAAGCCGGUAAAUUUUAGUAACAUAAUAUUCUUAUUGAUUGUUGACAUUUUAUUUGAGUGGAUAUUUUUGUUUUACAAAACCAGUCAAUUAAUGUAUUUUUUUCUCAUUCUCUUGGGUUGUUUCAUAUUUGUGACAUCAAUAAUCAUUAUCAAUAAAAGAAUAUAGUUAUAUACAAAAUAAUUUUGUAACACGUGUAUUGUCUCAAAAUUAAUUGUAAACAAUUUUCAUAAAAAUUUAUUUUAUAAAAUAUAUUAUAUUUACUUUUAUGAAAUGAGUUCCCGUGCGAUAUCGCACGGGUUCCUUACCUAGUAUUAACAGUGGCGGUUCUACUAAGCUCAAGAAGGUGGCACUUGCCCCCUAUAAAAUCAUUAAAUUCUUUUUAACUUACCCAAAAUUUUGUUACAUACGUUUACUGAAAAUCAUGUUUUAUUUAUAUAGUUGUAUUUACAUAUGAUUUGCCCCCAGUAAAAUUUUGUUCUACAUCCGCCCCUGUAUAUUAAUUAACUUUUAGAAAUCCGACAUUUAUAUUUUUUUGUUACACUAUUUGGUGUAUACAAAAUAUGUUUUAUAGAAUUUAAAAUGUAUUUUUAUAUAUAAUUUUACGAAAUAUUAUCAAAAUAUAUUGAAAUGUUAAGAAAAAAUAGAAAUGAACUUCAUUUGUGAAUAUAAAACAAAUAAUACAAUGUUUAAUGUUUGUACUUUAUGUGUUUAUUAAUUAUAGAAUUUUUACUGCAUAUUGUUAUAAAUAUAUAUAUAUAUAUAUUUUAAAAACAUUUGAAAAGACUAAACACACUAUUAUUUCAAGACUCUGAUCUUAUAACGUGUGUUACUAUUUUCAGAAUUUGAUGUUGAUGAGGAACUAGAAGCCAUGGGUAAGGAAAUGGUGGCAUAUUGUGGAGGACUACCAUUAGCCAUUAAAGUGUUGGGAGGCUUGUUAGCUAAUAAAACCAUGGUUGAAGAGUGGAAAAGAGUAGAUGACAAUAUUCAAACUCAGAUAGUUCGCAUAGAUGACAAAAGUCAAGAUUCUGUUUACCGAGUAUUGUCUAUGAGCUAUGAAGAUUUGCCAAUGCAGUUAAAGCAUUGCUUCCUAUACCUAGCUCAUUUUCCCGAAGAUGACAAGAUACAAGUGGACAGAUUAUAUUAUCUAUGGGCAGCAGAAGGCAUAAUAAAGUCAAGUGGCGAUGGAGAAUAACGAGUCAAGGUCCAACCGGGCAAUCCGGUUUUCAAAACACUAGUCAUCACCAUAAUGAUUCUUUUUUUUAGAGAAAUAUGUUAGCCAUCUAAACAUAUAAUAUAAUACUCAUUAAACUAAGUAUUAAAUUAAUUAUUAAUGUACAAAACAUAUUAUUCCUUCUUUGCUUAAGUAUAAGCUACAAAAUUACAUAAUGUGAUAAAUAUAUAUAAGGAGUUUUCUUGCGCCAUGCGCAAAUAUACUAAUUUUUAGCUAAAUUUUUAUUUAUUUUAUUUUAAAUAAAAAUAAAUUUACGUUUUCAUACUAUUAUUUUUAUAUUUUAAAUUCAUCGGUCUGGAAAAGAGUGAAAUCACAACUAUUUUUUUGUAAUUUUGUUUCAUUUGAUUUGUUUUAUUUAUUUUAAUUUUAUUUUAUAUGAAUUUUAUUGGAGAAGAAUUAUAUUUUAUAUAACUUUGAAUUUUAUUUAUUUAUAUUUAGUGAUUAUUUAUUUUGAAUAUGUUUCUUAUCCUCUAAGUGUAUAAAUUUUAAUAAUGAUUGGGUUUCUGUUUAAAUGUAUAGCUAAUAUGUUAAACUUGUAAACUCAAUUUCUUAAUUAAUCAAAUAAACUAAUGGAUGCUACUAAAAUUUUAAACAUUUAAUCAUCCAAAAAAAUUGAUUAGCAUUGCUUUAGUUUUGUGUUCCCUAAUGCACACUUACACUUUAUUUUAAUAAAAUAUAAAAUAUAUAUAGAAAAUAUGAUAAAUAAGUUAAUUUAAAAUUAAAAUAUAAUUAUAUUUAGUUUAUUUUUAUAAAUAUGAUAUAUAUAAUUUUAUUUUAUUUCAAUGGUGAUAUAUGAAUUAUUAGUUAUUAAUAUACUUUAAAAGUCUUGCCAAAAUAAACAUUUACACAGAAAUGCUAACUUCUAAAUAGUGAUAUAAACAUUAUUAGUCAUUACCAUUUUUAUAAAUUCUUACUAAAAAUAUAUAGAUUUGUAAAAGUUAUUAUUAUUACCAUAUUUAAAAGUCUUUAACAAAAAUAUAAAUUUUUAUAAGAAAAUUUUCAUGUCAAAUUAACUUGAUCUCAUGUCAUUAUUUUCUAAAAACAUGUCAUUUUUUUGGGUGAGAAUGAACACUGUGAUGACAUGUGUACAAAACCACUUUGCAAUUAAUAUUUAGGAGAUACUACAAUCAAUGACUUUGAAUAAUAAUGAUUUGAUAACAAUUUGUGUAUCAUCCAUCAUCUUUAUUUAAUUUUAAAUUAUUAAAAUAAAUUAAUUAAUCAUAUUAAUCAUCUAAUAAAAAAUAGAUUUUCCUUAUAUUUUGAAUUUUAAAGAUGACUAUAAAUUACUAAAAUUGUUAAAAUUAAUGGUUUAAUUUUAUUAUUAUAAUAAGAUACAAAUGAUCAUAAGAACUUAUGAAUAUGAAAUUUCAUUUAAUAGAACUGUAGAUUAAAAUAUAUAUAUAUAUAUAUAUAUAUAUAUAUAUAUAUAUAUUUUAAUAUCGUUUAAAUUUAGCUGUAUAUAUAUAUAUUUUUUUUUCUGAACAUUUGAAAAGACUAGAGACAUUAUUUCAAGGCUCUAAUGUUAUAAUAUGUGUUACUGUUUUCAGAAUUUAUUGUUGAUGAAGAACUAGAAGCCAUGGGUAAGAAAAUGGUCACACAUUGUGGAGGACUACCAUUAGCCGUUAAAGUGUUGGGAGGCUUGUUAGCUAAUAAAACCAUGGUUGAAGAGUGGAAAAGAGUAGAUGACAAUAUUCAAAGUCAGAUAGUUCGCAUAGAUGACAAAAGUCAAGAUUCUGUGUACCGAGUAUUGUCUAUGAGCUAUGAAGAUUUGCCAAUGCAGUUAAAGCAUUGCUUCCUCUACCUAGCUCAUUUUCCUGAAGAUGACAAGAUACAAGUGGACAGAUUAUAUUAUCUAUGGGCAGCAGAAGGCAUAAUAAAGUCAAGUGGCGAUGGAGAAACCACUUGGGAAAUUGGAGAAUACUACAUAGACGAGCUAGUACGGAGAAAUAUGAUUAUUGGAGUAAAAGAGGAUUUGAGUUGCAGAUGGGAGUAUUGUCAAAUGCAUGACAUGAUGAGAGAAGUAUGUUUAUAUAAAGCCAAAGAAGAGAACUUUCUUCAGUUUAUCGAAGUCCCUACUUCUUCCAUCUCCACCAUCAAUGCUCAUACUCCUACCAGAUAUCGCAGACUCGUAGUACACGGUGGUGGUAAUGCAUUUGAUAUGCUGGGAUGUAAAAACAAUAAAAAAGUUAGAUCUGUUUUGGGGUUUGAACUCGACAGCAACUUGUGGAAGCAGUCAGCUCAAGGACUCAGAAAUUUACAAUUACUUAGGGUCUUACAUCUGAGUUUAGAUUAUAAAAGCGACUCUAGAGGGUGGAGAAUACCUUCGAGCAUUGGAAAACUCAUUCAUUUGAGAUAUUUGAGCUUAGACAUGGGUUGGGCAACUCAUGUACCUUCUUCUUUACGGAAUCUAAAGCUUCUAAUCUAUUUGAGAAUUUCCUCCUGGGGACUGGAAAGAGUUCAUCUGCCAAGUAUCUUUAACGAGAUGGUACAGUUGAGGGUCCUGAUUCUUCCCCGUUCUUUUGACGCUAAAACAAAGUUGGAAUUGGGUAAUCUCGUGAACCUGGAGUACCUGAUCGGCUUCCGAUCAGAAUACGGUAGCAUCACAGACUUCCUCCGGAUGAAAAAGCUCAGGACUCUCGAGACCUGGAGAAGCUUACAUUGAUCAAUGAGAACAACAAAUCCGAUGGGGUUUAUGAUUUGGAUUUCGUUUGGAAUUUCAUUAAGCUAAGGCAUUUAGUGAUAUGGAUGCAUAUGCCAAGGCUUCCUGAUCACUCUCGAUUUCCUCCCCACCUUGCACACAUAUCUCUAAUUAACUGUAAAAUGGAGGAGGAUCCACUGCAGAUUCUGGAAAAGUUGCUUCAUUUAAAGUCGGUUGAAUUAGGUUACAGAUCUUUCGUGGGGAGGAAGAUGGUGUGUUCAAAAGGUGGAUUCCCUCAAUUAUGUAAUCUAGAAAUAGAGUUACUAAACGACUUGGAAGAGUGGGUAAUCGAAGAAGGGUCGAUGCCAUGUCUUCGUACCUUGUCUAUAUGGUUCUGUGACAAGUUGAAGGAGCUACCGGAAGGGCUCAAGUAUAUCACUUCUUUAAAGGAACUGGAAAUCAUACAUAAGAACAAGGAGUGGGAGACGAAACUCGUACCAGGUGGGGAAAGUUACCACAAAGUCCAACACAUUGUUACCACUAUGAUGGCGACGAAUAAGGAGAGUAAACCGGUCUCAGGUAUGUUUUUUUGGUAUAAUGUCAAUAUUGUUCUUCUUGAAGUUUUGUGUGCAAGUCUCAACUAUCUAACCUUUUUAUUAUUCGGUUUUCAGGUGAACCUACUCAGGAUCAGUACCCACCACUACCGAUUGUGUGAUAUGAUAAUAAGUCGUUUUUGUUGUAUUGGUGUGUGAAGUUUACAUAUCUUGUUUGUGAUAUAUUCCGUUUAUCUAUUUGCAUGCUCAUUCACUGUAAUGCUAAGUUUGAAAUACAUUAUUUGUAUGUUGAACCAUAUCUUAUUCGAUGUUCUCCGUUGUGUGUGCUUAGUUGACUUGUAUAGUUACCGAACCGAACCUGAGUUUUCCAAAUUUGUCUUUUACUACUAAACCGGACAAAUUGAUGGUUUAAAAACAAAACUCGGUCUGGAUUAUAAUAAAAUCAGAUCAUGAGAGACUACCAAACAAGAGAGUCCUUUCGAUCUCUGCAAAUUUGUUUUUGACUCUAAUUAAGAGGAGAAGAAGUGUACUAGUUGAAGCGAAGAAUCCAAAACGCGGUGAUCAAUCGCCAAACGUAUGCAUAACUGGGUUAGAGCUUCCUCUUCCGAUCUCACGGGAACUCCUCCACAGCCUAGGAGGUAAAUUAAUUACUUCUUCUCCAUUCAAUUUUCGAUUUUAAUUUCAGCUGCUGAUUUUUAUUCUUCAAUCAGUGGACAUACAGCUGUCAAUGUCGGAAAAUCCAUGGUCGUGGUGUUCGGCGGUCUCGUCGACAAAAAGUUCCUCAACGACAUCAUUGUUUAUGACAUUGGUAAUAUCAUACUUCAGCCUAGGAUUAUUGAUUCCUUGAUCCAAAGAAGAUGCUUUUUUUUUAAAUUUCCCUUGAGUUACUGUCUUCGCUUGUAAUAUAAAGACUAGUGUUUCUUGUAGUUUAUUGUGUGUUAAGCUUAGUUAGGCUAAUGCGUACAUCAAAGAUAGAGUUACUUUGCAAAAAAAAAACUGUAGAAAACUGAAAACUUCACCACUAAAAUUAUUAGACUCACUAUAGGAUACUCUCUUUCUUAUUCCGCAUGGCAUUGUUUUAAGUACCAGUGAAAUUAGUUUCUUUACGGUCUGCUAGUAUAUGUGGUGGUUAUAUCAAGUACAUAGUUUCCUAUCCAGCUUUUUUAAUCGGUUUGUCUUAUGAUUUGCUUCUUCUUUAUCCUGUCGACUAGAAAACAAACUCUGGUUUGAGCCAGAGUGUACUGGCAGCGUUUCUGAAGGAAAAGUUGGCCCUACACCUCGCGCCUUUCAUGUUGCCAUAACAAUUGAUUGCCAUAUGUUCAUCUUUGGUGGACGUUCUGGUGGCAAGAGGUACUCACUACUAUAUAUUUUCUAGUUAGAAGCGUUUUUACAUUUCUACUUUCACCGGAAUAGCUUAUUUCUAGAAAUAAAUCAAUUUCAGAUUGGGUGACUUCUGGGUUCUAGAUACAGGUAAGUGUACAAUCAUAACAAUGUCAGUGACAUUAUGUCACUGAGACCUGCCUGGGAACUUUUUAAUACCCUGCUGCUGACAUUUUCUGCAGAUAUAUGGCAGUGGUCUGAGCUAACCAGCUUUGGCGACUUACCUACACCUCGUGAUUUUUCUGCUGCCGCUGCUAUUGGCAACCAGAAAAUCGUGUUGUGAGUAUCUGAAAUUUUAGACGUUCCAUCAGCUUGUUUCCUGCAUUGGCUUAGCCUAUGAUUAUUGGCAGGUGUGGCGGCUGGGAUGGUAAAAAAUGGCUGUCAGAUGUGUAUGUUAUGGAUACAAGUAAAACUUUAUACCUCUCGUCUACUUCAGUUUUGUAAUAAACUGUUUUUAAGUUUCUGAUAAUGUCAGCUUGCUUUGUAUUUGCUAGUGUCCCUUGAAUGGAUGGAGCUGUCGGUUUCGGGGUCGUUACCGCCUCCUAGAUGUGGUCAUACAGCCACCAUGGUUGAGAAACGUUUACUUGUUUUUGGUGGCCGAGGUAUAACACCAGAACCAGAAUCUUUGUUUUGCUUGAGCUGAUGACAACUAAACUGAGACUAUGGUUAUCUUUGACAGGAGGUGGUGGCCCUAUCAUGGGUGAUCUUUGGGCUUUGAAGGGUUUAAUAGAUGAAGGUUCAUCCUUACUUAAAUUCUUAAAAAUUGCAUUGUUAUGUUAUGUUUGCUAAUCUUAUUGUGGUUUACCUUUGUUGUGGAAGAAAGAACGUGAAACACCUGGAUGGACCCAACUAAAGCUUCCUGGUCAAGCACCAUCAGCUCGAUGUGGUCACACUGUCACAUCCGGAGGACAUUAUGUAUGUCUAUUUCAGCUUCCGUUUGCUCUUUUGUAUAAAUAGGUUCGCAUGACAUACAUCACUCACAUCAUUAAUUUUCAUGUAUGAAGCUUCUGUUAUUUGGGGGACAUGGAACUGGUGGAUGGCUGAGUCGUUAUGAUGUCUAUUAUAAUGACACUAUAAUUUUAGACAAAGGUAAAUUCUUGCUUAUGAGAUUCGUCACUCUAAAUUUAUAUAUUCACAUUCUAGUAACUGCUCAGUGGAAGCGCUUACCGAUAAGCAAUGAUGAGCCUCCUCCACCUCGAGCUUACCAUACAAUGACUAGUAUUGGAGCUCGUCAUCUUUUAAUUGGUGGUUUUGAUGGAAAAUCAACCUUCGGUGAUCUUUGGUGGUUGGUUCCUGAAGGUAUCUUUCUCUUAUUUUAUACUGAUGUUUUAGUCCAACUUAGCUAUCGUUCUGUGUACACGCAUCAUCAGUUACUUAUAGUUGGAAACUCUUUAGGCAAUUGUAGAGACACUUAAUUUCUAGCAUAAUCUUUUUUUUUCUUCUUUAUCAAGUUUGUAUUGAAAGUUUUGAAGUUUUACUGAACUGUUUAGCCUUCUGAAAAUGUUGUUAUUCGUUUUUUUUCUUUUUUUCUUUUCUCAGAUGAUCCCAUAGCCAAGAGGUCUUCCGUACCUCAACUUAGAAACCCUCCUGAGACUAAAGAGUCAGAGAGAGAUUUGGAUACGGUAACUGUGGUUCCUGCUCAUCAUCUUAUGUGUUUCUCGCCAAUGCAGUUAAAUUAGCUUUUCAACGUGUUUUAACACCAAGAGUUUGGUCACAGCAGGAAAGAGGACAAGAGGGAUUCACUAUCGUCGACUUGCAAAAGAAAAUGGGAAUCUCUGUUGCAUCAGGGUUACUACGCCGUCAUAUCCCCGAGGAGUCAGAAGAUCAAGAGUUCGUUGAGUUAGGAACCAGAUUGAUUGAGGGAGAUGUAAUUGAUAAUCGAACCUCCAUGAUUCAGGUUAAUUUUUCCUCUUGUCUUUUUCAGGAUGUGUGAUUGUGUUAUUCUUGUACUGAAAAUGCUUCUCAACGAUUAGAUGGCAGCUGAAGCACUUCGUCAACAUUGGAAAGAGUCCACUCCUGAGACUUUGCAGUUAAAAGAGCUUAAUGCCUUGCUUCGAGAUUAUCAGCGACUUGUUUCCCGAAAAUACACGUGAGUUCUUACAUUAUCUUGUUUAUGUAGAUUAUCUUUUAUUUCAAUAAAAAUGGUUGUUCUUUGAUUGCGCUUGGAAUGGCAUUAGAAUAACUUAGAUAAAUCUCCUGAGAGUUUAGGAGUGUUAUAUAGAGUUAAUAUCAAUAUCAUUUUUUGUGUCUUGAAUAGCCCUUGAGACUUUUUAAUCCAAGAAUUGCCAAAACUGAUUCAUUUCUUAAUGUUGUGCAGUCCUCACAUAAAAGUUGAUUGUAAAUGCAUCGCUUUGUACCCCUUUGAAAAGUAUUAAACAUCAUGAAAUUUCACAUUUGAUUCUUCCUUUCCGUCACACAUGUUUGUUUUCGUUGUUGUGGCGUGAGUCUCAGAGCACAGAGCAGCUUAACAUCUACUGAUUUUGGCCUCCCCGGAAAGCAGACGUUUACGUUUUAUCAUAUCAAAACUUCUUCCGAGGUAAUACCACAUACUUUCCUCCUGUUAUGAGCUCUCUUGAACAUUUGACAGCAAUCAAUCAACACAUCAGGCUCUUGGCACAUGCUCUGACAUGUCAAUUUAACAUUUUGUUAUUCUCAGUUACGGAUGGAUGACAUCCCGAAGUUGCUGGAAGAAUACAAAACCCUUGUAAUCUGAUUGAGGAGCUCUGCCAUGAAACUCACAAGGAGAAUACAAAACUCAUCAAGUAGCUGCCAAGAAGAUCACCAAGAUUGCUAUCAGCACUACCAUUGCAAACAACAAAACUAAAAAAAGUCUCAACAGAAUCAUAUAUCUGAUAGACAACAAGACAUGUACAACUUCUUUUUAGUCAAGAACAAAAACAUGUACCCAUAUGUAAGAUUUUCCAUUAUCUCCACUUAAUCCGUAUCUCAGCGUCUGCUCUUUAUUUUUCUAGCCUCUUGCAUUUUACUUUGAAAAUAGAUUGAUUUGCCUUGAAGCUAAUGUUCGAACCCCGAUCCAUCUUUGAGCAACUGUUUUAGUUCCGUGUCUAGGAGACCAGUGUUCUGCACUAUCGAAUCUUGGUCUCCUACUUGAGAUGUGAUGCUUCCAUACAAUGUCCAGCCACUGGCGUUGCCUAGUAAUUAAUAUCAUCUCCACCAUAUCAAUAUUUGCUGCAUCCCCUCCUCCAUAAGAAACAUAAAAUAUAAAAGUUAGGUAGCUCUAAAACACUUCUGAUCAUAACAAAAAUUAAGAUCUAAACCACACUUGAUGAUUACGUAAGUUUGUUCGUAAUUUUUACCAAUCUUUGGUAUGAGGAACUGGAGAAAAGAUUCCAAAUAGACUGAGGAAGAAGGACAUGCAGAUUUCAGAGAUUUGAUAGUUUGGUGUCAAGGCCACAAAGCAUCAAGCUUGUUAACAUGUCGUAGUAGUAGAACCAGAAGAACUUGACCACAGUACGGUCGUAUCCUAUCAUUGAGUAAAGGAUUAGAGUAUGUAAACUCUAGUUUGAAUGGUGUCAUACUACAUGAUCUAAUAACUUUGUCUAUAUUACCAAUUUUCCCAAUUAAUUAUUUCUAACGAAAAUAUAAUGUAUAAAUAUCAAUGAAUAUAUUUUGAAAGUUGAAAAUAAGAGAGAAAUUUUUUUUUACCAAAAAGAAUAAUAAGGGAGAAACUAUAGUGAAUGUUUCGAGUGGGCCUAAAGCAAAUGCAUUAUUGCCUUGCGAAAAAAUCAUUAUCGCCAGAGACUAGAAAAAAACUCCUAUUUUCUUUUUAAUUCAAAAUUAGAACCACAAGAUGACUGUCAUAGACUGUCGAUACUCUUUCAUUAUUUUUUCUUCCAAAGAACGUCGCUAAGCAAGUUGCAGAUCUGUUACAUGUAAGGUAAAUCACGUUCUUGUAUCAUUAUUUGUCUGUUUAACUUGCUCUGAUCUGUCUUUUGGGCUCUGUGGUGGUUGAAUCUGAAUUUAAAAACAAAAAUUCGUUGCAUUGUUACAAAUCUUGUUUUACGAAUUUAAAGCAUUUAAUCAUCAAUGCUUGAAUAAAAGUAAGUUAAGUAAAGUUCCUCUGACAGGUAUCAUGUUUUAUUAGAUCAACCAAGGAUUAUCAUAACCGGUUUUAAAUCUUACUAUACAAGUUUGUACUCAUAUGUUGACGGUGGAACAGGAGAAUAGCGAUGGCUGAGGGAAUUGUAUCGUUUGGAGUGCAGAGACUCUGGGAGCUCUUGGCUCGAGAAUCUGAGAGACUGCAGGGAGUUCAUGAGAAAGUUGAUGAUCUAAAAUGUCAGAUGAGAAUGUUACAGUCGUUGUUGAAAGAUGCAGAUGCCAAGAAACAUGGGAGUGAAGUAGUGAGAAACUUCUUGGAAGAUGUCAAAGACAUUGUUUUUGAUGCUGAAGAUAUAAUUGAAUCCUUUCUUUUGAAAGAAUUGAGUGGAAACCAAAAAGGGAUCAAGAGGCAUCUGAAAAGACUUUCUUGUUUCUUAGUGGAUCGCCGAAAUAUUUCUAUGGACAUUGAAGGCAUAACUAAGAGAAUGUCCAAGCUUGUCGAGCAAAUGCAGAGCUUUGGAAUACAACAGAUCGUCUACAGAUCACCGUCUCUACAAGAGAGACAGAGGGAAAUCCAACAAACAUAUCCUGAGAAAUCUCAAAAGGAUCUUGUGGCCGUGGAACAGAGUGUUAAGGAACUGGUUGGUCAGUUGGUGGAGAAUGAUCGCAUCCAAGUAGUUUCCAUAUCCGGGAUGGGUGGUAUUGGAAAAACCACUCUUGCGAGACAAGUCUUUCAUCAUGACAUUGUUCGAAGUCAUUUUGAUGGAUUCGCGUGGAUCUGCGUUUCGCAAGAUUUUAAGCGGAAGGAUAUUUGGCAAAAGUUAUUGCAAGACCUUAGACCACAUGAUAAGGGCAUCGAACAUAUGAAUGAGAAUACACUCCAGGCUGAGCUCUUUCACUUGUUGGAGACAUCUAAAUAUUUAAUUGUCAUGGAUGAUGUAUGGAAAAAAGAAGACUGGGAUAUAAUAAAACACGUUUUCCCCCAAGAAAGAAGAGGUGAGCUCUCUAAUUGUACAUACAUUACUUAAGAACUCUCCAUAGCUAUUUCAUAAAUACCUUUUCAGUCUCUGAGAUGAAAGGAAAUACAAUUGCAGGUUGGAAGAUGAUUCUUACUUCACGUGAUGAAAGUGUUGGUUUCCAUGCAGACCGAACAUGUUUUCCCUUUAGACCAAAAACUCUUACUCCUGAAGAAAGUUGGAAGCUAUGUGAGAGCAUAGCAUUCCCUAGAAGAGAGAUAACAGGUACGUUUUUAAUACAAGAAUCAUAUGAAUCAUUAAGGCCAAAAAGCAUGAUAUCUCUUACAUGCCUUCUUAUAAAAAAACUUGUGUAGUAAUUCCCAAAUUAUCGUCUCUGGAAUGACAUACACUAAAAACUCUAUAAAUUAAUAAUACUAAAACUAUGAAAUUUUAUUAAUUUAUAGAAUUACUAAUUUUUUCAAAGUUUCAGUUUUAGAUUUUUUUUACACUAUUUUUAUUAUAAAAACUAGGUAAGGAACCCGUGCGAUAUCGCACGGGAACUCAUUUUAUAAAUUGAUAGUAAAGAUAUACACAUUAAAAAAUUAUGCAGAAUUUAAAUUAUUAUCUUGAACUUAUUUUAAUAAGAUUACAAAUAUGUCACGUUGUGGAAUUUAUACUUUUGUAUAAAACAUCUUAUUGUGCUAUCAAAAAAAGUUCAUGUGACAUUAAUGUAAAACUAAAAUAAGGAGAAAAUACAUAUCUUUUGAUUUUCCAUAAAAUUAAAAAAAUAUAUAAUAUAAGUAAAUUGAGAAAUAACCACAAACCAUAUCAAUAAAAGUAUUCAAAAUGAAAAGACACAUAGUUUCAUAUAUCAUAUAUUGUUUUACUGAAAAUAUUUGUCAAAUAACUUAUUAGUGACAAUAUUUUAUUUGUUUCAAUUAUUGUUAUACCAGCCAAAAUAGAACUAAUUAUAUAUUAAUUUACUUUUUAUAGUAACAAUAAACUCUUGACUAACAAAACUUUCACUAAAAUGACAGUAGGACAUUGUCUUCAGCCUCAUUGUCAAUUUUAUUUUCAUGUAUACUAUAUUUAAUAUCAAUUUUCUUUAAAAUAAAAUUAUCAUUUUAUGUAUUCAGAAUAACUAACAAGUUACAAUAGAUUUAACUAAUUCAGUUGGUUAUUUAAUAGAAUCUUUGAAAUAUAUUUGUUAACAUUAUAAAAGACUAUGUAUAUGAACCAUCAUAGGGAAUCAACUUUACUCAAUAUAUAUAUAUAUAUAUAUAUAUAAUAACUUUAAUGUUCUGUUUAUAUUUUAUUAGAAUAAAUAUUGUUUACAACUAUGCCUCCAUCUUUUUAAGUUUAUUCUUAUAGUUUUACAUGAUAUUUAGCUCCAACAACUUCUUGAACUACUUUCAAUUAUUUUCCGUGAUAUUUAAAUAAUUUUUCCUAUUUAAGAGACAAUAUUAGAAUUAUCAGUUUGUAGUAUAUUAAGAAAAUUUAUAUUUCUAUGUUGGUAAAAAUAGUUAUUAUUUUUAUAAAUUUAUUUACCUGCUCUAUUUUUGGGAAAAAUAUUAAGGAGAUUGGAUAUCAUAAUAAAUAUAUGUUGACUUAAGUUGAUAUGACAUUUCUCACUUAUAUUAUUUCCUUUAAUUUCCGGAAGAGUUCUUAUAAAACACCAGCACUUAUUAUAUUAAAACUAACAUAAUAAUUAUGGAUUUAAAUCAUGAUGACUUUUGUUGUAUCAAUAAAUAAUAUUUUUGAAGUCAAGGUUGUAUUGAGAUAUAAAUACUGUAGAACUCUAUCGGUUUCUCAAUCAAAUUUCCAAGCUUAGACUAAGAUAUAAGAAUAACAAAUAGAGCUAUGCAUGUUCAUAUGUAUUUGUUCAAAAAUCUUUGAAAAUAAUUUAACAGUGAAUCUCUAUCUUUUCUAAUCUAUAGAUUGUUGUCAUUUUUUUUGUGAUUUUUCUAUUCCCACAACAACUUAUAUAGAUGACUAAAGGUUACAAUGGUUGAUACCAAACAUUGCAAUGGUUAGAUAAUAGUUGCAAUAAUUAACAUCAGAAGUUACAAUGGAUUAUCACCAAAUACUACAAUCACUAACAUUGCAAUGAUUUAUUACCAAAGAUUGCAUUGGUUCUUCACUAAAAUUAUUGUCACCAACAGUUGCAGCGAUAUCUUUAGACAUUUUGAUAACUUUUUUUAACAAAUAAAAAAAUUUAGGAUGAAAAACACAUCCUUAUACAUUUUAACAACAUCUUUUAAACCAAUUUAAUUCCUAAAAUGAAAGUAACAUUUUUAAGAUGAAAGGAUCCAUACUUAUAUUUUUUACAAUAUUUUUUGAAGAACGCAAUUUUUAAUAUGAAAAGACACAUUGUUAAGAUCAAAAAUUAUAACCAUUGAUAUUUAUUUGGAGAAAAUAUACAUUUUUACACAUUUUGAUAAUUUUUUAACAAAUGAAAAUUUAGGAUGAAAAGACAUAUUUUAUACGUUUUAGGAACUUACUUUAAACCAAUGCAAUUCUUAAAAUGAAAUGACAUAUUAUUAAGAUGAAAAGUUACAUACUUAUAUAUGUGACAACAUUUUUUAAAGUAGUGUCAUUUUUAAGAUGAAAAGACACUUCGUUAGGAUGAAAAGUUACAACCUUUGACAUUUAUUUGGAGAAAAUAUAUAUUUUUAGACGUUUUGACAACUUUUAUUAAGAAAUACAGUUUUUUUUAGGAUUAAAAGAUACAUCUUUAUACAUUUUAACAAUUUCUUCAAAACAAAUGCAAUUCGACAAUGAAAAGACACAUUGUUAAGAUGAUAAUAUUUUUACUUAUAUAUUUGACAACAUUUUUUUAAAGCAAUGCCAUUUAAAUGAAAAAUAAUACUUUGUUAGGAUGAAAAAUUACAACAUUUAACAUUUAUUUUUUAACAAAUGCAAUUUGUAGGAUAAAAAGACACAUCCUUAUACAUUUUAACAACUUCUUUUAAACCAAUGCAAUUCUUAAAAAUGAAAAGACAUACUUUUAAGAUGAAAAGAUACAUACUUGUAUUUUUUUAGGACAUUUUUUAAUAAGAUAAAAAGACACUUUGAUAUAAUGAAAAGUUACAAUUUUUGACAUUUAUUUGGAUAAACCACAUCUUUAGACAUUUUGACAACUUUUUUUAAUAAAUGCAAUUUGUAUGAAACUUAUACUUAUACACUUUGACAAUUUCUCUUAACCCAAUGCAAUUUUAAAAAUAAAAUAAAAUGUACUAAUAUAUUUUAACGACACUUUUAAAACAAUGCUCUUUUUAAGAUGAAAUGACACAUAAUUACAAAGAGACACUUUUUGAGAUAUUUUAAUAAUUUUUUAAAAAAUUAUCUUAUAUAAUGAGAAGACACAAUUUUAAAACUAAUAUUUAUAGAAAAACACUUAUUAGGAUAUUUUAACAAAUUUUAAACUAAUAAUUUUACUUAUAGUCUAAGAAAUUCAACCUAUAAUAGUUUUGAUCUUGAGACUUCUAGUUUACAGAUGUGUAAACCAGUAAAUAGCCAUUUAAAUUUAAUUGAAUGCAAGACAAGAUUGAUAAAAGUCAACUACUUAUGUUCGCUAAAUAUCUUGGAAAAAGGUUCUAAAUUUAAAUUGUUAUUUUCCUAUAUAUACGUAACGACACAAGUGAUAAAAGAUGCUACUUUUGAUAAAUAAAUGGUCAUUAACGAAAUAUAGAUGCAAAUAACUAAAAAUAAAUAAAAAAUUUGUCAGAUUUGUUUGUUGUCAAAGAAAUUGUAAGAUGUGUUUUGCCUUUAGUUUUCGUUAAGAAUUGAAUAUAUUUAAAACUCUAGACUUUUACAUCAUAUUUGUUUGUCUCUAACCAACAAUUGAUAUGUUUCCGAGAAAUAAUAUAUAAAUAAAAAGAUCUUUUAAUGAGUUUUAUAAUCUCAGUAGUUCGCACAUCUCCAAACCAGGCAGUAGAAAACAAUGUAAAUUUGCAAUUCAUGAGUGGACAAUUAUAUUAUUUUGUGAACAAUUAUAUUGACAUGGGGGAUUCCUAAGUUUAAAAUGUGACACCUAUGCAGAUUUAAAUAUUCCAGUGGAAUUAAACCAUUCCCAUUAAAAAGAAAUUGAUGAUAAUUCCCACGAGAAUAACACUCUCCAAUUAAGAGACACAUUGUUUGAUUAACUCAUGACGGUCAUCACCAACCGGUUUUCCUCUAAUAGAUUUACUGAAUGACAGACAACCCAUUUUUUGUACAUCGUAAUUUGGAAAGCAUUAAUCUUAGACUCUGACAAAACGCAAGAACAACAACACAUAUAAAUUAGAUAUGUUGUAACAACUAUUAAAAAAAUUGAAUGAUGGAAAUCCUAAAUUUGUUUAAAGAAAAUGACGUUGAUAGUGGUUUUUGAAAAAAAAUAUAUGGGAUUAUGAUGAACAAUAACAAUGAAAACUCAUUGUAAACACGCUUUAGAGAGCAAAACAAAUAAAUCAAUUCUGAGAUUUUGGGUGGAAAGGUAAUUUAAGAGGAGAUGGAAAACGAUAACAGGAAUGAGUCUUUAAAAACACACACAUAUAUAUAGAUUGAUAAGGAAUGCUUCAUCUCAGAGUUGUAUUGUUUUGAGAUGGAGACUAUUCGGUGAAAAGAUGCAACACACCGCAGUUUUGUUUUUUUAUAUCAUUAAAUUCAAUCAAAUAUGACUGUUGGACUUAAAACUUUUUUCUUUUAAAAAGUGAUAAUAUCACCAGUUUUGGUAUGCUAUUAUAUAUAUAAUUUUUAAUAAUGAAAAGAUACAAUUUUAAAAAUUAAUAAUAUUCAGUUUGUUAUGAAAAUAUACAAUUUUUAUAAUGAACAUACACAAUUUUUCAAACUAAUACAUUUCAGUUUUUCUUAUGAAACAACACAACCAAAGUAGUUAUUUUGAAAAGACACAAUUAUUUAGAUUUUUAGAAAAUACACAACUUUUCAACAUAAAUGAGUUUCAUAACCUUUGGAAUUAAUCAGGAUUGCUAUUAUUAGUAGAUAAAAUACUUGAUUUUAUCAUAUAUAUAUAUAUAUAUUAAUUAACUUUUAGAAAUCCGACAUUUAUAUUGUUUUUGUUACACUAUUUGGUGUAUACAAAAUAUGUUUUAUAGAAUUUAAAAUUUAUUUUUAUAUAUAAUUUUACGAAAUAUUAUCAAAAUAUAUUGAAAUAUUAAGAAAAAAUAGAAAUGAACUUCAUUGUGAAUAUAAAACAAAUAAUACAAUGUUUAAUGUUUGUACUUUAGUGUGUUUAUUAAUUAUUGAAUUUUUUACUGCAUAUUGUUAUAAAUAUAUAUAUUUUAAGAACAUUUGACAAGACUAAACACAUUAUUAUUUCAAGACUCUGAUCUUAUAACGUGUGUUACUAUUUUCAGAAUUUGAUGUUGAUGAGGAACUAGAAGCCAUGGGUAAGGAAAUGGUGGCAUAUUGUGGAGGACUACCAUUAGCCGUUAAAGUGCUGGGAGGCUUGUUAUCUAAUAAAACCAUGGUUGAAGAGUGGAAAAGAGUAGAUGACAAUAUUCAAAGUCAGAUAGUUCGCAUAGAUGACAAAAGUCAAGAUUCUGUUUACCGAGUAUUGUCUAUGAGCUAUGAAGAUUUGCCAACGCAGUUAAAGCAUUGUUUCCUCUACCUAGCUCAUUUUCCCGAAGAUGACAAGAUACAAGUGGAGAGAUUGUAUUAUUAUUGGGAAGCAGAAGGAAUAAUAACGUCAAGUGGCGAUGGAGAAACCACUAGGAAAAUUGGAGAAGACUACAUAGAGGAGCUAGUAAGGAGAAAUAUGGUUAUUGGAGUAAAAGAGGAAUUGAGUUGCAGAUGGGAGUAUUGUCAAAUGCAUGACAUGAUGAGAGAAGUAUGUUUAUAUAAAGCCAAAGAAGAGAACUUUCUUCAGUUUAUCAAAGUCCAUACUUCUUCCACCUCUAACAUCAAUGCUCAUACUCCUACCAGAUCUCGCAGACUCGUAGUACACGGUGGUGGUAGUGCACUUGAUAUGCUGUUAUGUAAAAGCAAUCAAAAAGCUAGAUCUGUUUUGGGUUUUGGACUCGACAGCAACUUGUGGAAGCAGUCAGGUCAAGGACUCAGAAAUUUACUUUUACUUAGGGUCUUAGAUUUAAGUUUAGAAGAUAAAAGCGACUCUAGAGGAGGGAGAAUACCAUCCAGCAUUGGAAAGCUCAUUCAUUUGAGAUAUUUGAGCUUAGACAUGGGUAGUGCAACUGAUGUACCUUCUUCUUUACGGAAUCUAAAGCUUCUAAUCUAUUUGAGUAUUUACUCCAAUGAAAGAGUUCAUCUGCCAAGUAUCUUUAAAGAGAUGGUAGAGUUGAGGUUCCUGGCGCUUCCCCCUCUUAUUGACGCUAAAACAAAGUUGGAAUUGGGUAAUCUUGUGAACCUGGAGUGCUUGACCGGCUUCCGAUCAGAAAACGGUAGCAUCACAGACUUCCUCCGAAUGAAAAAGCUCAGGAAUCUCGAGAUACAUCUCAAAGGCAGGUAUACUUCUGAAAUUCUAGCGUCAUCUCUCUGUGAAUUAAGAAACCUGGAGGUGCUUAGCUUGAUCGAUGAGUACCGAUCCGGUGGGGCUUAUGAUGUGGAUUUCGUUUGGAAUUUCAUUAAGCUAAGGCAUUUAGGGCUGAGCAUACAUGUGACAAGGCUUCCUGAUCACUCUCGAUUUCCUCCCCACCUUGCACACAUAUCUCUAUGUUUCUGUGAAUUGGAGGAGGAUCCACUGCAGAUUCUGGAAAAGUUGCUUCAUUUAAAGUCGGUUGUAUUACAAUACAGAUCUUUCGUGGGGAGGAAGAUGGUGUGUUCAAAAGGUGGAUUCCCUCAAUUAUGUAAGCUAGACAUAGUGUCCCUAUACGACUUGGAAGAGUGGGUAAUCGAAGAAGGGUCGAUGCCAUGUCUUCGUACCUUGGAAAUAUGGUAUUGUGAAAAGUUGAAGGAGCUACCGGAAGGGCUCAAGUAUAUCACUUCUUUAAAGGAACUGGAUAUCGCACAUAAGAACAAGGAGUGGAAGACGAAACUCGUACCAGGUGGGGAAAGUUACCACAAAGUCCAACACAUUCCUAGUGUUCAAUUACACUAUCAUAGCGACGACUCUGAUAUUGACGAAUAAGGAGAAUACAACCGUCUCAGGUAUAAUAUUCUUUUUGGUAUAAUGUCAAUAUUGUUCAUUUUGUUUGUUAUGUAUCCUCCUUGAAGUUUAGUGUGAAAGUCUAAACAGCUGUUAUUCGGUUUUCAGGUGAACCUACUCAGGAUCAGUACCCACCACUAUCGAUUGUGUGAUGUGAUAAUAAGUCGUUUUUGUUGUAUUGGUGUAUGAAGUUUACAUAUCUUGUUUGUGAUAUAUUCCGUUUAUCUGUUUGCAUGCUCAUUCACUGUAAUACUAAGUUUGAAAUACAUUAUUUGUAUGUUGAACCAUAUCUUCUUCGAUGUCUCCGUUGUGUGUGCUUCGUUGAUUUGUUUAGUCCGAACUGGAGAUAGAAUGGUGCUUUGAUAGUGUGAUCACUGAACAUCAUUCUUAACACGAUUUUAUCAUUUGGUUUAACGAAGGUCAAGAUAUUGAGGGAACCCUGAGUUUUCCAAAAAUUUUAAGUAACAAGAGAAACCGGUUAAUUCCAAUCCAGUUCUGUAAUUUGUCUGUCACUACCAAACCGGACCAUAUUGAUGGUUUAAAAACAAAGCUCGGUCUGGAUUAUAAUAUCAAAGAUUAAACAAAGAGUCCUUUCGAUCUCUGCAAAUUUGUUUUGACUCUGAAGAGGAGAAGAAGUGUACUUUCAAUCGCCAAGCGUAUGCAUAACUGGGUUAGAGCUUCCUCAUCCGAUUUCACCGGAACUCCUCCACAGCCCAGGAGGUAAAUUAAUUACUUCUUCUCCAUUCAAUUUUCGAUUUUAAUUUCAGCUGAUGUUUUUUAUUCUUCAUCAGUGGACAUACAGCUGUCAAUGUCGGAAAAUCCAUGGUCGUGGUGUUCGGCGGCCUCGUCGACAAGAAGUUCCUCAACGACAUCAUUGUUUAUGACAUUGGUAAUAUCAUACUUUAGCCUUAGGAUUAUUGUUUCCUUGCUUCAAGAAAGAUGCUUUCUUUCUCACGAGUUACGUUCUUGGCUUGCUCUGUUUGUAAUGACUAUUGUCUCUAGUAGUUUAUUUGAUAGAACGAUGCUUACAUCAAAGAUAGUUACUUUGCAACAAAAAAAAAAAACUAUAGAAAGCUGAAAACUUCAAGAUGAGAUUAUUCGAUUCGGUGUUGUUGAAGAGGAAUCAGAUGGAUACUCUCUUUUCUUAUUUUGCUAGUUUUUGUUUCUGAGCUUCUUUUGUCCCCUCCUUGGCCUUGUUUUAAGUAUCAUACUAGAUCUUGACCCGCACACCCGUGCGGAUGUAUUUAAAAAAAAAAAUAUGAUAUAUGAUGUUAUUUGCUUUUUAUGUCACUAUUUAGGGUUGGGCAAAAACUCAAAUUCGAAAAAUCAAACCGAUCCGAUCCCAAUCCAAAUAAGUAGUACUAAAUCCGAACCAGAAUUGAUUAAAUAUCCGAAUUAUUCAAAAUUUUGGUAUUUGAAGAAUUGAAACCUAAUCCGAUCUGAACCGAAUUAUUUUUAAUAUAUAUAAAAACGUCCAUAAUAUAUAUACAACUAAUUAAACGUAAAUAUCUUAAAUAAUUAAAAAAUACUCAAAUCUCCAAAAAUACUUAAAUAAUUAUUAAUUCUCUAUCCAAAUAUUUAAACCAAACCUAUUUAAAUUGGUUAUCCAAAUCAGAACCAAAUCCUCAAAGAUCUGAACUGAACACGAAAUCCCAAAAAGACCCGAAAACGAACCCGAACGCCCACCCAUAAUCACUAUUAUAUAUAUAUAUGUUAUCAUAGGUUACAAAAUAUGUGUUAUCAUAUAAUUAAUCGUAUUUUAUACGUACCAUCAAAUAAGUUUUCUUAUAAUUAAUAAUAUUUUAUACGUACAAUCAUAUAAAUAAUCACAUAUAUUAUAUUUUAAAAUUUAAUGUGAAAUAUAAAAACCAUAAUUUAAGUUGGUGUUUGAAAUUGGGCUUUGUAUUGUAUUAUUAUUAAAUAUAUUGAAAACAUUUUUAUAAUAGUUACUGGAAAAUAUGUUAGUAAAAAUCAAAUUUUGAAUAUAUGUAUAUUUUUGAAUGAAUUUUUGAUAUAAAUCAAUUUUAAGUUAUUACUUUGAUUUGAACAUAUAUAUCAAGUAACAUAUACCUAUUAGUUUUUAAUAUAAUGUAAUGGACUUUCAAUUUUUUUAAGUAGCAUAAGCCCAUUAUCUUUUUUUCUAACUUACUAUUAUCCAUGUUUUCAAUUUUAACUACUAUCCACAUUACCAAACAAUCCCAUUUUGUACUUGAGUUUUAAUAAGAUAGAUGUUCAGCUUUUUUAAUCAUGUGAUAAUUGGUGGUCUUAUGAUUUGCUUCUUCUUUAAUCCUGUCGACUAGAAAACAAACUCUGGUUUGAGCCAGAAUGUACUGGCAGCGUAUCUGAAGGAAAAGUUGGUCCUACACCUCGCGCCUUUCAUUUUGCCAUCACUAUUGAUUGUCAUAUGUUCAUCUUUGGUGGACGUUCUGGUGGCAAGAGGUACGCACUACUAUUUAUUUGCUAGCUGUAAGCGUUUUUACAUUCUAAAUAGCUUAUUUCUAUAAAUCAAUUUCAGGUUGGGUGACUUCUGGGUUCUAGAUACUGGUAAGUGUGCUUCGGAGUUUUUAUUUCUCUGCUUUGGCACUUCUAUGAGACACCUAUUAAUGACAUUUUCUGCAGAUAUAUGGCAGUGGUCUGAGCUAACCAGCUUUGGCGACUUACCUACGCCUCGUGAUUUUUCUGCUGCCGCUGCUAUUGGCAACCAGAAAAUUGUGUUGUGAGUAUCAUAAAUUUUAGACGUUCCAUCAGCUUGUUGCCUGCAUUGGCUUAACCUAUGACCAUUGGCAGGUGUGGCGGCUGGGAUGGUAAAAAAUGGCUGUCAGAUGUGUAUGUUAUGGACACAAGUAAAACACUUUAUACCUCUCGUCUACUUCAGUUUUGUGAUAAAACUUGUUUUAAGUUUAUGAUAAUGUCAGCUUUUCUUGGUAUUUGCUAGUGUCUCUUGAAUGGAUGGAGCUGUCAGUUUCGGGGUCGUUGCCGCCUCCUAGAUGUGGUCAUACAGCCACCAUGGUUGAGAAGCGUUUACUUGUUUUUGGUGGCCGAGGUAAUACCAAAAUUAAAAAAAAACUGUAGAUUCUUGAUGUUGACUUAUCGCCAUUCCUUUAAUAAGUUAAGGUGUUUGCAUACUAAACCAAUCACCACAACUGAGGAGUGUUCUUGGCGGACUCGCAUUAUGGAUAAAAUUCAAAACUGAAUGAUUUAUUUGCUAUUUUACUUUUUUCAUUCAUCAAACAUGUUAAGGAUGCUGAUGUGUUUGGUUUACCCGUUGCUGUUAAUUAAUAACUUUCAUUUAUUAACGAAGUUUCCUGACCGGGUGUACUGAUGGUAUAUGUUCACAAGAAGUUUUGCUUGAGCUGAUAACAAGUAAACUGAGACUAUGGUGUGUGAUAUGGUUAUCUUUGACAGGAGGUGGUGGCCCUAUCAUGGGUGAUCUGUGGGCUUUGAAGGGUCUAAUAGAUGAAGGUGCAUCCUUGAUUAAAUUACUUCAAAACUGCAUUGGAUCUUAUUCUGGGUUUACCUUUGUUGUGCAAGAAAGAGCGUGAAACACCUGGAUGGACACAACUCAAGCUUCCUGGCCAAGCACCAUCGUCUCGAUGUGGUCAUACGGUUACAUCCGGAGGACAUUACGUAAGUCUUUUCCAGCUCAUGUUUGCUCUUUUGUAUAUGAAUGGCUUCGCGGGACAUACAUCACUCACAUCAUUAAUUUCCAUGUAUGAAGCUUCUGUUAUUUGGGGGACAUGGAACUGGUGGAUGGCUGAGUCGAUAUGAUGUCUAUUAUAAUGACACUAUAAUUUUAGAUAGAGGUACAUUCUUGCUCACUCGUCUCAUUAGCUUCGUCUCCUCUGCUAAAGGAUCACUGGAAAUCUAAAAUCCACCUAAUCGAAGUAUAAUCUAGUGAGAUGAGAAAAUUGUGAUGUAAUUCAUCAGUUUUAUUGCUGUGCAUUGUCUUGUACGCGCUGUUGCUAAAUUUAUGCGUUGUUGCUAGUAACUGCACAGUGGAAGCGCUUACCAGUAAGCAAUGAUGAGCCUCCUCCUCGGUGUGAAGUUUCAGUUCUACGAAGGCUCUGGUCUUGGUGGUGUUGUCAGGCUGCGGUGGAGGGCUUAGCGUUUCUCUUCGGUGUCGAGGAGGUCUCUCUCCCUCUCUCUUCUGUCGUGUGAGCUCUGGAGGUUUCCGCUUCCUCGGAGAUGAGUCGUGGGUUGAGGUAUGCAGUAGGAGAUGGUGCCUCAGUCUAGUUCCGAUUUCCAAGGGUUCUGUGGGUUGCUUGGAAGGAGUCUUCUAUGGUUUUAUUCACGGCAUCUCAACGUCUCUCAUCACUGGAGAUCUUCCCUGCUUGGUUCUCGUUCUGAUUCUUCUGGUGAAUGGCGACGGUCCUCUUCAUCAAAUGCUUGUCCUUGUUCUUCAUGUUUCUUGCUUUCUGUUUGACACCGGAAUGUGACACAGGGAGUCACAGGAAAUUGCUCUCGGUUCUCGAUAGCAGCAAGCGUCGAUUUGUUUUGAGCGUGUGCUCUUUGCCUAUUGGUGUCAAUGCUUGGCCAAUUAGCAAGCGUCGAUUUGGUUUGUUCUUCUGUGGCAGUGUGAGCUGGCUAUAUUUCUGUGCAGGUUCGGAUACUGUAUCAGACGAAAUGUGGUGGCGUUUGCAAGCCCGCCUUUUGGAUCCUAAUUGGUGAUGGAGGGGAGUGUACAGUCCGAGUUCUUGGCGUCGUCACUCAGGUGAAAUGUCCGAAACUCCCUCUGUUUCCAUCGUCAAACGCUUCAUAGACAGUGACAGUUAUAAGCUGGAGUUCAUCGGGAACCAGCUACUCCGUGGACAAAAUGGAAAGUCCCAGCGCAUCCGAAGCAAUAAGGACCGAGACAAUAAGGAAAACCUCACCUUCUCGUGAUCUUCGUCGAUGGUUGAUGUUUGAGAAUGGUAACCAUUCCAAAGAAUUCCAAAAAACGAAUCAACGGAAUGUAUCAUGUUUAGUGGACGGAAAAAGCUAAUUUUGUAAUAGUUUGAGUUUGAAAAUUUUGUACAAAACAGACUUGUAACCAGAUCUGAAUUUCCGAUCCUCAGGUCAAAUUAAUAUAUAUUUUAAAAAAGUCUUUAGUAUUGCAAGACGAAGUAUUCAAGGUGUAUAGGUCAUAGAUUGUAGACGAAAUAUUUAUUUAAAUUUUUUAUAUAUCUUACUUAUGGAGGAAACAUCUUAGUUUGGUAGAAUUUUUCCAUUUUAUUGGAGUCAAGCGGAAAACUUGAUCCAAAGACCAUAAAUCGUUUAAGCAGGAAAAGAAGGAUCUACCUCCUAAGCAAGUUGCAGAUCUGUUACGUGAAAGGUAAAUCACGUUCUUAUAUCAUUAUUUUUCUGUUUAACUUGCUUUGAUCUGUCUUUUAGGCUCUGUUGUGGUUGAAUCUGAUUUACAAACAAAAAUUCGUUGGAUUAUUACAAAUCUUGUUUUACGAAUUAAAAGCAUUUACUCUAAUCUUGUUAUAAAGUGUCUGAAUAAUAAGCUAAGUAAAGUUCCUCUGACAGGUAUCAUGUUUUAUUAUAGAUCAACCAAGGAUUAUCAAAAACGGUUUUAAAUCUUACUACAAGUUUGUACUUAUGUGUUGUGUUGAUGGUGGAACAGGAGAAUAGUGAUGGCUGAGGGAGUUGUGUCGUUUGGAGUGGAGAAACUCUGGGAUCUCCUGAGUCGAGAAUCUGAGCGAUUGCAGGGAGUUCAAGUGCAAGUUGAUGAUCUAAAAUGUCAGAUGAGUACGUUACAGUCGUUGUUGGAAGAUGCAGAUGGUAAGAGAUAUGAGAGUAAAGUAGUGAGAAGCUUCUUGGAAGAUGUCAAAGACAUUGUAUUUGAUGCUGAAGAUAUAAUCGAAUCCUUUCUUUUGAAAGAACUCAGUGGAAACCAAAAAGGGAUCAUGAGGCGUGUGAAAAGACUUUCUUGUUUCUUAGUGGAUCGCCGAGGUCUUUCUAUGGACAUUGAAGGCAUAACUAAGAGAAUGGCCAAGGUUGUUGCGCAAAUGCAUAGCUUUGGAAUACAACAGAUCAUCUACAGAUCACCGUCUCUACAAGAGAGACAAAGGGAGAUCCGACAAACAUAUCCAAAGAGAUCUCAAAAGGAUCUUGUGGGGGUGGAACAGAGUGUUAAGGAACUGGUUGGUCAGUUGGUGGAGAAUGAUAACAUCCAAGUAGUUUCCAUUUCUGGGAUGGGUGGUAUUGGAAAAACCACUCUUGCGAGACAAGUCUUUCAUCAUGACAUUGUUCGAAGUCAUUUUGAUGGAUUCGCAUGGAUCUGCGUUUCGCAAGAUUUUAAGCAGAAGGAUAUUUGGCAAAAGUUAUUGCAAGACCUUAGACCACAUGAUAAGGGCAUCGAACAUAUGAAUGAGAAUACACUCCAGGCUGAGCUCUUUCUCUUGUUGGAAACAUCUAGAUAUUUAAUUGUCAUGGAUGAUGUAUGGAAAAACGAAGACUGGGAUAUAAUAAAACACGUUUUCCCCCAAGAAAGAAGAGGUGAGCUCUCUAAUUGUACAUACAUUACUUAAGUUCUCCCCAUAGCCAUUUCUUAAAUGCCUUUGAGUCUCUGAUAUGAAACUAAAUACAAUUGCAGCUUGGAAGAUGAUUCUUACUUCACGCAAUGAAGGUGUUGGUUUGCAUGCAGACCCAACAUGUUUUCCCUUUAGACCAAAAAUCUUUACUCCUGAAGAAAGCUGGAAGCUAUGUGAGAGCAUAGCAUUCCCUAGAAGAGAGAUAACAGGUACGUUUUUAUAUAAGAAUCACAUGAAUCCUUAAGGCCAGAAAGCAUGAUAUCUCUUACUGGUUUUCUUUAUAAAAAAUGGUGUAGUAAUUCCUAAAUAUCCUCUGAGAUGGCAUAUAUUGUUGUAUAUGUAUUUUUUUUUUUUUGAACAUUUGAAAAGACUAGACACCAUAGGGGUGGGAAAAAGCUGACCCAUCCGUACCCAAGCCAAACCAAAAUCUAUGUUUAAAAAAAAGGUGUUUUUAAUUAGAUUAAUUAAAUAUACUAGUAAUAUUAAAAUCUAAUAUAUUUAUCCAUUUAACCUAAACAACUAAAUAUAAUUUAUACAUUUUACUUCUAAAUGAAUAGAAUAAACAUAACUAAAAAUAAAAUAAAAGAAUUUUAUUUUCAUACAUUAACAUUAAAACCGAAAAAUUACCUAUAUUACUUAUAGUAGGUUUAAAGAUAAUAACAUAAAAUUAUUUGGAAACAGAAUAUGAUGUUGAUGAAGAACUAGAAGCCAUGGGUAAGAAAAUGGUCAUGUAUUGUGGAGGACUACCAUUAGCCGUUAAAGUGCUAGGAGGCUUGUUAGCUAAUAAAUAUAUGGUUGAAGAUUGGAAAAGAAUAAAUGAGAAUAUUCAAACUCAGAUAGUUCGCUUAGAUGACAACAAUCAAGAUUCGGUUUACCGAGUAUUGUCUAUGAGCUAUGAAGAUUUGCCAAUGCAGUUAAAGCAUUGCUUCCUCUACCUAGCGCAUUUUCCCGAAGAUUACAAGAUACAAGUUGGGAAAUUGUGUAAUCUCUGGGAAGCAGAAGGAACAAUAACAUCAAGUUGCGAUGGAGCAACCACUAGGAAAAUUGGAGAAGAAUAUAUAGACGAGCUAGUAAGGAGAAAUAUGGUUAUGGCAGUAAAACAGGAUUUGAGUUGCACUUGGGAGUAUUGUCAAAUGCAUGACAUGAUGAGAGAAGUUUGCUUAUAUAAAGCUAAAGAAGAGAACUUUCUUAAGUUUAUCAAAGUCCCUAAUUCUUCCACCUCCACCAUCAAUGCUCAUACUCCUACUAGAUUUCGCAGACUCGUAGUACAUGGUGGUAAUGCCCUUGAUCUGCUGGGACGUAAAAGCAAUCAAAAAGCUAGAUCUGUUUUGGGGUUUGGACUCGACAGCAACUUGUGGAAGCAGUCAGCUCAAGGACUCCGAAAUUUACAAUUACUUAGGGUCCUAGAUCUGACUCUGAGUUUAAAACUACAUGGUAGAAGCAACUCUAGAGGAGGGAGAAUACCUUCCAGCAUAGGAAAGCUCAUUCAUUUGAGAUAUUUGAGCUUAUACAUGGGUUGUGCAACUCAUGUACCUUCUUCUUUUAGGAAUCUAAAGCUUCUAAUCUAUUUGAAAAUUUGCUCUGGGGCAACAGUUUAUCUGCCAAGUAUCUUUAAAGAGAUGGUAGAGUUGAGGUUCCUAUUUCUCCCCUCUUCUUUUGAGGCUAAAACAAAGUUGGAAUUGGGUAAUCUUGUGAACCUGGAGUACCUGACCUGCUUCCGAGCAGAAUACGGUAGCAUCACAGACUUCCUCCGAAUGACUAGGCUCAGGACUCUCUAUGUAUUUCUCAAAGGCAGGUAUACUUCUGAAAUUCUAGUGUCAUCUCUAUGUGAAUUAAGAAACCUGGAGACGCUUAUAUUGAUCGAUGUGAACGAACCCGAUGAGGCUUAUUAUGAUGUGGAUUUCGUUUGGAAUUUCAUUCAUCUAAGGCAUUUAGAGCUGGCCAUACAUAUGCCAAGGCUUCCCAAUCACUCUCGAUUUCCUCCCCACCUUGCACACAUAUCUUUACGUUACUGUAACAUGGAGGAUGAUCCACUGCAGAUUCUGGAAAAAUUGCUUCAUUUAAAGUCGGUUAAGUUAACAGAUUUUUCUUUCGUGGGGAGGAAGAUGGUGUGUUCAAAAGGUGGAUUCCCUCAAUUAUGUAAGCUAGAAAUAUGGGACCUAAACGAAUUGGAAGAGUGGAUAGUCGAAGAAGGGUCGAUGCCAUGUCUUCGUACCUUGUCUAUUCGGUAUUGUAAAAAGUUGAAGGAGCUACCGGAAGGGCUCAAGCAUAUAACUUCUUUAAAGGAACUGUAUAUCAGACAUAAGAACAAGGAGUGGAAGACAAAACUCGUACCAGGUGGGGAAAGUUACCACAAAGUCCAACACAUUCCUAGUGUUCAAUUACACUAUGAUAGCGACGAAUAAGGAGAAUAAAACGGUCUCAGGUAUGUCUUUUUGGUAUAAUGUCAAUAUUGUUCUUCUUGAAGUUUUGUGUGUAAGUCUCAACUAUCUAACCUUUUUAUUAUUCGGUUUUCAGGUGAACCUACUCAGGAUCAGUACCCACCACUACCGAUUGUGUGAUAUGAUAAUAAGUCGUUUUUGUUGUAUGAAGUUUACAUAUCUUGUUUGUGAUAUAUUCCGUAUAUCUAUUUGCAUGCUCAUUCACUGUAAUGCUAAGUUUGAAAUACAUUAUUUGUAUGUUGAACCAUAUCUUAUUCGAUGUUCUCCGUUGUGUGUGCUUAGUUGACUUGUAUAGUUACCGAACCGAACCUGAGUUUUCCAAAUUUGUCUUUUACUACUAAACCGGACAAAUUGAUGGUUUAAAAACAAAACUCGGUCUGGAUUAUAAUAAAAUCAGAUGAUGAGACUCUACCAAACAAGAGAGUCCUUUCGAUCUCUGCAAAUUUGUUUUUGACUCCAAUUAAGAGGAGGAGAAGUCUAUUAGUUGAAGCGAAUACAAAACGCGGUGAUCCGUGCGUUUCAGACAUCAAUCGCCAAACGUAUGCAUAACUGGGUUAGAGCUUCCUCUUCCGAUUUCACGGGAACUCCUCCACAGCCUAGGAGGUAAAUUAAUUACUUCUUCUCCAUUCAAUUUUCGAUUUUAAUUUUAGCUGAUGAUUUUUUUAUUGUUCAUCAGUGGACAUACAGCUGUCAAUGUCGGAAAAUCCAUGGUCGUUGUGUUCGGCGGUCUCGUCGACAAGAAGUUCCUCAACGACAUCAUUGUCUAUGACAUUGGUAAUAAUCAUCAAUUAUAUUCAGCCUAGGAUUAUUGAUUCCUUGAUCCAAAGAAGAUGCUUUUUUUUUUAUUAGUUACUACUGUCUUGGCUUGUUCUUCUUGUAAUGACUAGUGUUUGCUUCUUCUUUAAUUCUGUGGACUAGAGAACAAACUCUGGUUUGAGCCAGAAUGUACUGGCAGCGUGUCUGAAGGAAAAGUUGGUCCUACACCUCGCGCCUUUCAUGUUGCCAUCACUAUUGAUUGCCAUAUGUUCAUCUUUGGUGGACGUUCUGGUGGCAAGAGGUACGCACUUCUAUAUAUUUUCUAGUUAUAAGCGUUUUUACAUUCUAAAUAGCUCAUUUCUGUAAAUCAAUUUCAGGUUGGGUGACUUCUGGGUUCUAGAUACUGGUAAGUGUUCAAGUUAUAACAAUGUCAUUGAGACCUGCAUAGGGAACUUUUUAAUACUCUGCUGCCAACGUUUUCUGCAGAUAUAUGGCAGUGGUCUGAGCUAACCAGCUUUGGCGACUUACCUACGCCUCGUGAUUUUUCUGCCGCCGCUGCUAUUGGGAACCAGAAAAUUGUGUUGUGAGUAUUCAGAAAUUUUAGACGUUCAUCAGCUUGUUGCCUGCAUUGGCGUAACCUAUGAUCAUUGGCAGGUGUGGCGGCUGGGAUGGUAAAAAAUGGCUGUCAGAUGUGUAUGUUAUGGACACAAGUAAGUUUCUGAUAAUGUCAGCUUUCUUGGUGUCUGUUAGUGUCUCUUGAAUGGAUGGAGCUGUCGGUUUCGGGGUCGUUGCCGCCUCCUAGAUGUGGCCAUACAGCCACCAUGGUUGAGAAACGUUUACUUGUUUUUGGUGGCCGAGGUAUAUAACACCAGAACCAGAAUCUUUGUUCUGCUUGAGCUGAUGACAACUAAACUGAGACUAUGGUUAUCUUUGACAGGAGGUGGUGGCCCUAUCAUGGGUGAUCUGUGGGCUUUGAAGGGUCUAAUAGAUGAAGGUUCAUCCUUACUUACAUUUCUUGAAAAUUGCAUUGAAUUAUGUAGAGGAGUAUUCUCUUGAGUUGUCUUUCUUUCUUUUGUUCUGUUUGCUGAUCUUAUUGUGGUUUACCUUUGUUGUGGAAGAAAGAGCGUGAAACACCUGGAUGGACCCAACUAAAACUUCCUGGCCAAGCACCAUCAGCUCGAUGUGGUCACACUGUCACAUCCGGAGGACAUUAUGUAUGUCUAUUUCAGCUUCCGUUUGCUCUUUUGUAUAAAUAGGUUCGCAUGACAUACAUCACUCACAUCAUUAAUUUUCAUGUAUGAAGCUUCUGUUAUUUGGGGGACAUGGAACUGGUGGAUGGCUGAGUCGUUAUGAUGUCUAUUAUAAUGACACUAUAAUUUUAGACAGAGGUAAAUUCUUGCUUAUGAGAUUCGUCACUCUAAAUCCAAAAAUCCACCUCAGUAAUUUACAAUCUAGUGAGAUGAUAAAAUUGUGAUGUGCUUUAUCAUUUUUCUUGCUGAGCAUUGUUUUCUACGCGUUGUUGCUAAAUUUAUAUUUUCACAUACUAGUAACUGCGCAGUGGAAGCGCUUACCGAUAAGCAAUGAUGAGCCUCCUCCUCCUCGAGCUUACCAUACAAUGACUAGUAUUGUUGCUCGUCAUCUUUUAAUUGGUGGUUUUGAUGGAAAAUCAACCUUCGGUGAUCUUUGGUGGUUGGUUCCUGAAGGUAUCUUUCUCUUAUUUAUACUGAUGUUUUAGUCCAACUUAGCUAUCAUUCUGUGUACACGCAUCAUCAGUUACUUAUAGUUGGAAACUCUUUAGACGAACUAAUCUUGGUGUUGGUCGCAGAUUGUAGGCAAUUUUAGAGACACUUAAUUUCUAGCAUAAUCUUUUUUUUCUUCUUUAUCAAGUUUGUAUUGAAAGUUUUGAAGUUUUACUGAACUGUUUAGCCUUCUGAAAAUGUUGUUAUUCGUUUUUUUCUUUUUCUCUUUUCUCAGAUGAUCCGAUAGCCAAGAGGUCUUCUGUACCUCAACUUAGAAACCCUCCUGAGACUAAAGAGUCAGAGAGAGAUUUGGAUACGGUAACUGUGGUUACUGCUCAUCAUCUUAUGUGUUUCUCGCCAAUGCAGUUAAAUUAGCUUUUCAACGUGUUUUAACACCAAGAGUUUGGUCACAGCAGGAAAGAGGACAAGAGGGAUUCACUAUCGUCGACUUGCAAAAGAAAAUGGGAAUCUCUGUUUCUUCAGGGUUACGCCUUCAAAUACCCGAGGAGUUAGAAGAUCAAGAGUUCGUUGAGUUAGGAACCAGAUUGAUUGAGGGAGAUGCAGUUGAUAAUGGAGCCUCCAUGAUUCAGGUGAGUUUUUCCUCUUGUCUAUUUUAGAAUGUGUGAUUGUGUUAUUCUUGUACUGAAAAUGCUUCUCAAUGAAAAGAUGGCAGCUGAAGCACUUCGUCAACAUUGGAAAGAGUCCACUCCAGAGACUUUGCAAUUAAAGGAGCUUGGUUCCUUGCUUCGAGAUUAUCAGCGACUGGUUACCCGAAAAUACACGUGAGUUCUUAUCCAUGCCUAACUAUUUCAGACUCAGUUCUUGUUUAUGUAGAUUAUCUUUUGUUUCACUAAAAAUGGUUGUUCUUUGAUUGCGCUUGGAAUCACCACAUGGCAUUAGAAUAACUUAGAUAAAUCUCCUGAGAGUUUAGGAGUCAUAUAGAGUUAAUAUGAAUAUAUCAUUUUUGUGUCUUGAAUAGCCCUCGAGACUUUUUAAUCCGAGCAUAUUGUCAAAACUGAUAAUGUUGUGAAUGCAUUGUUUUGUGCCCCUACUAUUACAUGUUAUGAAAUCUCACAUCUGCUUCUUCCUUUCCUUGACACAUGUUUCUUUUCAUUUGUUGUGGCGGGUUUCUAUCAGAUCACAGAGCAGCUUAACAUCUGCUGAUUUUGGAAAGAAGACGUUUACGUUUUAUCAUAUCAAAAAUUCUUCCGAGGUAUUACUCUGCAUACUUUCCUCCCUCGCCUGAAUAUUUGACACCAAUCAAUCAAAACAUCAGGCUUUCCUCCUGACAUGUCAAGUUUACAUUUUGCUAUUCUCAGUUGCGGAUGGAUGACAUUGCGGAGUUGCUGGAAGAAUACAAAACCCUUGUAAUCUGAUUGAGGAGCUCUGCCAUGAAACUCACAAGGAGAAUACAAAACUCAUCAAGUAGCUGCCAAGAAGAUCACCAAGAUUGCUAUCAGCAUUACCAUUGCAAACCACAAAGCUAAAAAGUCUCAAGAGAAUCACAUCUCUGAUAGACAACUAUGUGCAACUUCUUUUUAGCAAGAACAAAAAGAUACAACGUAUAUGUAAGACUUCCAUUAUCUCAACUUAAAUCCAUAUCUAAGCCUCUGCUCUUUUAUUUCUUGUUUGGGCUUUGAAAAUAGAUUGCUUUGCCUUGAAGCCAAUGCGAAAGUAAGGAAAAAAGUAGGCAAACUUCAUCUAUUAGACUUUGAAAUGGAUUACAACAACAACGGUACUCUUGAUAACUUAAACCACAGAGUUUCUGUCUGCAUAGACCCGUAUUGUCUUUUCUCUAUCCCCUAAAACAACUCGAACUCAAGAUGAUCUCCCAUGGCUUUACAUUCAAGAUAUCCAUUACCAUUUCCUUUAGGAGAAGUUGCUUCCGUUGCACCAUUCUCAUAUACAUCCGGCAGCUCAGGCGGAAUGGCGCAGCGGAUGAGAGCCCAGUUCAAUCCUUCAAAGAAUGGAUGCCUCUUGAUCUCUGCAGCUCCUUUCUCCCACCCGAGACGGCUCCCCGGAUCCUUCAUCACCAACCUUCUGAUCAAAUCCUUUGCCUGGAAGCUCACAAGAGGGCUAUCAGGAAACUUGAGGUUCUGAAACACAAACGUCUCCUCAUUGUCAUAACCUUUGAACGGUGUCUUCCCGUAUAAAAGCUCAUAGAGAAGAACCCCAAACGUCCACCAGUCUACUGCAGCACCGUGCCCUUCUCCUUUAAUGAUCUCCGGCGCCAAGUACUCGUGCGUUCCUACAAAAGAGUUUGAUCUUGCUUCAGUUGGUUCAGCCACAAGCUGAGGCAAUGAUCUGAACUGUUGGGUCAGAAGAUCAGGCCUUCUCUGUUUUCUUGGUUUUGAGUUUCUAGCUUGCGUUGACAAGAGCCUAGGGCUGAAACAUGGGACACAGCACGAUGGACUCUAUCUAAAUCACAGGUUCUUCAUCUUCUUUGGAAGCUGAGGAGCUUGAUACAAUAAGUGAAGACGAAGACAAACAGCAGUAUCCAGGCGAUGUGCACUGCAGCUACAGCUGGUAAGAAGUCAUGUUCGAACCCGGAUCCAUCUUUGAGCAACUGUUUUAGUUCCGUGUCUAGGAGACCAGUGUUCUGUACUAUCGAAUCUUGGUCUCCUACUUGAGAUGUGAUGCUUCCAUACAAUGUCCAGCCACUGGCGUUGCCUAGUAAUUAAUAUCAUCUCCACCAUAUCAAUAUUUGCUGCAUCCCCUCCUCCAUAAGAAACAUAAAACAUAAAAGUUAGGUAGCUCUAAAACACUUCUGAUCAUAACAAAAAGUAAGAUCUAUAACACACUUGAUGAUUACGUAACUUGGUUCGUAAUUUUUACCAAUCUUUGGGAUGAGGAACUGGAGAAAAGAUUCCAAAUAGACCGAGGAAGAAAGACAUGCAGAUUCCGGAGAUUUGAUAGUUUGGUGUCAAGGCCACAAAGCAUCAAGCUUGGUAACAUGUCGUAGUAGUAGAAGUAGAACCAGAAGAACUUGACCACAGUACGGUCGUAUCCUAUCAUUGAGUAAAGGAUUAUAGUAUGUAAACUCUAGUUUGUAUGGUGUCAUACUACAUGAUCUAACAACUUUGUCUAUAUUACCAACUAGUGGUAUGCCCGCGCUACGCGCGGGGCGGUUGUCUUGUGUUGUAAUAUUUAUUUUAAAUGUAUUGUCAUCUUUUGUUUGAUUAUAGGUAAAUGAAAAAUUAAUGUAAUAAAAAUUGGUUUGAUUAUAUUAUCAUUAACUCAAAAAAUAAAAAUUAAUUUUUAGUUAUACUUGAGAUCAUGAAGCAUUAUUUUGAUCAACUGAUGAUAAUAGAUAUAAGUUUUAACUGUCAAAGAUAAAUUGUAGAGUACAAUGUGCAUAGUAUAAUAUAGGCUUGACAUUUUAUGUAUAAAUUUAGAUAUCUAUUAGUUUUUUUGUUUGAAAUAAGUAUUUUUUUAAAAUUGUUCUUAUUUGAUUAUAUUUGGGAAAGAAAUGCUGAGAAAGAAAAUUAUUUUGUAAAGAGGGAAUUUUUUUUGUUGUUGAAAUUAAUACAAAGGAGAAAACAGUACAGAAAUGAAACUGGAAAUUAGAAUAUAAUAAACCCCCUUAUUAGUAGUAAUUAAGCUGAAAUCAUAGAUUACUUUCCCUACGUAUGGGACAUUUUUUGUUCGUGCGAAGCCAUCGAUAAAUGUAAGGAAAAUAGAAAUUAUGGUUGCAAGUAAGAGAGUAAAUAUUGUUUUCAUAGUUGAAAUUCCUAAAGCACAUAGUGCAUUCUUCAAUAGUUGGAAGCCUAUUAAUUUCCUCUAAAUCGACGUUAAGUUUUGCAUCGCGUUUUGGUUGUAGCCCUUGAUAGUAAGAGUAAAUUGAAGAUCAUCAGUCAUGGUAUGUUAACAUGAAUUCUAUGCUUUCGGUUGUUGAAUCAUUAAAAUUAAAUUGAUUGUCAAUGAUAGAUGGUAGCUGAAAAUUAAUAAUGGAUUGUUGUGUGUUAGAUCUGGGGAUGUAGACUUGGAGUAUUUGUUGCGGACUUUCUCCUGAAGAUCUUGUUCGGAGUGAUAGCUGAUAAGAGAGAAGUGGUUUGUUAUUUACUUUUGAGUUCUUUGUAAGAGUUUUAUGGUGAAAGUAUGAAAAUGUUUUAUAAAUAUGUCUUAUAGAGUGUGAAUUAAGUUUUUGAUUUAUUUUGACUUCUUCUUACGUUUGGUAUUAAGAACUAUUUAUUUUGGAGGUUUAAUUUUUUGAGUUGAUGGUUUUUGAAGACUUGACUGUUCUGUUUAGGUUGAUUUGUUACUUCUUAUCGAGAUUUUUAUAAUAUACAUAUAGAGUUUAUUUGUAAGAGAAAAUGAUAAUAGGGUAAUUUUCCUAAAUACACAUUUUUAUGUUUUUGUCACAAAAUAGCUUCAAAUGAGUAAAAUGACUAAAAUGUCUCAUUUAAGAGAAAAAGAUAUUUAUACCCUAGAUAUAUAAAUACAAAUAAAAUAUAAUUUAUAGUUUCCAAUUAUAUGUUUUCAAAUUUGAACUUUCUUAUAAAAAUAUAUUUUGUAAAAGUCCAUUCUUUAACUCGAAACCCUAAAGUUUAGAUUAGUUAACCUCAAUUUUAUAAAAAAAUUGAAACCUCUAUCCUAAAACUUUAUCCUUUAACUCGAAACCCUAAAGUUCAGAUUAGUUAACCUCAAGGAUAUAAGUGUAUAUUUAUCUUUUAUUUUGGUUAUUUUUAUUCUAAAAGACUAUAUUUGUGACAAAAAAAAUUUAGGACUGUAAUAGGAAUUUCUCAUGAUAAUAUAUGCUUUUUAUAUUUCGAUGAAUCUUAUUAAUAAUAUAAUUUUAGUUUGGUUAAUUAUUAUUAUGGUUUAACAUUUCAACGAUAGUUUUACUCUUAAUUUUGAUGUUUCUAUAAUGUGCGUUGUUCUAAACUGAAAUUAAUUCGUAUUAGUUAUUUGUAGUUAUGUUAAUAUAUAUUUUUAUUAGUUUUAGUAUAGUUUUAAUGUCCUUGGCUAAAAGCAUUCUACAAAACUAUAGUAUAGUAUAGUUUUAAUUUGGGUUUCCAUAUUUAAUGGAAACGUAGUGGGUCUAGGAGAUUAAUGGUGUUCUUUUGUUGCUGUUGGAAUACGUUAUUGUUUUCAAAGUUUUGAUUUGAGUUAUUAAAUUUAUCAUUUAUAAUUUGAGAUUUUAUAUCAUGAAACUUUAAAACACGAUUGUUUUGUGACUUGUUUGAAAUAAUUAGUAUAUUAUACUUUAAAUUUUAUAUUAAUUUAUUUUAUCGUUAGUAAUUAACAAAGUUCAAGUUAUUCUCCCAAUAAUUGGUUCCAAAAAAAUAAUUGUGCUUUUUCAGUAAUUUACUGUUAAGAAAAUAAAGUUGUAAAUGUUAUGUGAUAUAAUUUUAAGUUAUAUUACACUGUUAUUUUAUAUUUUCUACAAAACAAUUUAUGGACAUUGUUAUUUUUGGCUCAUUUGAAUACACGAAAAAAAAUCUAUUGAUGGACUACACCUACGUUUGGGGAUUAGCAUACAUCUUUUCAUAUGUUUCCUAGGUUAAUAAAAUAAUAUUUCUAUUUUAUCUUCUAUUUAAAUUUAAAAUUUCUAAAUAUCCAUUUUGAUUAUAUAUUUUAUAUAUUUUGAGUAUCGUUGGCUGAAUUUCCUCUCAAAUCCUAGUUACCAAUAUGCCUUAAUUGUUUAAAAGUAGUAGAAAAGCCCAAUAAAAAUCUCUAAACCGAAGACGUUAUAGAGAUGAAGUCUCAGAUUCCGGAAGAGGAAGAGGAUGGAGCAGGAGAGACCCCGAUGGCGAAACAUAGAAACCCUAAAAGAACAAAUUAAGUUUUCUAGAUGAAGAGAAGAGCCCAGAGCCCAGGAACACAUUAAACUAUUCAGAGAGAAAGAGAAUGGCCCACGAAACAAAAACAAACGGACAAAACAAAAUAAACCCACGAAACAACACAAUUUAAGAAACGUAAAUGAAAUCAAACGAACAAAAGCUUUGUAAAAUAGAGACACGUGGCGAAAUUUAGAUAUAUGAGUGCUGAGGUGGAGGCCUGAGGAGCCUUUCCAAGCUACUUUAUUAAUAUAGAUUUUCCCAAUUAAUUAUUUCUAACGAAAAUAUAAUGUAUAAAUAUCAAUGAAUAUAUUUUGAAAGUUGAAAAUGAGGAAGAAAUUUUUUUUUUUACCAAAAAGAAUAAUAAGGGAGAACUAUAGUGAAUGCUUCGAGUGGGCUUAAGCAAACGCAUUAUUGCCUGCGAAAAGUCAUUAUCGCUACAGACUAGAAAACUCACAUAUUUUCUUUUUAUUCAAAAUUAGAACCACAGAUGGCAGCCAAUAUAGACUGUUGAUAAGAUUGACUUGGAGUCUACUCUUUCAUUGCCACUCAUAUCUCUUCUUCCAAAGAACCUCUCUAAGCAAGUUGAAGAGCUGUUACAUGAAAGGUAAAUCAUGUUCUUGUAUCAUUAUUUGUCUGUUUAACUUGCUUUGAUCUGUCUUUUGGACUCUGUUGUGGUUGAAUCUGAAUUUAAAAACGAAAAUUCGUUAGAUUAUUACAAAUCUUGUUUUACGAAUUUAAAGCAUUUAAUCAUCAAAUCUUGUUAUAAAUUGUUUGAAUAAAAGUAAGUUAAGUAAAGUUCCUCUGACAUGUAUCAUAUUUUAUUAGAUAAACCAAGGAUUAUCACAGCGGUUUUAAAUCUUACUACAAGUUUGUACUUAUGUAUUGAUGGUGGAACAGGAGAAUAGUGAUGGCUGAGGGAGUUGUGUCGUUUGGAGUGGAGAAACUCUGGGAUCUCCUGAGUCGAGAAUCAGAGAGACUGCAGGGAGUUCAUGAGAAAGUUGAUGAUCUAAAAUGUCAGAUGAGAAUGUUACAGUCAUUGUUGGAAGAUGCAGAUGCCAAGAGAUAUGAGAGUAAAGUAGUGAGAAGCUUCUUGGAAGAUGUCAAAGACAUUGUUUUUGAUGCAGAAGAUAUAAUCGAAUCCUUUCUUUUGAAAGAACUUAGUGGAAACCAAAAAGGGAUCAAGAGGCGUGUGAAAAGACUUUCUUGUUUCUUAGUGGAUCGCCGAGAUAUUUCUAUGGAAAUUGAAGGCAUAACUACGAGAAUGUCUAAGCUUGUUGCGCAAAUGCAGAGCUUUGGAAUACAACAGAUCAUCUACAGAUCACCGUCUCUACAAGAGAGACAAAGACCAAGGGAGAACCGACAAACAUAUCCAAAGACAUCUCAAAAGGAUCUUGUGGGGGUGGAACAGAGUGUUAACGAAUUGGUUAGUCAUUUGGUGGAGAAUGAUAGCAUCCAAGUAGUUUCCAUAUCUGGGAUGGGUGGUAUUGGAAAAACCACUCUUGCGAGACAAGUUUUUCAUCAUGACAUUGUUCAAAGUCAUUUUGAUGGAUUCGCAUGGAUCUGCGUUUCGCAAGAUUUUAAGAAGAAGGAUAUUUGGCAAAAGUUAUUGCGAGACCUCAGACCACAUGAGAAGGGAAUCGAACAUAUGAAUGAGGAUACACUCCAGGCUAAGAUCUUUCAUUUGUUGGAAACAUCUAAAUACUUAAUUGUCAUGGAUGAUGUAUGGAAAAAAGAAGACUGGGAUGUAAUAAAAGACGUAUUCCCCCAAGCAAGAGGUGAGCUCUCUAAUUGUACAAACAUUACUUCCCAUAGCUAUUUCAUAAAUGCCUUUGAGUCCUUGAGAUGAAAGGAAAUACAAUUGCAGGUUGGAAGAUGAUUCUUACUUCACGCAAUGAAGGUGUUGGUUUGCAUGCCGACCCAUCAUGUUUUCCCUUUAGACCAAAAAUCCUUACUCCUGAAGAAAGUUGGAUGCUAUGUGAGAGCAUAGCAUUCCCUAGAAGAGAAAUAACGGGUAUGUUUCUAUAUAAGACAUAUGAAUCUCUUACGGGCCUUCUUAUCAAAAAUCUUUUGUACUAAUUCCUAAAUUAUCAUCUGGGAUGACAUAUAUUGUUAUAUAUACUAGGUGUUUAUCGGCAUAUAUAAGAAGGAUAAAACAUAUUUUUGUAAAUUUUUUUAUGCUUAGAAUUUUAUUUUAAGAUAACAACCCAAUAUACCUAUAUAUAUGAUUUCUAUUUUUAUCUUAAAAAUAUAUUUUUAUUUUUUGACUAUUUUCUUAUCUUAGUCAAUCUAUUAAAUAAAUCCAAAAGUUGAUUAUAUAAAUUAUAAAUCUAGACAAGAACAAAAAAAAACAAUUUCAUUGCCAAUAAUGAAUUAUUAGAAUCUUUGAUUUAUAUAGUCCCAUCCGUUACUUUAUGUAUGUGUUAUUUAGGAGGGUCAUUGGUAAGUGAAUUCUUAUGAACUUUGGAAAAUUUGAGAUUUCAUUAUUAUUAGUUUUUGGAUUUCAAAUAUCUUAAUAGAAUCCGUUGUUAUUGGUUUUAAAAAAAAUCAAAAUCCAUUCAAAUCUUUUGUUAUUCAAAAAGUUUAGUUAUUAUUGAUUCUCUAAUUCUAACUAAAUUCAGUGUUACUGGGAGAUGAAUUUUAUUUAUUUUUAUUCAUAAGACUCAACUAUCAAAAUAUGUAUCCAUAUGAUUUUCAAAAUCCAUGUGAUAAAAAACUAAAAAAUAAAAUAAUUAUUCUUACCAAUUAUCUAUUGAACCUUAAAUCCAAAUUAUACGUCCAAAAAUAUAAUUAAUUACAUUUAUAUACUUUUACAUUUUUGAAUAUAUAAUUAUUUUUAUAAAUAUUAUCAUUUUUAAUAUAAAUAUUAAUAAUUACAUUUAUAAAUAUUAACAAGUUUUAAUAUAUUUUUUUAAAAAUAGUUUCGAAAACCAUUUUCAAAUUUAUAAAAAUUAUAAAAAGUUCAAAUUUGAAAACAUCUAAUCCGAAAUUAUAAAACAAAAUUUUUUAUUUUUAUUUUAUUUUUAUUACUUAUAUAUCUAUAAAGCAAAGGGAAAAAUAGUUUUUUGCCCUUUUAAUAAAACUUCUUUUGGUCAUUUUCCUUUUUGAAUAUUUUUUGUGACAAAAACUUAAAAAUGACUAUUUAAGAAAAUUGUACAAUUUUGUAUGUAUCACUAUUAUUUUCUUUUUAAUUUGAAGAAAAAAAUAAAUAAUCAUGCUAUAUGAUUUAGAAAAUAUAUAAAUUAUAUAUUUACUUUACAAAAAAAAAUUAUAGAAAAGAGGUAAUACAAAUUCAUGAAAAUCUUUUCCAAUCUAAAAAGGUUAUUAUCAAAUUUCAUAAGUCGAUGUAUUUAAAUUUUUACAAUCUACAUAACUUUUAAAAAUCUAUCAACUCCAUGGAUGGAUGGAUGGAUGGAUUUGCGAAGUGAUUUUUUGCAAUGGAGUUCUCACGUUAAAAGUUAGAGUGGUAAAUAUUGUGUAUACCCUUAAUGAAUAAAAUAUAUAUUAGCAAAAAAAAUAAAAAUUAAUUUAUUUUUUCUUAGAUAAUUAUUUAAACUAAUAAUAAGAAUUAUCCAAAAUCUAAAAAAAAAAAGAUAAUUCCUAUAGAUAUUGUGUUGUUAUCUGAAAAAAUCAUUUAAUAAAAAGUUCAAAGUUAAAAAAAUGGAAAACACAUAACUAAAUAUAUUAAUCAAGUAAAUGCUUGAUUUUAUAUAAUUGAAAAGAGCAUAUUGAGUGAUUUCUAAAAUUUAUUUAUUAAUAAUUAAUGAAUAUAGUGUAUAAGGAAAUAUUCAAAAAUUAUAAUACAUAAAAAAAUCAAAUGAAAAAAUAAAUAAUAAUUUAUCAUUAUAGUAUUCUAAUUAUUAAUACAUAUAUUAAUAAGUAAUUAUAAAAUACUUAUGUCUACGGAAGAAACACCUAGUAAUAGUAUAAUAUACAAGUUUAGCAAUAUGAACUUCAUAUUGUAAGCAUGGCCGGCUUUUGAGGAAGGCGGUCAGUGCGACCACUCCGCGGCCCGUUUCAAAUCAUGUUAUGUUAAGGGCCUUAAGAGUUAUAAAAUUUAGAGAUUCUAUUGUUAUUGGUUUAUGUAUUCUUAUAAUCUUGUUAGAAUCCUUUGUUAUUGGUUUAUGAACUUUUAAAUUUCAUAUAAAAUCCUUUGUUAUUCAAAAAGUCUAGUUUUUAUUGAUUUUGUAAUUUUAGUAAACUCUCUUGUUAUUGGGACAUAAAUUCUCUCUAGUUUUACUCAUAACACUCAACUUUACAAAUAUCAUCUAUACUCAUAAGAUUUUUAGAAUCUAUGUAACAAAAAACACAAAUAUACAAACACAAAAAGUUUUGUAUUACAUUUUUGUUGUCAUGUGAAAGAUAAUUGUAAAAGGAAAUUUAAAGAUAACAAAUUAUUAAAGAUAACAUAAUUAAGAAUAUGAAAAAAUCAUAGGUUGACCUCAGAAAACUUUAAACAAAAAUCAAAAAAGACAAAUUCAAAUAUUAAAAAAAUAAAAAAAAAAUAUUUUAACAUCAAAUAACUAUAUUUCUUGAAAUAAAAAGUUUAGAAGUAUUUUUAUAAAUAGAUAAAUCUGGAAAGAAAAACAUAUAUGGAAAUUCAUGCUAAUCAAUCAUAAUCAAUGAAAAUUUAUACAAUACAUAUGGCAAGAAUUCAUCAAAUUUACUUAACUCUUAAAAAAAUUUGAACUUUAAAAAUUUUCAGAUUCUAAGCAAAUUUCAUUUUCAAUAGGCCCCUAAGAAAUCAAGUAUAAAUUUUUGCUCGAUGUUAUGCCUAAGUUGAAAAGUUAAAGAAACACAAAAUUUAAAAAAACAGACUAGUUAUGGGCCUCAAAAUUUUGAUUUGCCCUGGGGCCCUCUAAUUGUAAGUGAUCUUAAAUGUUCGAAACAAAAAAAAUAUAAAAUACUAAGUAAACUAUUAAAAGAGUCCUCAUAAAAACUAACAAUUCUCCGGAUAAUCAUUAAGUUAGAAAAAAUAUAUAUAAUUCUUUUUAAUUUAUAAAAUUAAUUAUAGAUUAAAAGUAUCAAUGACUUUAGUCGUUAUAACUUUUAAUAUAAGAGUUCAGAGGUAAAAAAAUCACAAGUUUAGCAAUACAAACUUCAAAACAAAAAAAACGUAGUAGUAAUACAAACUGACGUAAGUAUAAAAUACUAAGUAAACUAUAAAAGGGGCCAUCAUAAAAACUAACAAUUUUCCAGAUAAUCACUAAGUUAGAAAAUCUAUAUAAUUCCUUUUAAUUUAUAAAACUAAUUAUAGAUUAAAGAUGUCAAUGACUUUAGUCGCUAUAACUUUUAACAUGAGAGUUCAGAGGUAAAAAAUCACAAGUUUAGCAAUAUAAACUUCAUAUUGUAAGUGAACAUAAAUGUUCAGAAAAAUAAGUGGUAGUAAUACAAACUGACGUAAAGUAUAAAAUACUAAGUAAACUAUAAAAGAGGCCAUCAUAAAAACAAACAAUUCUCCAGAUAAUCAUCCAGAUAAUCAUUAAGUUAGAAUAUAUAUAUAAUUCCUUUAAAUUUAUAAAUUAAUUAUAGAUUAAGGGUAUCCACGACUUUAGUCGCUCUAACGGAUGAGAGAUCAAAAGUAAAAACAUCACAUUGCUAAUAAUAGUACAAAUAGAUAGAUAUAUUAUAAUUUUUUGAAAAUUUGAAAAGACUAGACACAUAUAUUAUUUCAAGACUAAUCUAUAAUAUGCUUUACUGUUUUCAGAAUUUAAUGUUGAUGAAGAACUAGAAGCCAUGGGUAAGAAAAUGGUCAAAUAUUGUGGAGGACUACCAUUAGCCGUUAAAGUGCUGGGAGGCUUGUUAGCUAAUAAAACCAUGGUUGAAGAGUGGAAAAGAGUAGAUGACAAUAUUCAAACUCAGAUAGUUCGCAUAGAUGACAAAAGUCAAGAUUCUGUUUACCGAGUAUUGUCUAUGAGCUAUGAAGAUUUGCCAAUGCAGUUAAAGCAUUGCUUUCUCUACCUAGCUCAUUUUCCCGAAGAUUACGAGAUACAAGUGGAGAGAUUGUAUUAUCUCUGGGAAGCAGAAGGAAUAAUAACGUCAAGUGGCGAUGGAGAAACCACUAGGAAAAUUGGAGAAGAAUACAUAGACGAGCUAGUAAGGAGAAAUAUGGUUAUUGGAGUAAAAGAGGAUUUGAGUUGCAAAUGGGAGUAUUGUCAAAUGCAUGACAUGAUGAGAGAAGUAUGUUUAUAUAAAGCCAAAGAAGAGAACUUUCUUCAGUUUAUCGAAGUCCCUACUUCUUCCACCUCCACCAUCAAUGCUCAUACUCCUACGGGAUCUCGCAGACUCGCAGUACAUGGCGGUGAUACGCUGGGACGUCAAAACAAUAAAAAAGCUAGAUCUAUUUUGGGUUUUGGACUCAACAGCAACUUGUGGAAGCAGUCAGGUCAAGGAUUCCGAAAUUUACAAUUACUUAGGGUCUUACAUCUGAAUUUACAAACACAUGAUAGCGACUCUAGAGGAGGGAGAAUACCUUCGAGCAUUGGGAAGCUCAUUCAUUUGAGAUAUUUGAGCUUAGACAUGGGUUGUGCAACUCAUGUACCUUCUUCUUUACGGAAUCUAAAGCUUCUAAUCUAUUUGAGUAUUUUCUCCUUCAAAAGAAUUCAUCUGCCAAGUAUCUUUAAAGAGAUGGUAGAGUUGAGGCUCCUGAUGCUUCCCCAUGUAAUUGACCCUAAAACAAAGUUGGAAUUGGGUAAUCUAGUGAACCUCGAGUACUUGAGGUGGUUCCGAUCAGAAAACGGUAGCAUCACAGACUUACUCCGAAUGAAAAAGCUCAGGAAUCUCGAGAUAUAUCUCAAAGGCAGGUAUACUUCUGAAAUUCUAGCGUCAUCUCUCUGUGAAUUAAGAAACCUGGAGGAGCUUUGCUUGAUCGAUGAGAACAACGAAUCCGAUGGGGCUUAUGAUGUGGAUUUCGUUUGGAAUUUCAUUCAUCUAAGGCGUUUAGCGCUGGGCCUACAUGUGACAAGGCUUCCUGAUCACUCUCGAUUUCCUCCCCACCUUGCAUACAUAUCUCUAACUAAGUGUGAAUUGGAGGAGGAUCCACUGCAGAUUCUGGAAAAGUUGCUUCAUUUAAAGUCGGUUGAAUUAGGUUACAGCGCUUUCGUGGGGAGGAAGAUGGUGUGUUCAAAAGGUGGAUUCCCUCAAUUAUGUAAGCUACAAAUAUGGUUACUAGACGACUUGGAAGAGUGGAUAGUGGAAGAAGGGUCGAUGCCAUGUCUUCGUACCUUGUAUAUAUACAAUUGUAAAAAGUUGAAGGAGCUACCGGAAGGGCUCAAGUAUAUAACUUCUUUAAAGGAACUGAUAAUCACCGAUAAGAACAAGGAGUGGAAGACGAAACUCGUACCAGGUGGGGAAAGUUACCACAAAGUCCAACACAUUCCUAGCGUUCAAUUAGUCUAUGAUAGCGACGAAUAAGGAGAAUACAACCGUCUCAGGUAUAUAUACUUUUGUUUGGUAUAAUGUCAAUAUUGUUCUCCUUGAAGUUUAGUGUGGAAGUCUCAACUAUCUAACCUUUUUAUUAUUCGGUUUUCAGGUGAACCUACUCAGAAUCAGUACCCACUUAUUGAUUCUGUGAUGUGAUAUAUGUCGUUUUUGUUGUAUUGGUGUUUUAAAGUUUAUAUAUCUUGUUUGUGAUAUAUUUCGUUUUUCUGUUUGCAUGCUCAUUCACUGUAAUGCUACGUUUGAAAGACAUUUGUAUGUUGAACCGUAUCUUCUCUUCAAUGUCUCCGUUGUGUGUGCUUAGUUGACUUGUAUGGUCGGACUUGGAGAUAGAACGGUCCUUUGAUAGUGAUCGCUGAACAUCAUUCUUAACAUCACUUUAUCAUUUGGUUCAACGAAGGUCGAGAUUGAGGAGUCGAGAGCUUUUACACGAAACGUCUAGUUAAUCCCUUUUUAGAGCAUCUCAAACCCACCCCUAUAUUUGCUUCUAUAUGCUAUAAUAGAGGAAAAUCUACUCCACCCCAUCUCUAUUUCUUCUUCUAAAAUAGAGAUUGCUAUUUUCUCCUAUAUUUAGAGGAAAAAUUAGCAUUCCUCUAUAAUAGAGACAUACUUUUUUAUUUACACAAUAAUCCUUUAACUUUUUGUGAUUAUAUUUAAAAUACAUAUUUAUGUAGAAAUACAUGAUUUUUACAUAUAAAGCCUAAUUAUCUUUUGUUUACAUAAUAUUUUUUACAGUUAUAAGUAAAUAAAAUAAAUAAAUAAUAAUAUUAUUUUAUGUGAAAGUCUAAUUUUUAACAAAUAAUACUUAAUUUUAUAUUUAAUACUAAAAUUAUUAAUUAUAGUUUAAUUUCUAAAAAAUCUACAUAAACUUUACAUAUUGAUAACAUAUUUAUUUAAAUAUUAAUUAAUACAACAUAUUAAAACGCCUUAAUAUUAUGGUAAAUUACGUCCAGAUCUCCAUAAUGAUGGUUAGAUAAUGUAUACUUUGUUUUACUAUUUUUUUGUUUAAUUUUUUUUGUAACAAACUGUUUAAAUUAAAUAAUAUUGCAUUUUUAUGAAAAAAAUCCAAGUGAUAUAAUGAAUGGGUUAAUUUUCAAUAUUUAUAAGUUAAAAGGUGUUAAUUGUAAAAUUUUGAAAGAAUCUCUUAAGAAUAUUCCUUUUUAAAAGAUAAAAUAGAAGAAUACAUUGGAAAGAAAUCCACAUCUAUUAUAAAGUUACUCUAUUAUAAAGUAAAAAAAUAGAAAAAUACAUUGGAGAUGGUCUUACAAAUAUAUAACCUUAGGAGUUUAUUGAAACCAAAGCCAAGAGUUUCAGCACAAUGGGAUUCCUUACAGUUGAUACUACAAAGAGAUUAUUGAAUCAAAUGAAAUGAAUGAAUGAAUUUAGGAAAGUUUGUUACAAGAAGUAUAUAUAUACACGGUUAAGUUAUAGGAAACUUAAACCAUGUUGGUUAUCUAGUAAACCGAUAUAGUAUAUUGAUGGUUUAUGAUGAACUCGGUCUGGAUCAUAAUAUCAGAUCACGAGUCUCUACCAAACAAAGAGUCCUUUCGAUCUCUGCAUGUUUGUAUUGACUUUAAGGGGGUGUUAAUGGGACUUGAAGCGAAUCCAAAACGGGUGAUCCGUGCGUUUCAGACAUCAAUCGCCAAACCUCACUUUUCCAGACCGAACCGAACCGAAUCGACCCUGAGUUUUCCAAAUUUUAAGUAACGGCAUAAACCGGUUAAUUCUCAUCGACUCCUGUAAUUCGUCUUUCACUACCAAACCGGACAUAUUGAUGGUUUAACGAGCUCGGUCAUGAGUCUUUCUGCCAAACAAAGAGUCCUUUCGAUCUCUGCAAAAUUGUUUUUGACUUAGGAGAAGUCUACUACUUGAAGCGAAUACAAAACGCGGUGAUCCGUGCGUUUUCAGACAUCAAUCGCCAAACGUAUGCAUAACUGGGUUAGAGCUUCCUCUUCCGAUUUCACCGGAACUCCUCCGCAGCCAAGGAGGUAAAUUAAUUACUUCUUCUCCAUUCAAUUUCCGAUUUUAAUUUCAGCUGAUGAUUUUUAUUCUUCAUCAGUGGACAUACAGCUGUCAAUGUCGGAAAAUCCAUGGUCGUGGUGUUCGGCGGCCUCGUCGACAAGAAGUUCCUCAACGACAUCAUUGUCUAUGACAUUGGUAAUAAUCAUACUUCAGCCUUAGGAUUAUUGUUUCCUUGCUUCAAGAAAGAUGCUUUCUUUCUCACGAGUUACGUUCUUGGCUUGCUCUGCUUGUAAUGACUAUUGUCUCUACUAGUUUAUUUGAUAGAACGAUGCUUACAUCAAAGAUAGUUACUUUGCAACAAAAAAAAAACUAUAGAAAGCUGAAAACUUCAAGAUGAGAUUAUUCGAUUCGGUGUUGUUGAAGAGGAAUCAGAUGGAUACUCUCUUUUCUUAUUUUGCUAGUUUUGUUUCUGAGCUUCUUUUGUCCCCUCCUUGGCCUUGUUUUAAGUAUCAUAUGUUCAGCUUUUUUUUAAUCAUGUGAUAAUUGGUGGUCUUAUGAUUUGCUUCUUCUUUAUCCUGUCGACUAGAAAACAAACUCUGGUUCGAGCCAGAGUGUACUGGCAGCGUGUCUGAAGGAAAAGUUGGUCCUACACCUCGCGCGUUUCAUGUUGCCAUCACUAUUGAUUGCCAUAUGUUCAUCUUUGGUGGACGUUCUGGUGGCAAGAGGUGCGCACUACUAUUUAUUUUCUUGCUAUAAGCGUUUUUACAUUCUAAAGAGCUCAUUUCUAUAAAUCAAUUACAGGUUGGGUGACUUCUGGGUUCUAGAUACAGGUAAGUGUGCAAGUUAUAACAACUGCCUGGGAACUAUUUAAUACUCUGCUGCUAACGUUUUCUGCAGAUAUAUGGCAGUGGUCUGAGCUAACCAGCUUUGGCGACUUACCUACGCCUCGUGAUUUUUCUGCUGCUGCUGCUAUUGGGAACCAGAAGAUUGUGUUGUGAGUUUCAGAAAUGUUAGACGUUCAUCAGCUUGUUGCAUGCAUUGGCUUAGCCUAUGAUUAUUGGCAGGUGUGGCGGCUGGGAUGGUAAAAAAUGGCUGUCAGAUGUGUAUGUUAUGGACACAAGUAUAUCUCUCGUCUACUUCAGUUUUGUAAUAAAACUGUUUUUAAGUUUAUGAUAAUGUCAGCUUUAUUGGUGUCUGUUAGUGUCACUUGAAUGGAUGGAGCUGACGGUUUCGGGGUCGUUGCCGCCUCCUAGAUGUGGUCAUACAGCCACCAUGGUUGAGAAACGCUUACUUGUUUUUGGUGGCCGAGGUAUACCAGAACUAAAACUUUGUAGUUAUCACCAUUCCCUAAAUAAGUUAAAGGUGUUUGUAUAUUUAACCAACUUGGCGGAAUCAUAUUAUAGAUAAAAGUCAAAAACCCUAAUGAUUUGUUUACUAUUCCACCUUUUCACUCAUCAAACAUGCUAAGGAUGCUGAUGUGUUUGAUCUACCCUGUCGCUGUCAGUUAAUAACUUUAACUAUUAGUUAAGUUUCCUGACUGGGUGUACUGAUGGUAUAUGUAAUAUAGAAACCCUUUUCCGAUCCUAACGAUUCAUACUUGUAAAUGAAUUCACUAGCUUGAUAUUUCCUUGGUUCUGUUUCAUGGUAUGAGUCAGGAUCAUAAUUUGUUUUGCUUGAGCUGAUAACAAGUAAACUGAUAUUAUGGUGUGUGCUAUGUUAUCUUUGACAGGAGGUGGUGGCCCUAUCAUGGGUGAUUUGUGGGCUUUGAAGGGUCUAAUCGAUGAAGGUAUCCUUACUUAAAAUUUGCAUUUGAUCUUGUAGGAAUAUCCUCUUCAUUUGUUUUAUUUAUUAUGUUCUGGUUGCUGAUCUAAUUGUGGUUUACGUUUGUUGUGCAAGAAAGAGCGUGAAACACCUGGAUGGACCCAACUAAAGCUUCCUGGCCAAGCACCAUCAGCUCGAUGUGGUCACACUGUCACAUCCGGAGGACAUUAUGUAUAUCUUUUUCAGCUUCUGUUUGUUCUUUUGUGUAAGGAUAGCUUCGCAUGACAUACAUCACUCACAUCAUUAAUUUUCAUGUAUGAAGCUUCUGUUAUUUGGGGGACAUGGAACUGGUGGAUGGCUGAGUCGUUAUGAUGUCUAUUAUAACGACGCUAUAAUUUUGGAUAGAGGUAGAUUCUUGCUCACUCGUCUCAUAAGAUUCUUCUCCUCUGCUAAAGGAUCACUCUAAAUCCAAAAAUCCACUUCAUUAAUUUACAAUAGUACAAUACUAGUGAGAUGAUAAAAUUGUGAUGUAAAUUAUCCUUUUUCUUGCUGAGCAUUGUCUUCUAUGCGUUGUUGCUAAAUUUCUAUUUUUCACAUACUAGUAACUGCUCAGUGGAAGCGCUUACCGAUAAGCAAUGAUGAGCCUCCUCCACCUCGAGCUUACCAUACAAUGACUAGUAUUGGAGCUCGUCAUCUUUUAAUUGGUGGUUUUGAUGGAAAGUCAACCUUCGGUGAUCUUUGGUGGCUGGUUCCUGAAGGUAUUAAACUCUUAUUUGUACUAAUGUUUUACUCCAACUUAGCUAUCAUUCUGUGUACAUGCAUCAUCAGUUACAAUCUCGGUGCUGGUCACAGAUUAUAGGCAAUUAGAGACACUUAAUUUCUAGCAUACUCUUUUUUUUCUUCUUUAUCAAGUUUGUAUUGAAAGUUUUGAAGUUUUACACAUCUGAUUGAAUUUACUGAACUGUUUUAGCCUUCUGAAAAUGUUGUUAUUCGUUGUGAAAGAAAGAAAUGGAAUAAAGAAAGAAAUGUUGUUAGCGAUCUAACUCUUUUUCUCUUUUCUCAGAUGAUCCCAUAGCCAAGAGGUCUUCUGUACCUCAACUUAGAAACCCUCCUGAGACUAAAGAGUCAGAGAGAGAUUUGGAUACGGUAACUGUGGUUCCUGCUCAUCAUCUUAUGUGUUUCUCGCCAAUGCAGUUAAAUUAGCUUUUCAACUUGUUUUAACACCAAGAGUUUGGUCACAGCAGGAAAGAGGACAAGAGGGAUUCACUAUCGUCGACUUGCAAAAGAAAAUGGGAAUCUCUGUUUCUUCAGGGUUACGCCUUCAAAUACCCGAGGAGUUAGAAGAUCAAGAGUUCGUUGAGUUAGGAACCAGAUUGAUUGAGGGAGAUGCAGUUGAUAAUGGAGCCUCCAUGAUUCAGGUGAGUUUUUCCUCUUGUCUAUUUUAGAAUGUGUGAUUGUGUUAUUCUUGUACUGAAAAUGCUUCUCAAUGAAAAGAUGUCAGCUGAAGCACUUCGUCAACAUUGGAAAGAGUCCACUCCAGAGACUUUGCAAUUAAAGGAGCUUGGUUCCUUGCUUCGAGAUUAUCAGCGACUGGUUACCCGAAAAUACACGUGAGUUCUUAUCCAUGCCAACUAUUUCAGACUCAGUUCUUGUUUAUGUAGAUUAUCUUUUGUUUCACUAAAAAUGGUUGUUCUUUGAUUGCGCUUGGAAUCACCACAUGGCAUUAGAAUAACUUGGAUAAAUCUCCUGAGAGUUUAGGAGUCAUAUAGAGUUAAUAUGAAUAUAUCAUUUUUGUGUCUUGAAUAGCCCUCGAGACUUUUUAAUCCGAGCAUGUUGUCAAAACUGAUAAUGUUGUGAAUGCAUUGUUUUGUGCCCCUACUAUUACAUGUUAUGAAAUCUCACAUCUGCUUCUUCCUUUCCUUGACACAUGUUUCUUUUCAUUUGUUGUGGCGGGUUUCUAUCAGAUCACAGAGCAGCUUAACAUCUGCUGAUUUUGGAAAGAAGACGUUUACGUUUUAUCAUAUCAAAAAUUCUUCCGAGGUAUUACUCUGCAUACUUUCCUCCCUCGCCUGAAUAUUUGACACCAAUCAAUCAAAACAUCAGGCUUUCCUCUCUGACAUGUCAAGUUUACAUUUUGCUAUUCUCAGUUGCGGAUGGAUGACAUUCCGGAGUUGCUGGAAGAAUACAAAACCCUUGUAAUCUGAUUGAGGAGCUCUGCCAUGAAACUCACAAGGAGAAUACAAAACUCAUCAAGUAGCUGCCAAGAAGAUCACCAAGAUUGCUAUCAGCAUUACCAUUGCAAACCACAAAGCUAAAAAGUCUCAAGAGAAUCACAUCUCUGAUAGACAACUAUGUGCAACUUCUUUUUAGCAAGAACAAAAAGAUACAACGUAUAUGUAAGACUUCCAUUAUCUCAACUUAAAUCCAUAUCUAAGCCUCUGCUCUUUUAUUUCUUGUUUGGGCUUUGAAAAUAGAUUGCUUUGCCUUGAAGCCAAUGCGAAAGUAAGGAAAAAAGUAGGCAAACUUCAUCUAUUAGACUUUGAAAUGGAUUACAACAACAACGGUACUCUUGAUAACUUAAACCACAGAGUUUCUGUCUGCUUAGACCCGUAUUGUCUUUCUCUAUCCCCUAAAACAACUCGAACUCAAGAUGAUCUCCCAUAGCUUUACAUUCAAGAUACCCAUUAGUAUUCCCUUUAGGAGAAGUUGCUUCCGUUGCACCAUUCUCAUAUACAUCAGGCAGCUCAGGCGGAAUGGCGCAGCGGAUGAGAGCCCAGUUCAAUCCUUCAAAGAAAGGAUGCCUCUUGAUCUCUGCAGCUCCUUUCUCCGACCCCAGACGGCUCUCUGGAUCCUUCAUCACCAACCUUCUGAUCAAAUCCUUUGCCUGGAAGCUCACAAGAGGGCUAUCAGGAAACUUGAGGUUCUGAAACACAACGUUGGACAACGUCUCCUCAUUGUCAUAACCUUUGAACGGUGUCUUCCCGUAUAAAAGCUCAUAGAGAAGAACCCCAAACGUCCACCAGUCUACUGCAGCACCAUGUCCUUCUCCUUUAAUGAUCUCUGGCGCCAAGUACUCGUGAGUUCCUACAAAAGAGUUUGACCUUGCUUCGGUUGACAUGUGUGUGUUGCAUACUUUAUUCUGAAGAAAUGAUUUUACCUUUUCUUUGUUAAUGAUUAAGUAGGUAGGUUGCAUGUGUGUGUUGCAUACUUUAUUCUAAAGCAUAUAUCAAAGUUUUCGUUGUUUUCAUGUGAAGCUAGCGUGUGUGUCUUCGAGUUGUGACGCCAUAUGCCCUUAGUAAGAAGAGAGAGAGAGAGAGGUUGGUUUGUUUUUGAAGGUAAGAAGUGUCCAUACCUAAGGUUGAGUUGCCGUGGCGACUGGCCCAAUAUAAAACCGCCCGGAUGCAGGGAUGAGCCAAGCUAGGUCCUCAAUUUUUUUGAAAACAUGCAUGUAUAUAUACAUAGGUUUCCAAAUUUAUAAAAUAGAAAUUUCAGGUCCUAAACUAUUGAAAGUUUUAAUAAAUCGUCUACGGCCCCCAAAAUUUCAGGGCCGGUGGUCCUGCUUGGACCAAAAGAGGAAUAUCUUAGUCUGUAUACUCCACUCUGUCUAUACAACUCGGCAACGUUCCGACCAGAGGCUAAGUUGUUUGAAGAUGUUCAGUUUAUGGACGUUAUGUUUGUGGUAUUUCCCAGGAGUUAUACUUUUCUUAAGUAUUACUCAACAGCAUCCUUACAAAAUUUUCUCAUUCUUGGAACUGCGUUGGAUGUGUCUUCUUUUCACCAUCGCCACUUAUGUGCUCUCAUGCAUGUUGACCAUUUUUUUGUGUGGGAAAAGGCAAUCAGACAAUACAAGUAAAUUGGUUAUGUCUUAUGGGAAAUGAGGAGACUUCCAUGGCAUUGGUUAGGCUUGUGGUAUUUUACUCUACCAUCUCUUCGCCAGUCUGGUGGAAGCAAAAGCAUUUAAAUGGAUGACUUGACGCCGUUGAUAUGAUUCAAUUCGUUUUGGUGUUUGGAGCGACAAGACCGUCGUGUUUCUUGAGCUGCCAUGUUCAACUGCAUUAUGGCCUCUGUGUAUCCACAUGAAUGUUGCCUCCAUGUACGACAUAUUACGGUCUUCAGUUGUGUGGCCUCUUUCUCACACGGACAUAACUGUACCGUUGGUAGUCUUUUCUUCUCAGUGGUUACAAAUUGAGCUACAGUAUGGAGUAUCUAAGAGAAAAUUCGAGGUUGUGCAUCGUCCACAAGUUGGUUCAGGCUGCUUAUUAGUGGCAAUUAUUGGUUGGAGAGGCUUUGCUUGUGAAUCAAGCAACUUGUUCGGAGAUUCUAACUCAGAUUUUGAACAUGUUUGUGUAGCAGCUAUAAAAUUUCUCAUAUUUUCUGUGUUUCCGUCGUCAACCACUAAGUUAUCCCUGGUUGUACGGGUUAUAACAAGAUCAGUACUGAAUCAUCAGCUCGUUUGUGGUGUUUUGAUAAAUAUUUUCAAGACAACACAACACCGAUUACCUAACAAGAACGCUCAUGAGAUUCUCUUUGCCGACGUAACGAGGUGCGUGUUUCUAGUGGGGUGGGAUCUUUUUUACUUGCUGGCAGUCUCAUACGAAAGUCUUCUGUUGGACCUUUUCGAACUGCGAAGUAAGGUGUCUAUCCUUACGUGUCCUCCAUCUCAAGGGUCUCCAGUGAGCUGUUUCAUGGUGUAUGAUGUAUUUCAAAUUGCGGAGUCUAUCUUUACUUCUCCACUAUGGGUUCACAAACAGAUUUUGUCCCUUCCUCCGACGUUACAAAUAGUGCCAUGGAUGUUCUUCUCUACCACUAUAUUCCACCUUGGGUUCUAUUGUGUCAUUUAUAAAGCACAAUUUGGAGCGCUCUCUUACAGUGACGUCAUGGUUGUGGCAUAAGGAUGCUAAUUUCAGGUCCAGAAUGAUUAAUAUAUUGAUCAUGGUUAACAGAAGCAUGUGUUUAUUUCCUUUGUGGAUCGUAUCGGGUUUACUUCUGCGAGGUCAAGUUGAGCAAGGAGAGGCACCAACGUGUACGCAUCAUCAUGGGAAAAGAAUUGAAUUUGUGGGUUCACAAUCUUUCUUACGAUGUAGGUUCAGGAAAAUCUAUGCAUUUCGUUCCCUAAGUCACACUAACAGCACACCGGCUUCACUAUAAAAUUCAAUUCAAAAUGGAUGACUUGCUUUCUACAAGGAUAGCCAAGAAUCAUUUUUCUCAUCAUGCAUAUCACACGCUUAUAGUUUCCACGAUAGGACCACUACAAGUAUUUGAGAAGUUGGAUGCUAAUGCAUGUCACCAGUUUUUAGUUCAUGCUGAGUUUCUUUGCUCUGGCGUGUUCACAAUAAUGUGCCAUGUUCUGUUGGUUGCGAAUGGUGGGCUUUACGAUUCGAGGACGAAUUUUUUCAACCCCGGAUGACCUUAUGCAGCGUAGCAUCUUAUUUCUAUUGAGCUUUUGGUUUUAUAGUUUCCUUUUAUUCUUGUUCUAGAUAAACAUUAGUAUUUUUACUAUUUAGAAAGAGAAUGAUUAAAGACUUUAAUUAGGAUAAAAAGUUAGAUACUAAUCCUUAAGGACUUAGGUUUUUUUCUUAUAGAUAUAAAUAAUGAGCUCUUGAUUUGUAAAAGUCACAACUUUUAAUUAUUGAUUUAUAAAAGAGCUUUGUGUUAAACAAUUCUUGAUUCCUUUUAUUUCUGGGCAUUCAUUGAGAAUUCAACAGAUGUUAAAAAGGCUAAAAUAACGAGUAUUCUCAGAAUUCGACGUUAACUUCGCAUUAUCAGUUACUACGUUUACUUCAGCUCCGUUACUAGACCCAUGGGAUGAUGAAGUUUGUCACUAUCAGUGUUCUAAAUAUCGGUCUAGGACUAAACAAAACUAUUUUUUCAGAACAAUUUUUUUUAAAAUCGGCCUAAGCGUUCAAAGAAUCGGUCUAAGUGUCCACCUAAACAAUAAUCUUCUAUAAAGCAUUUAACUACCGCCUAGAGGUGACUACUACCCCAGAGAUCACAAGCUUAUCUUCAUCAAGAUCUAUAUGCUGUUACUUAAAUGACUCAAAUUAAUUGUGUUAUUACUAGAAUGACUCAUAUUUUUCAAAAAUUAUUAGAAUAUUUUUCUGGUCGAAAUUGCCCUUAUCCAUAGUUAUAACAAAAAUAAAAUAUUACCAAAGUACCCUUACCAUUUGGUCGUCGGCAGAUUUAUUUUCAAAAAAAUAAAUCUAUCGAGUAAUAAAUCUGUUUAUAAAAUCUGUUUAGAAAAAUAAAUCUAUCGUUAAAGUGGUGUCAGACUUACUUAGAAACGUCAGAUUUAUUACCACGAUAGAGUUAAUUGUACGAUUUGGAUAGAAAACAGAUUUUUAAGAAUAUGUCUGGCGAAUGAAGUGGCAGAUUUGUUACAAAUGAUCGAUUUUUGUGGUCAACUUAUUUUCGUAUAUACCGACUUAUUUUCUUAUGUACGACUUGUUUUUUUAUGACAGAUUUAUAUAUCCGACUUAAAAUGGUUGGUAGACUUUUUAUUUUACGUGGUGGCAGACUUUUUGACAGAAAUCUUGGUUUGUAUAAACCAAACAUAAUUUAAUAAAUUAUAUCCGGUUUAUCUUAAUUUCGAAUCUGGUUUAUUUUUAGUGUUAUUCAGAUCAGAAUUAUGUCUAAUUUUUUUUGUUAUUGUCGUCAUCUCUUUCAUCCCUCUUUUCUUUUAUUAUCAAGUUGGCUUCCUUUGUACCAAAUGGCUUCCGUUGUUGCAGAGUUAUAGAGAGUUGAAGUCUCGGUAUACAUUAUAUAGGCUAAUUUUUUGAUCCCUUUCGUUCAUUCUACAGUAAAACUCGCCUGUCCUUUUGAGGUGGCUGAACUUGGACAAUGACCUUUGAAUGUCCAGAUAUUAAAAGUAACUACUGCACUAACUCUUGUUGCAGUCGCAUGAAUGGGUAUAAUUCUUUGUAGGAUUAUGUGAUUGAUGAUUCUGCACCAUCUGACCCAAAUAGCAAAUGUCAAUGCUCACUAUCACAAUUCGAUUGAUGGUGACUACUUCAUCAUGUCCUUGCAUAUCUUUAUUGAGUACCCACACUGAUUUUACUCUCUUAAAUUGCUCCGUUAUAUAAAAGUUGGAAUGAAAAUUAGUGUAUUAAAAGGGGAGAAAACAACCCCAUCAUGAUCAAACUUUAUUAGUAAAAGUAAAGUCAAAACCCUAAGUACAUGAAAUUUUUCUAGCUUUGCCGCCUUGGUAAGAGAUUGUUGAACCUCGUUUACUGCAUCACCGUUCUCGCAUAGCUCAGAGAAGUCGCUGUAUUUAACUCCUGCUUGCUCUGCCCCAUUUCUUUAAUGCUCCGUAUGAUGCUACAACAAGAGUUACACAGUAGCUGUUCAUUGGGUCUGUGUGUACCAUAAUGUUGUCAACGUAAUUACUUGAAACAAAGCUGCAUCUGCUUAACUUCCUUGUAAACCUCAUCGGUUUUUGAUUGAUUGUUGAAGUAACCUGCUGUUACACAGUUAUCACCUACCACAAUCUCCCCUCGAGGCAUUGGUUUGUCUGAAACAUCCCUGUAAUUCACGUAACAAAAACAAACUUACACACCAACCACAUUGAGUGAGUAAAUCAAAGCAUCCUCUCCUAAGGAAGCAUAGAUAGUAACGCCAAUUAUGUUCUGUCUGAAACAUCCCUAUAAUUCACAAACAAAAGCAAAUCAAUUUCAUCAGUUAAGUAACACACAAAACUCAAUCAAUUACCUGAAAGCGAUAAACCACUCAUCUCUAGAAGUAAGUUCUUUACAUCAAACAGUGAGAAAAAAAACACAAUAUGACUCAUAACCAAACUCUAUAAACCCGAGGUAAAGAAACACAAAUACUACAGGAAAAUAGAUGAGAAAAUUGGGAAAUUUAGGGCUUUUGAAAUCUAACACUCAUUCAAACAAUAAAUGAUAAGAACAUGAAACAAAAACUUAGUUGCAUUGAUUUAGGACUUACAGGUUCAAUUUUCUUAGAUUGAAAGGUGGAUUUUGACAAAAAAGUAAAAUCGGAUUUAGGGUUCUUUUUGUAUGACAGACGACAGCGAGUUGAGGUGGAGAUGACGAAACGGAAGGAGCCUGUCCCAGAGGAGAGUUCACCGGAGACGGAAGUGAAGAGAACCCUCCUUCGUCUUCGACGUUUCUUUCGUCGGAGAGGAUAACGAGAGAUUGAGGAUUCUUUUUAGGGGAAAAUAAAAUAAUUAUCUAAUAUGAAAAGAAAUUUCAAAAAAAAAAACCAAAAAAAAAAGUGAAUAUGAAAAGGAAGGAUGGGUUUUUAGUACUUUCAUUAGUCAUAUGAGUUAGUCUAGUAAUUGCAAAAGUUGAUGAGUUAUUCUAGUCAUUUCAAGUAUAAUCUGAGUCAUUAUAAGUAAUUUCUCUUUUUUUAAUGAUAAACAUUUGAGUGAGAACCUUUGGCUCCUUCCAUGGUGAGCCCUGAAUUCUCAGAAAGAAAUUUCCCUGCAAAAAGGGUAUAUGUAACAAAAAGGGUAUAUGUAACAAAAACGGUAUAUGUAACAGAAAUAAUCCUUCUAAUCUGAUUCAUGAGCUUUUACCAUGAAACUCGGAAAGAGAAUACAAAAACCCUUCUAAACUCAUCAAGUAGCAGCCAAGAAGAUCACCAAGAUUGCUAUCAGCAUUACCAUUGCAAACAACAAAGCUAAAAAGUCUCAAGAGAAUCAUCUCUGAUAGACAACAAGAUAUGUACAACUUCUUUUUAGUCAAGUACAAAACGAUAUACCCAUAUGUAAAAUUUUCAUUAUAUCUACUUAAAUCCAUAUCUCAGCGUCUGCUCUCUUUUUUCUCUUGUUUAGGCUCUUGCCUUUUGCUUUGAAAAUAGAUUGCUUCGCCUUGAAGACAAUGGGAAAGUAAAGAAAAAGAGAGGCAAAAUUUACCUCUUAUACUUAGAAAUGGAUUACUACAACAACAGCGGUACGUACUAUUGAUAACUUAAACCAAAUAGUUUCUGUCUGCAGAGAGUAGAGACCCUUAUUGUCUUUCUCUAUCCCCUAAAACAACUGGAACUCAAGAUGAUCUCCCAUGGCUUUACAUUCAAGAUAACCAUUACUAUUCCCUUUAGGAGACUUUGCUUCCGUUGCACCAUUCUCAUAGACAUCAGGCAGCUCAGGGGGGAUGGCGCAGCGGAUGAGAGCCCAGUUCAAUCCUUCAAAGAAUGGAUGCCUCUUGAUCUCUGCAACUCCUUUCUCUGACCCCAGACGGCUCUCCGGAUCCUUCAUCACCAACCUUCUGAUUAAAUUCUUUGCCUGGAAGCUCACAAGAGGGCUAUCAGGAAACUUGAGGUUCUGAAACACAACGAUGGACAAUAUGUGUCCUCAUUGUCGUAACCUUUAAACGGCGUCUUCCAAUAUAAAAGCUCAUAGAGAAGAACCCCAAACGUCCACCAGUCUACUGCAGCACCAUGUCCUUCUCCUUUAAUGAUCUCCGGUGCCAAGUACUCGUGCGUUCCUACAAAAGAGUUUGAUCUUGCUUCGGUUGGUUCAGCCACAAGCUGAGGCAAUGAUCUGAGUGGGUCAAAAGAUCAGGUCUUCUCUGUUUUCUUGGUUUUGCAUUUCUAGCUUGCGUUGACAAGAGCCUAGGGCUGAUCAUAACAAAAAAACUUAAAAAUUAGGUAGCUCUAAAACACUUCUGAUCAUAACAAAAAGUAAGAUCUAAACCACACUUAAUUUUUACCGAUCUUUGGUAUGAGGAACUGGAGAAAAAUUCCAGAGAGACUAAGGAAGUAGGACAUGCAGAUUCCGGAGAUUCAGGAGAUAUGAUAUUUUGGUGUCAAGGGCACGAAGCAUCAACCUUGUCAGCGUGUAGUAGUAGUAGAACCAGAAGAAAUUGGCCACUGUCCAGUCGUAUCCUAUCAUUGAGUAAAGGAUUAUAGUAUGUAAACUCUAGUUUGUACGGUGUUAUAUACUACAUGAUCUAACAACUUUGUCUAUAUUAUCAAUUUUCCUAAUUAAUUAUUUCUAACAAAAAUAUAACUUUUAAAUAUUUUGGAAGUUGAAAUUAAGGUAGAAAUUUUGUACCAAAGCGAAGGAAGGAUAUGGGAGAAUUAUUUGCCUUGCGAAAAGUCAUUAUCGCUACAGACUAGAAAACUCACAUAUUUUCUUUUUAUUCAAAAUUAGAACCACAGAUGGCAGUCAAUAUAGACUGUUGAUAAGAUUGACUUGGAGUCUACUCUUUCAUUGCCACUUAUAUCUCUUCUUCCAAAGAACCUCUCUAAGCAAGUUGCAGAGAGCUGUUUCAUGAAAGGUAAAUCAUAUUCUUAUAUCAUUAUUUGUCUGUUUAACUUGAUUUGAUCUGUCUUUUGGGCUCUGUUGUGGUUGAAUCUGAUUUUAAAAACAAAAAUUCGUUGGAUUGUUAGAACUCAUUUUUUUUUACGAAUUUAAAGCAUUUAAUCAUCAAAUCUUGUUAUAAAUUGUUUGAAUAAAAGUGAGUUAAGUUCAGUUCCUCUGGCAGGUAUCAUGUUUUAUUAGAUCAACCAAGGAUUAUCAUAAACGGUUUUAAAUCUUACUACAAGGUUUGAAUAGUGAUGGCUGACGGAGUUGUGUCGUUUGGAGUGGAGAAACUCUGGGAUCUCCUCAGUCGAGAAUCAGAGAGACUGCAGGGAGUUCAUGAGAAAGUUGAUGAUCUAAAAUGUCAGAUGAGAAUGUUACAGUCAUUGUUGGAAGAUGCAGAUGCCAAGAGAUAUGAGAGUAAAGUAGUGAGAAGCUUCUUGGAAGAUGUCAAAGACAUUGUUUUUGAUGCUGAAGAUAUAAUUGAAUCCUUUCUUUUGAAAGAAUCUAGCGGUGACGAAAAAGGGAUCAAGAGGCAUCUGAAAAGACUUUCUUGUUUCUUAGUGGAUCGCCGAGAUAUUUCUAUGGAAAUUGAAGGCAUAACUAAGAGAAUGUCUAAGGUGGUUGUGCAAAUGCAGGUGUUUGGAAUACAACAGAUCAUCUACAGAUCACUGUCUUUACAAGAGAGACAAAGACCAAGGGAGAAUCCACAAACAUAUCCAAAGACAUCUCAAAAGGAUCUUGUGGGGGUGGAACAAAGUGUUAAUGAAUUGGUUGGUCAUUUGGUGGAGAAUGAUAGCAUCCAAGUAGUUUCCAUAUCUGGGAUGGGUGGUAUUGGAAAAACCACUCUUGCGAGACAAGUUCUUCAUCAUGACAUUGUUCGAAGUCAUUUUGUUGAUGGAUUCGCAUGGAUCUGCGUUUCUCAGGAAUUUAAGAAGAAGGAUAUUUGGCAAAAGUUAUUGCGAGACCUUAGACCACAUGAUACGGGGAUUGAACAAAUGAAUGAGGAUACACUCCAGGCUAAGAUCUUUCAAUUGUUGGAAACAUC